GGAAGGAAAUGUAGGAAGUGAAGAGGUGAAAUGCCAUAUAGACCAUCUAAAGCACAAAAUCCACUUUAGGGUCCCUCAAAACUCAAAUUUACAACUCAAGCCGACGGACUGGCAGAUUUCGCCAGAGGGACGGACGGUCUCUCCCCAGCAGGGACCCGAGUCUAUCGCUGCGAAUGCCGAAACAACGUUCGGGACCGGUCUCUCCCUGCGCGGGACCGGUCUCGUCCCACGCGCAUGACGCGCUCGGGGAUCCGGCUCUCGGACUGCCAGGUGACCGGUUGCCUCGCCGCAUGCGGCAGCACGAUGUUUACGGGGGACCGUCUCAUCCUAAUUGGACGUCGCCCGAGAGUAAAAAUCCAUCUCAGGAACUCGUGCGCAAACUCUCAGAAUCGACUUUAGGCCGGUAUACCAUCGACGGCCCUCCACUAAGUGUGGAAAAGUUCGGAAUACGCAUCAAACACUCGAACCUCGCAAUUUGCAAAGGUCCAGUGUGCUACAUAUCUUUACAUUGGCUUUUCGUAACGUUAAUCCGAGCGCACCAACGCGUCGGAAAUGCCCCCAAUUAGGUUUCUAGAGGGUCAAUUGCACUUUAGAAACAUCACGAGCAAAAGCCCUAAUUUGGGUGCCCUAGCUCCAUAGCAUACAUCAAACCUAGGGUUUGAUCUCAUUGGGAAGCAAAACAAGCUUCAUUCUACUCUAGAGACUCCACAAAAAUCAUCUCUAGGUCAAUCCAAACCCUAGUUUGGAUUCUACCAUGAGAGGGUAUGAAGCUCUCCUUCAAGCUUCACCUCCAAUACUAAACCCAUGGUCUUGAUCUCAAAUGAAGCAAAAGAAAAGCUUCAAGGACUCAAAAGGUUUCAUUAAAACCAUCUCUAGGUCACAUAGUUCCCAUUUUAGGGUUUUAGCAUGAUUAGGGUUGAAGCUUACCUCAAAGCUUUCCCUAUCUUCAAGCUAGAGAUGAGGGAGAGGGAGUUUCUCCACUCCUUCUUCUUCUUCUCCACUUUCUUCUUCUUCUUUUCCUUCCUUUCCUUUGUCUUCUUCUUCUUCUUCUUUGUCUUCUAGAGAGAGAAAGAGAGGAGAGAGUGUGAGAGGGUGUGAAAUGAGAAAAAUAUCUCAUUUGCCCUCAAACUUGACUCCAUUGGUUGCAAAAAUGCAAUUAAACCCCUCAGUUUUUAUCUUAUUACACUGCAAGAACUGGGCAGAUUUCGGGCUCGGGGACCGGUCUCCCCGACUUGGGACCGGUCCCAGAGAGCUCUCCCCGCAGCUGCGCAGGGCUCACGCGCGAUGCAACCGGUCUCUCACUAGGGGACCGAUCUCUCACUAGGGGACCGAUCUCUCCGGGACCGGUCUCUCCCCGCAGGGACCAGUUCCCGAGAGCUGGUUUUCUGGGACUUAGCCGAUUUUUCAGCUUUCUCAGUUUUCACACGUUCGGGGACCGGUCUCUCCCACCAGGGACUGGUCCCCGAGAGCAUGUCACGCCCCGGGGCACAGCGGAAACCCGCCCGGCACAUGCACAGACCCGCCAUACGUCUAAAACAUAUUAGGCGUCUAAAAACAACGAUGAAUAAAGCAAUAAUAAAAGACAUUUAGGAGUAUCAGAGUAUAAUAAAUGACUAAGUUCUACAAUAGAGGAAAGAACAUAAGCGAUAAUCCACUAAGUAAAAACGUAAAGUAAUACAAAGAGAAAUCCCAAAUACAAGAGCUAAAAGAGUACAUAGGUGGUCUUUAUACAUGGUAAACAAAAUCCCGCUCUCCCAAAACAUAAAAAGAGGGAAAACCACCUAAGAGUAAAAGUGAAUCCUCGCUAUCUAGCUAGCGAUCCCCUUGCCGCGGUCCCGUGCCUCCGCCGGUGCAGAGGGCUCUGAAAGGGAAACAUAAAACAGAGGGUGUGAGAACUAUUAAAUAAUAGUUUCCAGUGGGCAAUUACUGGCUUCAGUGAAUGCACCACUAGGCCCAAAAACUGAAAAGAAAAGGGUGAGUAACAAUAAGGCAGUAAAGCGAAAAGUAAGUAAAAAUGUAACUUACUACGACUUGAUAUCUCUACUUAGCAUGGAUGGCAUAAGUAUAAAAGCAACUGUACAUGAAGUAUAAGUCUACAACUAUCAUGAUGUCCACAAGCUAAAUAGUAAAAUGUCAUUGUUUACUAUUCUAGUCCAAGUCCACUUGACACUUUAAUAGUUUUAAAGUUCACAUAGCACGUCACUAAGUUCCAAUCAAAUAAGACCAACCCGACGGCUGUCUGGCCUACGCCGUGCCUAAUGGCCCCGUGGUAGUCAACAUCCCCACUCUAGGAAUGAGCCUCCCCCACGGCAUCCCAUUUCGGCGCCCAAUCCCUUACGGCGAGCAUAUGUCGCGAUGGCUAUCUCCGGAGUGCCGGCUUGUAGGGAGCGACCCUCACAAGCAUGUGCGAAUGAGCACAAUGGCAAGCAAGCAAUGAUCUGUCUCAAGUACCAAGUCCUCAUGUCUAAAAACAUGGAAUAUAACAAAUAUCUCAAUGGCCUAUCCCUAUGUCAUCAUGUCUCUAACAUAGAUUAUAGCAGAUGUACAAUGGCCUAUCAAUAUGUCUCUAUGUUGCAGUUUCAUAGUUUGCUAGUUUCGAGUGCCCCUUUAUGACACUUUGUCCUCUUUGUCCAAGCAUAAUACGUACGUUCCAAGGUACAUAUUUCAAGUCAUUAUCUUCGUAAGAGAUAUGUUAUCAACUUGCAAAUGUAAACACUUUUCCACAUGCAUGCAGUCUACUCAUAUAGCUCUACUGUAUAGUGAAAUUUUUGUGAUACAUAAGGCAUGCAUUUUAAGUGUUUCAAAAUUCAUAAUAAUUCUAUCUAGUAUGAAUAUGCAUUUACUUUCACAAAAAGACGAGUAUUUUACUCAUAGGGGCCAUUUUGCCCCGAUUCAUGAAGCCAAACCCACCAAUUUUUCGAACUCUCCGUUUCUCCGAACGAAGGUGUCCGCUAGCCUCCUAGCACCCUAAGGAUGUAGAAACAAGGGUUACCCAAACGAAACGAACAACGGAUUGAUCAAUCAAUAAGCAUUUCAAGCUAAAGUUGAAGAAAACUCACCGAUUGCGAAGGAAGCUCUCUCGAUCUCCAAAUAGGAGUUAGAGUCCUUCCAACCUAACCUAAACAGGUUCUAAACCCAUCAAUUUGGUUGCAAAGCCCUCAAAUAAAAAAUCCCCAAAUCUAACCCUACAAUCCAAAAUCUAGGAUUUCCAAAGAGAGAACCUACCAAAACAAGCUCUAAAAGAGAGAUCAUGAGUACUCACCACACAAGAUGUCCCAAACCAAGCUCCAAGUCCUCUAGGGUUGAAGGUUGAUCCUCAAUCAAGCUCCAACCAAGAUCUCAAGCUUCUCCAAUGGUGGAAAACCCACAAAAAGCAAGAAGGAGAAGAAGAAAGAGAUCAAAACUAGGUAAAUCCCUCAAAAAUGAGGAAGAAAUCAAGGGGGAGAAGUUCUCACCUUGUCUCCACAGGUCUAGGGCUCAAAAGAGCCCCCCAAGGGCUGUGGUGGGGUUUAAAUAGAGUUGCAACAAUUGCAAAAACACCCCUGCCCGAAAAACAGGCAAGUCUGCACUGUGUACUGGUACACGAGUUUGUGUACCAGUACACAUCCCACGAACCAGCCCAACCCGAGCCUCGGGUUGGCGCACUGGCUGCCAGGGCCGAUGGCUGUACCGGUACAGCCAUCACCGCGUACCGGUACACUGCCCUACAGCAAGCUACCCGAGAGCUGACCAAAAAUCUGACUUUUCGAAUUUUGGUGCUAGGUUUUAAACCUCCAAUCUCGGGGUUCGAACCAUGGGUCGGAACACUAUCCACGACUGUCACGCCCCGGGGCCCAGCGGAAGCCCGCCCGGCACAUGCCCAGACCCGCCAUACGUCUAAAACAUAUAAGGCGUUUAAAAACAACAACAAUAAAAGCAAUAAUAAAAGACAUCUAGGAGUAUUAGAGCAUAGUAAAUGUCUAAAUGCUACAACAAGGGAUAAGGAUAAAACUGUAAAUCCACUAAANAACUGAAAUGGAAGCUCAAUAUAGCAUGAAGUCACUACUUUCAUCAGUAAUAAUCUACCACAUGAUCUCUACUUAGCAUGGAUUUGCAUAAGUAAUAAACUACUACAUGAUCUCUACUUAGCAUGAAUUUGCAUAAGUAAUAAACUACCACAUGAUCUCUACUUAGCAUGGAUUUGCAUAAGUAAUAAACUACCAUGGCAUAAUUGCAGAAGUAAAAGCCCAACACCAUGAUCACAAGGUAGAAUGGUAAUGUGUCAUUAUCUACUAUUCUACUCAAUGUCCAAAAGGUACAAUAUGUCACUAGUAACCCAAUCUUGUGGAAGCUACCCGUAGGUAGUCCGGCCUGCGCCGUGCCAACAAUGGUCCCGUGGUAGUCAACAUCCCCACUCUAGGAAUGAGCCUCCCCCAUGGCAUCCCAUUUUGGCGCCCAAUCUCGCACGGGCGAGCAUAUGUCGCGAUGGCUAUCUCCGGAGUGCCGACUUGUAGGGAGCGACCCUCACAAGCAUGUGCGAAUGAGCACAAUGGCAUGCAAGCGAAUGAGUCCGUCUUAGGUCCCAGUGGUUCAUCACUGUUUCAUCGGAUCUAAAACCCGGAAUACAGCACAUGUCCCAAAGGCCUGCCUCUAUGUCUUCGUGUCUAAAACACGGAAUAUAGUAACUGUCUCAAUGGCCUAUCUCUAUGUCAUCAUGUCUAAAACAUGAAAUAUAGUAGAUUCCCAGUGGCCUAUCAUCAUGUCUCUAAGUUGUAGUUCAACAAUUUUCUAGUUCAAGUGCCCCUUUAUGACACUUUUGCUUACUAUGUCCCAAUAUGAAUAUUAAGUCUAAAAGCUUGUCAUUCUAAUCAUUUUCUACACAAGAAAUAUGGUCUUACAUCAUUCAUUAGAGCAUUAAACUCAUGCAUACUAACAAUGCAUAUGCUUUUCUCAACAACAUAGUGUAAUAUGUCGAAAGUUCGGAAAAUAAAUAUCAAACUUUAGUCAAAUUGACCAAAGUGUGAGGACGGUACACUUCAGAAAGUCCGGAGGUGUUAAAAUGAGUAAAAGUGUGUUGAGGAAGGUUUUCAAGAGCUAAAGAAUCAAAAUCUGCAUUCUGCAGAAUUUUAGCUCUCGGGGACCGGUCCCUGGUGGGUGAGACCGGUCCCCGAACGCGUGAGGAAUGAGACAGCCGAAAAAUUGGCUAAGUCCCAGAAGAGUAGCUCUCGGGAACCGGUCCCUGCCGGGAGAGACCGGUCCCCGAGAGACCGGUCCCCCAAGGAGAGACCGGAUGCAUCGCGCGUAGCCCUGGCUGCCCGCGGGAAGAGCUUUCUGGGACCGGUCCCAAGUCGGGGAGACCGGUCCCCGAGCCCGAAAUCUGCCCAGUCCAGGCAGUGUAAUAAAAUAAAAGUUGAGGGGUUUAGCUGCAAUUUUGCAACCCAUUGAGCUAUGUAUGAGGGGUAAUGAGGUAUUUCUCUCAUUCUACUCCCUCUCACACUCUCAUCUCUUUUUCUCUCUCUAGAAGACAAGAAGGAGAAGAAGAAAACAAAGGAAAGGAAGGAAAAGAAGAAGAAGAAAGUGGAGAAGAAGCCAUUGGAGUGAAGCAACUUCAUCUUCUUUCUCUCUAGUGCAAGAAAGGAGCAAGCUUAGAGGUAAGCUUUGCCCCUUUUCAUGUUAAUUCCCAAACUAGGGUUUGGGUAAACCUAGAAAUGGUUUUUAUAGAGCUUUUAGAGUCUUUGAAGCUUUCUUUUUGCUUCUUUUGAGAUCAAGACUAUGGCAUGAGUAAAAGAGGUGAAGCUUGAAGGUGAGCUUGACACCUCUCAUGGUGAAACCCUAAAAUGGGUUUUAGUAAAGCUAAGAAUGAUUUAGAUGGACUCUUUAGAGUAUAAUGAAGCUACUUUUGCUUCCCAAUGAGAUCAAACCCUAGGUUUGAUAAUGCUAUAGAGCUAGGGCACCCAAAUUGGGGCUUUUGCUCAUGGGGAUUUCUAAGUGCAAUUGACCCUCUAGAAACCUAAUUGGGGGUAUUUCCGACGGGUUGGUGCGCUCGGAUUAACGUUACGAAAAGCCAAUGUAAAGAUAUGGGCAAAAUGGCCUAUGUUGGCUUCGUUUUGCCGUAGGUGAAGAACGAGGAGCCUAAAGAUCCCAAGGAAAUUACCGGAGCACCUAAGAAAGCCUACGAGGUGGGUGGUGCUUUUCAAACUUGUUGAACUUCUGUCACGCCCCGGGACCCAGCGGAAGCCCGCCCGGCACGUGCCCAGACCCGCCAUACGUCUAAAACAUAUAAGGCGUCUAAAAACAACAAUAAUAAAAGCAAUAAUAAAAGACAUCUAGGAGUAUCAGAGCAUAGUAAAUGUCUAAAUGCUACAACAAGGGAUAAGGAUAAAACUGUAAAUCCACUAAAGAAAACAUAAAGUGACACAAGAAAAUCCCAAAUACAAGUGCUAUAGGUAAAUACAUAGGUGGUCUCUAUACAUGGAUACAAAAACCUCUCACUCUCUCAACUACAAAAAGAAAGAGUAAACCACCUAGGCAAAGUAUCGCUCUUCGCUAGCUAGCUAAGCGAUCCCCUUGCCGCGAUCCCAUGCCUCCGCCGGUGCCGAAGGCUCUGAAAAGUAAACCAUAAAACAGGGGCGUGAAAACUAUUAAAAAUAGUUCCCAGUGGGCAAUUACUGACUUCAGUGAAUGCACCACAAGGCCCAAAGCUACAAAAGAUGUCAGUGACUAUAAAUGUAGAAAAGCGAAAGGUAAGUAAAAAUGCAACUUACUACAACAUGAUAUCUCUACUUAGCAUAAAUAACAUAAGUAUGAAAGCAACUAUGCAUGAAGUAAAAGUCUCCAACUAUCAUAAUGUUCACAAUUCCGAAAUAGUAAAGUUCCGUUCGUUUACUAUUUCUAGUCAGAUGAUCCAAGUAAUACCACUAAGUCAUCGUCGUCACAUGUCAUAGUAUGAAUACUCAAAGUCAAACCUGGAGAGACCCACCCGAUAGGCUGUCUAUGGCCCUUGAGACCCACCCCGUAGGCUGUCUUGCCGAUCCUGUGCCUAAUGCCCCGUGGUCAGUCAUCAAUCCCCACACCUAGGAAUGAAAGCCUGGCCCACGGCAAUUCCACUUCGUGCGCCAUCCCCGCACGCUCAGAAUAAAUGAAGAAAUAUCGCCGUAUGCUCAUCUCCGGCCCAGUGCCAGCUUGUAGGUGGCGACCCCUCAAGCAAGAUGUGCGAAUGAGCACGAUGGCCAAGUAAUUCAAUGAUCUGUCGCAAGUACCGAAGUCCUCAUUCUAAUAACAUGGAAUUGUGUCACAGUAUCUCAAUGGCCUAUCCCUAUGUCCUCAUGUCUCUAACAUGGAAUAUAGGCAGAUAUGUGUGGGCCAAAUCAGUAUUGUCUCUGAUGUUUCAGUUUCAUAGUUUACUAGUUUCAAUGCUUCUUGAGCACUGUUAGGCUAUAAGUCCAAACAUAGUUUAUAAUUUUCAGAUACACGGAAAUAUGAGCUAAAUUAGCAUACUAGACGGAGAAUUAACCAUUCGUCCCUGAACACCCUCACAUGCAUAAAAUACCGCCGAUUACUCUACUAUGUAGAGUGAAAUUUAACUUUACACAUAGGCAUCAUGCAUUUUUAAGUGUUCUAAAUUCACAUAAAUUCCAAAAUAACAUAGAAAUUGCAUUCAAAAAUACUUUACGAAAAGUUUUAGAAAUGCAUUAGGGCGCCAUUUCACCCCGUUUUCAUAAUCAAACCACCGUCUUCACAGAAAGCUUUCGUUUGCCACACGAAAGGCGUCCACCAACACUCUAGUACCCUAAAGGAUAUGAGAACAAAGAUCUUAGUCGAGCAACGAACGACGCUAAGUUCAAUCUUUAAGCUAUUCAAGCAUAGGUGGAGGAGGAAAACUCACCUCAAAGUGCAAAAAUUCCUCUAUAACCUCCAAAGAGAGCUAGAGUCCACUCCAAUCUCACUAAAGGAAGCUUCUAAGCCAAUCAAUUCUAGCUUCAAAAGCCAGUUCAAAUACCCAAAAAUAACCCUAAUAUUUCACAAUCUAGGGUUUCAUCUCAAAUCCAUCAAUAAAGCUCAAGUCUAGAGGGAGAGAACAAGUCACUUACCUCUAAGAAGCUUCAAACCAAGCUCCAAAAUCCUCAAAGUGUGGAGAUCUCCCUCUUCCCAAGCUCCAAGGUCAAGCUCCAAUGGAGGAAAAGCUUCCAACAAGCAAAAAGAGCAAAAAGAGGGUUUAAUCCUCCAAAAUCCAAGAGAAUGGGAUCAAAUCCAAGGGAGGAGGAGAAGAAGGGUGCCCUACCUUGCCCUCUCUGUGAUCUGAGCUCAGGAGAAGCCCUAAGGGGCGUGGGGUACUAAAUAGAAGGCUACAAUUGCGAAAACCCCCUGCAGUUCAAACUGCUCAGAUUCUGCCAAAGUGUACCGGUACACGGGAAAGUGUACCGGUACAAAUCCUACGAAAAUGCAAACCCGAGGCUCGGGUUUGAAAUUCGUCACAAGUGUACCGGUACAGCCAUCAAAAGUGUACCGGUACAAAAUGUGUACCGGUAUAGCCAUCGACCUGUCACCGGUUACACCUCGUGCAGAAUGCAAUCCGAGGGUAGGCUAAGUCCAACUCUUUGGUGACCUUAGCGCUACAUAUAAUACCACAAUUCUCGGGAUACGAGCCAUGGGUCGGAACACAGUCAACGACCCACCAGAAAGUCUGGAAAACUCGGGACACUAUCCAAACACUCGAACCUCGCAAUUUGCAAAGGUCCAGUGCGUCACAACUUCCCUCUAUGCCUAAUGUGUCAUUCAAUUGAGCAUAUGUAUAUACAUUGUUGCAUGCAUUUUAGGGUAAAGUAAUGCUAAAAAUGUGAUGUUGCAUGAUUGUGAGCACAACUUGCAUAAUGUGAUGGUUAAGAACCUUAUGAAUGUCAAAAACCCUAUAUAUGUAUGCAUGAGAGAAAGUGUGAGAACCAAAGUGAGGCGAAAGAACCGAGUGACACAAUGAGACAUAGAUCGAGUGGCAUUUGAUAAUGUAAAGUGAAGAACACUAGAGUUAGUGUGGGGCAAAAGAAUCAAUGCGAUGUAAAGAUAAUGACAAUGGCUAAAGUUAAUGCAAAGUGUGGCAUCAAGAAUAAAGAAUGGAAAGAUAAUGCAAAGUGGGCAAAAAGAACAUGUAAAGAGUAAAGAACAUGAAUGCUAGAGUUAGCCAAAAGUAAAGAAAGGCAAAGAACAAUGAUUGCUAGAGUUAGCAAAAGUAUAAGAAACGUAAAGAACGUGAUUGCUAGAGUUAGCAAAAGUAAAAGAAAUGUAAAGAACAAUGAUUGCUAGAGUAGCAAUAUAAAGUGAUGUAAAGAACACUAGAGUUAGUGUAAAGUCAAGAUUGAACAUACAAUCCUUUGAGUUAAGGAUUCGAUCAUACUUGCUAUGAGUUCCGUGCUCGAGGGCGGUCGCUUCCCCUCGGGCGAUGCACUCCGGAGUUUUUGCAUCACGGGUUGGAGUAAACCCGAAGGACGGUCCUAGCGGGUGAGUUCCUGCGAUGAUGGACUUAAUGUGAAGCAAGCUUAAUGUGGCGAAACCCCCGGGUUAGCCUUGAGAUUAAAGAACAAAGAGCAAAGAACAAAGAAUAAAGAAUAAAGGAACAAAGAGUAAAGUCAAAGAACGAAAGAACUUGCAUAAUCUGCAUAUGUUUAAUGUUGAGCAUACUUCUUGCUUAUUGUUCAGGCAUAUUAGCAUCAUGUUAUAGAUUGGUUACUAUAUUCAGCUUAUCCUUUCUAUUAUGCCUGAGUUAGUCAUAGUGGGAAAGUCGGUGAUGUUGAGGCCGAACCCACUGGGAACUUUGUUGUAGUUCUCACCCCACUAUUCUACAGAGCCGGGACCGAGCGAGCCGGCGAGCGACCGAGCUAAAGGUAUCGCGCCUUAGACAGAGACCACCAGAGUUGAGCUCAGUUUACAUUUUGUUAGUAAAGUACCCUACGUUCAUCUAUUGUAUUUGAUGACUAGUGAUGUAAAGAAAAGAAUGCAAUGUUCAUUUUGAGGUGAAUGUGAUGUAAAAGAAAUGAUGAAAGAAUGUAAAGACUUUAUGUUGUAAUGUGAUGUAAUGUAAUGAAAUACAAGUAAUCGUAAAUGUCUAAGAUGGAUGCAAUGUAUAUGAUCAAAAAUGAAUCAUAGGACUUGUGUAAAGGCUUAGUUUUCCUUUCUUUCACUAAUGGCUAUCGCUUACCCUCAUGUAAGCCGUUUGUGUAUGUUUCCGCUAGUGCACUUCUUGCUUGAAAUUGUACAUGUGAUGAGCCUUGGGCGGAUAGGGAAAACUCUGUCCGUUCGGCGUCUGUUUGACGUGCUCGGGCGGGCCCAAAUUGGUAUCGGUCCCGGGGCGUGACACAUAGAGUCAAUUUUUCAUGAUGCAUAACAUAGGGGUUUUAAGCGUUCUAAAAUUCACAUAAAUUUCACAUAACAUGAAUAUGUAUGUAUUUAUAGUAUACGAAAACAUUUAACCACAUAGGAGGCAUUUCCUCCAAUUUCAAUGAAGCCAAACCCACCAAAAGCUCCGCGCGGGCGUCCGAAACGCUAACGAAGCUUCGAUGAUCACUCCUAGCACCCUAAGAGAUAGGCUAGGGAAGUUACAACAUCGAAACGACAAUUCAUGAGUCCAAACAUUAAGCAACUCAAGGAAAGGGCUAAAAACUCACUGAAAAUGGUGAAAGUCUCUCUUGAUCCCCAAAAGGAAGCAAGAAUCCUUCAAAACCAACCUAAAGGAAGGUUCCAAUAAGAUCAAUCAAGAUCAAAAAGCCUCAACUCAAAAAUCCCCAAUUCUAACCCUAAAUCUCAAAACCUAGGGUUCCAACACACAAAACCUAUCAAAACAAAGAUCAAGAGGUAGAAAAAUACUACUUACCUCUCAAGAUGCUCCAAACCAAGCUCCAAACUAAGUGGAGUUGAAGAUCUCCUCUCAAACAAGCUCCUCUCCAAGCUCCAAGCCUUCAACAAUGGAGGAAACCCAACAAAAAGCAAGGUGGAGAAGAAAGGAGAGAUCAAAACCAACCAAAAUCCACCAAAAAUGGAGAAGAAAUCAAAGGGGGAGAGUCUCACAUUGUUCUCCACUGUUUUGAGCUCAAGAGAGCUCUCAAAGGGGCUGGGGUGAGUUAUAAAGGGGUUGCAACAAUUGCAAAAACACCCCUCCACAACUUCAGCCCGCAGAGCAAAGUGUACCGGUACACGGGAAAGUGUACCGGUACAAAUCCUGCGCGACAGCAAACCCGAGCCUCGGGUUCGCAGAAAAUCUCAAGUGUACCGGUACAACCAUCAAAGUGUAUCGGUACAAAUCCUGUACUAGUACAACCAUCAAGGCUGUACCGGUACACAGCCUAGCUGAGGCCAACCCGAGAGCAGGACCAAUAAUCCAACUUUUUGGAUUUUGGUACAAGCUUUAAACCUCAAUUCUCGGGAUGCGAGCCAUAGGUCGUGACACUGUCAACGACCUUCCAGAAUAUCUGGUAAAGCUCGGAACACAGAUCAAACACUUGAACCACGCAAUUUGCAAAGGUCCAGUGUGUUACACCCUUGUCGCCCCCAGCCACCUUCACCUCGCUCCCCUGCCCUAGACGCACACCCUCGGCCGCCGCCGGCUGAGCCCGGCCGCCGCCGAGCCAUCAUCUUCUUCCCUCUCCAUCUCUCUCUCCAUCUCUCUCUUUUCUUCUCGGGUUAGAGCCCAGGCCGAGGCUGCAUUGCCUCCAGUCUCUUACCCGGCGUCUUUCCGGAGCCUCGGCGACCCUCUCCGCCGGCCGCCGCCGCCUCGAACCGCCCCUAGCGCCGCUGCUGCACCCUGCAACUUGCUGGGCCGAGCCCUGGCCGAGGCAAGCCUGCAGCCUUUCCCGAGCGCUGCCGCCACCUUGGACCACCCCCUGCCGACUUCCCGGACCCCCGGCGUCCCUCCCCGCCGGUCGCUGCAGCCCCUACGGGCCGCCGCUGCCACCUCGGCCACACCCGAGGCACUCCUCCGGCCUCCAGCAACCUCGCCGUCCCGGAGCUCCCCAGCUGCCACCGUGGCCGCCAUUGCCCAUGGAACCCGAGCCCUAGUUGGUGCGGGCUCGGUUUGCUCCGCCGUCGCCGCCGCCGCUCUCCGCCGCCAAUCGAGGUGAGCAGUGUGCUCCUUCUUUCCCCCGCACCCACUUCUGGCCCAUGCGCACCGCGCCGUGCCGCCGGAAGCCGGCCGGAGCAAGUUUGCUCCGGCCAAGCCCGAAAUAGGGCUUAGUUGAGUGGGUUUGUUGUUUUGAGCUUCCCGAGGCCUCCUGAUUAAUAUGGAAGGGAGCACGAUGAUCAUGGCAAAUAGUUGAUCAUCGUGCUCACCUUGGUUUCUGUCGUGAAGGCCCCGUUCUGCUGUUUCAGCGGUGUCGACCCUGUAGAGCCUUUUUGGCUGCUGUUUCAGGUUUGCGUGUGUUUUUUCGGCGAUCCGAGGCUGUCCCGAUGCCUCCGGAGGUGAGGAUGGUGAUCGUUGGUUAGUGCCGAUCACAGUGUUCACCUCACUUUGGAUCAACGAAUUCCGGUUAGUUCUGUUCGGCGUGAUUUUCCCCGACUGCGCGCUGUUUACAAAAAUUUUGGGUCGCUCCCGCGCCUCCCACAGUGAGUCGUUGUGCUCCGGAUCGUGAGCAUGGCCUCCGGCGCAUCGAGACCUGUCAGUACGUGUAAUAUACCGAGAAUUCGGAAAAUAAAUAUCGAACUUUAGUCGAAUUGACCAAAGUGCGAGGAUGGUACACUUCGGAAAGCCCGAAGGUGUAAAAAUGAUCAAAAGCGUGUUAUGGGAGGUUUUCGAGAGCUAAGGAAUCAAAAUCUGCAUUCUGCAGGUUUUGUGCUCUGUAACACACCGAACCGUUGCAAAUAGUGAGGUUCGAGUGUUUGAUUUGUGUUCCGAACUUUUCCACACUUUGUGGAGGGUCGUGGAUAGUGUUCCGACCCAUGGUUCGAACCCCGAUAUUGGAGGUUUAAAAGCUAGCACCAAAAUUCGAAAAGUCAGAUUUUUGGUCAGCUCUCGGGUAGCUUGCUGCAGGGCCGUGUACCGGUACGCGGUGAUGGCUGUACCGGUACAGCUAUCGGCCCUGGCAGCCAGUGCUCCAACCCGAGGCUCGGGUUGGGCUGGUUCGUGGGAUGUGUACCGGUACACAAACCCGUGUACCGGUACACAGUGCAGACUGGGCUGUUUUUCGGGCAGGGGUGUUUUUGCAAUUGUUGCAACUCUAUUUAAACCCCACCACAGCCCUUGGGGGGCUCUUUUGAGCCCUAGACCUGUGGAGACAAGGUGAGAACUUCUCCCCCUUGAUUUCUUCCUCAUUUUUGAGGGAUUUAUCUAGUUUUGAUCUCUUUCUUCUUCUCCUUCUUGCUUUUUGUGGGUUUUCCACCAUUGGAGAAGCUUGAGAUCUUGGUUGGAGCUUGAUUGAGGAUCAACCUUCAACCCUAGAGGACUUGGAGCUUGGUUUGGGACAUCUUGUGAGGUGAGUACUCAUGAUCUCUUUUUUAGAGCUUGUUUUGGUAGGUUCUCUCUUUGGAAACCCUAGAUUUUGGAUUGUAGGGUUAGAUUUGGGGAUUUUCUAUUUGAGGGCUUUGCAACCAAAUUGAUGGGUUUAGAACCUUUGUUUAGGUUAGGUUGGAAGGACUCUAACUCCUAUUUGGAGAUCGAGAGAGCUUCCUUCGCAAUCGGUGAGUUUUCUUCAACUCUAGCUUGAAAUGCUUAUUGAUUGAUCAAUCCGUUGUUCGUUUCGUUUGGGUAACCCUUGUUCCUACAUCCUUAGGGUGCUAGGAGGCUAGCGGACACCUUCGUUCGGAGAAACGGAGAGUUCGAAAAAUUGGUGGGUUUGGCUUCAUGAAUCGGGGCAAAAUGGCCCCUAUGAGUAAAAUACUUGUCUUUUUGUGAAAGUAAAUGCAUAUUCAUACUAGAUAGAAUUAUUAUGAAUUUUGAAACACUUAAAAUGCAUGCCUUAUGUAUCACAAAAAUUUCACUAUACAGUAGAGCUAUAUGAGUAGACUGCAUGCAUGUGGAAAAGUGUUUACAUUUGCAAGUUGAUAACAUAUCUCUUACGAAGAUAAUGACUUGAAAUAUGUACCUUGGAACGUACGUAUUAUGCUUGGACAAAGAGGACAAAGUGUCAUAAAGGGGCACUCGAAACUAGCAAACUAUGAAACUGCAACAUAGAGACAUAUUGAUAGGCCAUUGUACAUCUGCUAUAAUCUAUGUUAGAGACAUGAUGACAUAGGGAUAGGCCAUUGAGAUAUUUGUUAUAUUCCAUGUUUUUAGACAUGAGGACUUGGUACUUGAGACAGAUCAUUGCUUGCUUGCCAUUGUGCUCAUUCGCACAUGCUUGUGAGGGUCGCUCCCUACAAGCCGGCACUCCGGAGAUAGCCAUCGCGACAUAUGCUCGCCGUAAGGGAUUGGGCGCCGAAAUGGGAUGCCGUGGGGGAGGCUCAUUCCUAGAGUGGGGAUGUUGACUACCACGGGGCCAUUAGGCACGGCGUAGGCCAGACAGCCUUCGGGUGGGUCUUAUAUGAUUGGAACUUAGUGACGUGCUAUGUGAACUUUAAAACUAUUAAAGUGUCAAGUGGACUUGGACUAGAAUAGUAAACAAUGACAUUUUACUAUUUAGCUUGUGGACAUCAUGAUAGUUGUAGACUUAUACUUCAUGUACAGUUGCUUUUAUACUUAUGCCAUCCAUGCUAAGUAGAGAUAUCAUGUCGUAGUAAGUUACAUUUUUACUUACUUUUCGCUUUACUGCCUUAUUGUUACUCACCCUUUUCUUUUCAGUUUUUGGGCCUAGUGGUGCAUUCACUGAAGCCAGUAAUUGCCCACUGGAAACUAUUAUUUAAUAGUUCUCACGCCCUCUGUUUUAUGUUUCCCUUUCAGAGCCCUCUGCACCGGCGGAGGCACGGGACCGCGGCAAGGGGAUCGCUAGCUAGAUAGCGAGGAUUCACUUUUACUCUUAGGUGGUUUUCCCUCUUUUUAUGUUUUGGGAGAGCGAGGGAUUUUGUUUACCAUGUAUAGAGACCGCCUAUGUACUCUUUUAGUUCUUGUAUUUGGGAUUUCUCUUUGUAUUACUUUACAAUUUUACUUAGUGGAUUAUCGCUUAUGUUCUUUCCUCUAUUGUAGAACUUAGUCAUUUAUUAUGCUCUGAUACUCCUAGAUGUCUUUUAUUAUUGCUUUAUUCAUCGUUGUUUUUAGACGCCUUAUAUGUUUUAGACGUAUGGCGGGUCUGUGCACGUGCCGGGCGGGUUUCCGCUGUGCCCCGGGGCGUGACAGAUUAAUUUGGUAUCAGAGCCUAGGGUUGAGUCUUAGUGGACCUAGCAAACCUUAGGCCGGUUGGACUAUAGGAAAUAGGCUCGUGAGAGAUGAGGUCUAUUCGACUUGUAAGUGAAAGUAUCUUGAUUGGGUAUCUUUGAUAACUCUAGAAAGUGGAGUUAAAUUGAAGUGUAUAGCUCCUAACUUCGCGGAGGGUUACGUUGGCGGCCAACAACGUAACAUCGGGAGUUAGUGGUGAAGAAUACUUCCUUACUUUCGCAUGAUUUGGGUAUUGUCUAUUUGAGCGGGGAUGCGAUAGCAUGAGCUUUACUAACUUGCGCUUUUAUGAUGUUGUAGUGCGAUGCCGAUUACACGCUCUCAAUCCGCUGGAGUUGAUACUGCGGCAAACCUGGAGGAGGUCGAGACCUCCGCUACCUCCGGAUUCGGCAAGGUCCGCGAGUUGAGGGGCCAGCUUGCGGCCCUCACUGAUAUGGUGACCCAGCAAACUGAGGCGGCGCGCCGACAGGAGGCGCGGAUGAAGCGCCUCGAGGACCUUCUUCUGCAGCAGGCGGCAGCUUCUAGGGAGACUCAGGCCCCUACACCGCCAGCACCAGUUGUGGACAUCGCGCCGAGAGCGCCGUCCCCUGCGCCUAGUUCGUCGCGUGCAGCGCCCGUAGCCGCGCCUUAGGAGGAGGGUUUGGCGGCGCCACCUGUUCGGGCACCCCCGAUUGGAGCAGCAUUCCCUACAUUGGUCGAGGGGGCGGAGCGAGAUAGACUGAUGGAGCGCCUCAAUGAGUUUAGGAGGUGCAGCCCCCGAGUAUUCGACGGCGAGAAGGUCGACCACUGGAUCGUGGAGAAGUGGUUGAUGCAUAUGGAGAAGCUCUUCCGCGACACCUUCGUGGAGGAGAGGGACAGAGUUUGGCUUGCCACUCACCACUUGGACGGCGAGGCUUACCGCUGGUGGUUGGAUCUCCAGGAGUACCCCAGCACUGACUUGGCGGCUAUUACUUGGACGAGGUUCAAGGAACUUCUGUUGGUGCACUACUUCCCGACUAGUGUCAAGCGGAAGAUGGAGCAGGACUUGCGCAACUUGCGCCAAGGUGAUCGUACCGUAGCCGAGUACGAGAGGGAGUUCUCUCGGCUUUUGCACUGCGUGCCCUUUGUCGUGCGGGACGACGAGGACAAGGCCCGUAUCUUCGAGCGAGGAUUGCGACCUUCGAUCUACCGGUUUGUGCAAUCCUCCAACCUCCAAACCUACCGGGAGGUGGUGGAUCGCGCGCUUAUCGUGGAGAGCGGCGCGGCAGAGGUACAGGAGCGGCGUGAGGCCAUGGACAAAGGCAAGGCCAAGAGGCCUGCGGCUGAGGGUGCGAGCCAGACGCACUCUAGGAGGCCGCCGAAGCAUCCGAAGAGCCAGCAGCGUGGACGCGGCUCAGCAGCACAGCGAGGGGGUUAUGACCGACGCCGGCCCUCCCCGUGUGUGAUCUGUGGUGGACCUCAUCACCCACCGCAGUGUCCACAGUGGGCGGGCAGGUGCUUCCAGUGUGGCCAGGGAGGGCCACGUGCGGACUGAGUGCCCGAGGGGUUCUUCACCGGCACCGUCGACUGCAUCGGCACCGACUCUACCAGCCGCCAGCCACGGGACUCCAUCGGCGCAGUACCAGCCUGGGCGGCCAUCCGUCCAACGGCAGAGCGAGGGUUUUCGACAGGCCCCGAGCGGGCGCAUGUAUGCCGCUCAGACCGAGGAGGCGGCAGCAGCCGAGGAUGUGGUCGCAGGUAUCAUUUUACUUGAUGGCAUUAAAGUUCGUGCAUUAUUUGAUACCGGUGCAUCACAUUCAUUCAUAGAUCGGCUAUUUGCCGAGUUGCAUGGCAUCCCGUUAGUUUCCUUAUUGCAUCCGGGACAUGUUGUAGUACCCGACCACGUUUUGGAUAUUAAAGAGUAUAGCCCCAGUUGCCCUAUUCGGGUGGGAGAUUGGGUUAUGCCCGUGGAUUUGCUAGCUCUGCGUAAGCUAGGGGACUUCGAUGUGGUCUUAGGCAUGGAUUGGUUAACCAAGUAUGAUGCCACGAUUGAUUGCAAGAAUCGCACGGUUACUUUUAGAGAACCGGGACAAGUUGAGAUGAUAUUUAGAGGAUGCCAGAGUUCGCUUUUUGCGAUGACGAUCAGCUCGUCUCGAGCCAGGCAGCUGAUCAGCAGAGGUUGUGUAGCCUACUUGGCUAGUGUUGUGUUGAGGGGCGAGGGUGAUACCCCUAGGAUUGAGGAUAUCCCGGUGGUGCGGGAGUUUUGUGACGUGUUUCCAGCUGAGCUACCGGGUAUGCCACCCGAUAGGGAGAUCGAGUUUGUGGUAGAUCUCGUCCCUGGGACUACUCCAAUCUCGAAAGCGCCCUAUAGGAUGGCACCGGCGGAGCUGAAGGAGCUGAGGGCACAGCUGCAGGAUCUUCUGGAUAAAGGCUUCAUUCGACCGAGCGUCUCGCCUUGGGGGACACCCUUUUUAUUCGUCAAAAAGAAAGACGGAUCGCUACGCCUAUGUGUGGACUAUCGUGAACUUCAUAAAGUCACGAUCAAGAAUAAGUAUCCGUUGCCGAGGAUCGACGACCUGUUUGAUCAGCUACAGGGAUCGUGUGUGUAUUCCAAGAUAGACUUGCAGUCGGGAUACCACCAAUUGAAGAUCAAAUCCGAGGAUGUAUCGAAGAUGGCUUUUAGAACACGGUAUGGACAUUAUGAGUUUACUGUUAUGCCGUUUGGGCUUACUAACGCCCCGGCAGCUUUUAUGGAUCUAAUGAACCGUGUUUUCAAGCCUUAUCUAGACAGGUUCGUCGUGGUGUUUAUCGACGACAUUUUGGUCUACUCCCGAAGUGAUGUGGAUCACGAGGAACACUUAAGGAUUGUGCUUCAAGUACUUCGAGAAAAGGAGCUUUAUGCCAAGUUGAAGAAAUGUGAAUUUUGGCUUCGAGAGGUAGCCUUCCUUGGACACUUGAUUUCAAGGUCAGGUAUAGCCGUGGAUCCCAAGAAGAUUGAAGCAAUCAAGGAUUGGCCGAGACCGACGAGCGUCACGGAGAUACGGAGUUUCCUUGGAUUUGCCGGCUACUACUAGAGAUUUGUUGAGGGAUUUGCUAAGUUAUCUACUCCCCUCACGAGGCUCACGUAUAAAGGAGUCAAGUUUAUUUGGAAUGAUGCGUGCAAGAGAAGCUUCCAAGAGUUGAAGCAGAGAUUGACGACCGCCCCGAUCUUGACCCUACCAGUAGCUGGAGCAGGGUAUGUGGUUUAUAGUGAUGCUUCACUUAAUGGAUUGGGCUGUGUAUUUGUAACAUACCACGUCCCUCGUAAAUCGUGCCGAGUUCCGUCGAAAUGAGCGGAACCCGGAGUGGAGCGAGUUAGCAUGGACCCUAGGAGCAUUAGAGUCCAUAAAUGGAGCUAAAGGGACCCGAGAGAGCAAAUCUGAAAAUCUGGCUAAGUCCCAGAUUUCGAGCUCUCGGGGACCGGUCCCUGAAGGAGAGACCGGUCCCCGUACGCGUAGCCUGCCAGGAAGUCCUGAGGCAACCGGUCCCUGGUGGUGAGACCGGUCCUCGGGAGACCGGUCCUGGAGAGGCAGACCGGUCCCUCACUGCGCAGCAGCUGAAAAACCCGAAAAUUUGGCUAAGUCCUGAAAACCCCACGUUCGGGAACCGGUCCCUGGUCGGGGAGACCGGUCCCCGAAAGCGAAAAAUGCCCAGUCUGGGCAGAUCAUGGGAAAUAAGUGGAGGGGCUUAAGUGCAAUUGUUAUAACACUUUAUAUGGGCCAUCCCCUCUCUCCCACAGCCAUUUCCCUCCUCCUCUCUCAUUUUCUCUCUUUUUCUCUCUAGAACUCCUCUAGAACUUGGAGAAGAAGAAGAAGAACUUGGAGAAGAAGGUGGAUUUGGUGUUUUGGAGGUUCUAGGAGCUCUCCAACAAGAAGAGUCUUGGUGGAGCUUGGACUAGAGGUGAGUUCUUGCAAGACUUCCUCUAGGGUUUGGGUUUUAACCUAAGGAUUUGGAGCUUUGUGCUCCUUAGAGGCUUUAGAGGCUCUUUUGAGCCAUGGAUGCCAUGGUACACAUGAGAGCUCAAGGUGCUCUCAUGGUGAAUCCUUGGAAGUUGAGUUAGAAGCCCUAGGGAUGGUUCUAAAGGUUUAGAAACCUUAAUAGAGAGCUUCUUAUGUGAUCCUAAGCUAUCUUUUGCUUAGUAACAAGAUCAAUCCAAGAGAAAACCCUAGGUGACAUUGUUAGGGCUUGGAAAUUAGGGCUUUUGCCCUAGGAUUUUUCGGGGACGAAUUGACCCCGUAGAAACCUAAUUGGGGGUGCCCUAAACGCGUGGGACAACUCCGUUUGACAUUACGAAAAUGUUAUAAUAUAGUUCAUGUACAAAAGGCCUAAUAUGGCACUAUUUUGGUUAUAGGGCGCGGAAUCGGCUUUCGUAAAGUUCGGGGGUCGUCACAUUCCACACCCACACGAUUAUUAGAGGUGGGGGGUGCACGCCGGAAUCGUUGGAUUCCCUUCUAUGUCUGUUUCACUUUUGUUGAGCAUUUUAUUAUAUAGCCAUUCAUGCAUAGUAGGGAAAUCUUACAUGUGACUAGAGACUAGAAUUUCAAUAUUAUGCUUCUUAUGUAGAUGGAUAUAGUGAUUGAACAAGAACCGAAAUGGACAUGUAUGAUUGAACCCGAGAGAUGUGUGAAUGUGAGACUUGGACUUGACCAUAGUAAACAAAGGUGACAUUGACUAUAGAGACAAGAUUGCCAUUGACGAAAAUGACCAGAAAGUGACAUGAACAAAUAGGUAGGAANCGGGAUCGCGGCAAGGGUGUCGCAUAGCUAGCUCGCGGAGAGUUCUUUUGCCUAGGUGGUUUACUCCUCCAUUUUAUAUUUUGAGAGAGUGUGAGGCUUUUGUAUCCAUGUAUAGAGACCACCUGUGUACCUACCUAUAGCACUUGUAUUUGGGAUCCCCAUUGUACUUACUUUAUGUUUUGUUUAGUGGAUUUACAGUUUUAACUUUAUCCCUUGUUGUAGCAUUUAGACUUUUAUUAUGCUCUGAUACUACUAGAUGUCUUGUAUUAUUGCUUUUAUUAUUGUUGUUUUUAGACGCCUUAUAUGUUGUAGACAUAUGGCGGGUCUGGGCACGCGCCGGGCGGGCUUCCGCUGGGUCCCGGGGCGUGACAAACACCCCCAUCGCCUCCGCCUCCAGAUCCGAAUCCCCCCUUCCUCGAACGUGAUCUCCACCAUCGCCGACCUCAUCUCCCGCGUCGCCAUUGCCGCGCGGUUCUUCUCCGACUCCCGCGCCAGCUCCAGGAGCCGCCGCACCACUGCAACCCUCGCCGCCACCGAUGAUGACGACGAUGACGCGGGUUUGGCCUCGGAAAGUAGGAGGUGGAGGAGGGAGGGGUCGGCAGGUUGCUUAGGGGUGGGGAUGUGCUAGCCGAGGGGGAGGGGUAGGGGCGAGGAAGGUCUGGAGUCGGCGCUGGGAGGUGUCCAUCUCCGGCAGGAAGAAGAAAAAGAAGAGGAGAAAAAAAAACAAGAAAAGAAAUAGUGCAAAUUUUUUCUAAAUGGUGCAAUCUUGGCCAAAAGAGUGUAAAGUCUAUUUUAAAAGAAUGCAAUUUCUAUAUGAAAUAGUGCAAUUUUCAUUAAAACAGAGCAAUUUUUUUUUAAAACAGUGUAAAUUUUUUUUGAGAGUGCAAUUUCAUCAUCUUCUUUCUUCUCCUAUAUUUUUUAAUCUUUUCUGUAGGAAAAAAGUAAUUUUUUUUAUUUUUUAUUAUUCUUAUUUUUUUCUAUAAUUUUUUUUUAUCACCACCUCUCCCUUACUUUCUAUCGCAAUCAUCACGACGUCGUCAGUGGCGAUCUCGCCGCCUCCGACGAUGUCUCGGCGUUUCGAUGCGAGGUGGAGGAGAAGAGCCUGCGUCUCGACGUCACCGUGCCCUAGUUGAGAAGAAAGGUAGCGACGCGGCUUCAGCAGGGUCGGAGGCAAGGAGGACUGGAGUGCACGGGGCGGAGGCUAGGCGGGCUGUUCCCGCCUCCGCCUCCGCUGCCUUCUUCGGAGAGAGAAAAAAAGAACGAGAGAAAAAAAAAAAGGAGGAGAGAGAAAAAAUAAUAAGAGUAUUUUGGUCAGUUUGCUGAAAUUUCGGCCUGAAUCUGCAAAAUCGAAAAAAGUGGUCCACUUUUGCAAAAGUCCAAAAUUAGUGAAUUUUUAUGCAAAUUGGCCUUUAAACUUAGGUUAAAUUAUAGAAAAUUUUUCUGUAAAUAUUCGCUUUUUUACUUUUCCUUCAUGACUAUUAAAAAAUCUAUAUGUUGCUUCUUUAAAAUUUCAGAAAUAUUUUCAGAAGGGUACGGCAUUAAUGGAGAGGACAGAAUGACCAAAUUACCCAUACUUCUUUUAUAAGAAGAAAUAACAUUUGUUAAUAUAAUUAUGUUAUUUUGAAGGAUAUUUUUUGUAUAAAUUAUAAAAAAUAGACAGAAUAAUGAUGGAAUCCUANAGCUUUCGCUUCUGUUGUUGCUUGCCCUCGUGCAAGCCUUGUAUAAAUGCUAAUCUCAUUGUUUGAUUGCUUUACUAUACAUGGUUUAGAGCCUUGGACGGGCAGGGGAGGCUCUGUCCGUUCGGCGUCUGUUGGCGUGACCCGAACCCGACCAAAUUGGCGGGGAUUGGGGCGUGACAGUAUUGAUGCAGGAUGGCAAGGUGAUCGCGUAUGCUUCUCGCCAACUGAAGGAAUAUGAAAGGAACUACCCGACGCAUGAUUUGGAGUUGGCUGCCGUGGUGUUCGCAUUGAAGCUAUGGCGCCACUAUCUUUAUGGCGAGCGGUGUGAAGUUUAUACGGAUCACAAGAGCUUGAAAUACCUGUUUACUCAGAAGGAGUUGAACUUAAGGCAGCGCAGAUGGUUGGAGCUACUCAAGGAUUAUGAUCUUACUAUUCUUUACCACACGGGCAAGGCUAACGUGGUGGCGGAUGCGCUAAGUAGGAAAUCGACAGAAAACAUAGCGAUGUUUGUGGUGACCCAACCGCAGUUGAUCGAGCAGAUGAAGCCGUUGGAGUUGGAGGUAGUGACUCCGGAUACACCUUUGAGGUUGAUGACCUUGGUUGUGCAACCUACACUUUUGGAUCGAAUUAAAGAGAAGUAAGCUUCCGAUUUGGAGUUGCAAAAGAUUAAAGGUAAAAUGGUUGAUGGUUGCACCGGUGACUUCUUAGUGGAUGACCGAGGGUUGAUGCGAUUCCGUGGACGGCUAUGUGUACCGGCGGAUGCGGGAAUCAAAGAGGAUAUUCUUCAAGAAGCGCACCGAGCGCCCUAUGCUAUACAUCCGGGAGGUACCAAGAUGUACAAAGACUUGAAGUUGCUUUAUUGGUGGUCCGGGAUGAAAAAGGAUGUUGGCGAGUUUGUAGCUCGUUGUUUAACUUGCCAACAAGUAAAGGCUGAGCACCGAGUUCCCGCGAAAAAACUUCAGAGUUUGCCUAUUCCCGUGUGGAAGUGGGAGAAGAUCACCAUGGACUUUGUGACUGGAUUGCCUCGCUCACAGGCUGGGCAUGAUGCUAUUUGGGUGAUCGUGGAUAGGUUGACGAAGUCGGCGCACUUCAUACCUAUUCAUACGACUUGGACCGGAGAGAAGCUCGCACAAGUGUACCUUGAUGAGAUUGUGCGACUUCAUGGAGUGCCUACGACGAUAGUAUCAGAUCGAGACACUCGGUUUGUGUCUCACUUUUGGAGGAGUCUGCAUGAUGCCUUGGGCACUCGUUUGGAUUUUAGCACUGCUUUCCACCCUCAGAGUGACGGGCAGUCGGAGCGCACCAUUUAGACUUUAGAGGAUAUGCUCCGAGCAUGUGUGAUAGACUUCCGGGGAGGAUAGUCGCAGCAUCUACCCAUGGCGGAGUUUGCUUAUAACAAUAGUUAUCAAGCAAGCAUCAUGAUGGCACCGUUCGAGGCACUGUAUGGACGGAAGUGUAGAUCGCCACUUCAUUGGAGUGAAGUUGGCGAGAGAUUGGCUCUGGGACCAGAUGUGCUCCAGGAAGUCGAGGAUAAAGUUCGAAUUGCUCGGGAGCGACUUUUGACGGCACAGAGUAGACAGAGGAGCUACGCCGACCGACGGCGGCGAGACUUAGAGUUCCAAGUUGGAGACCAUGUUUUCUUGAAGGUCUCGCCGACUAGAGGAAUCAAGAGAUUCGGGAUUCGGGAAAAGUUAAGCCCCCGUUUCAUUGGACCGUAUGAGGUUUUGGAGCGUGUAGGCCCGGUAGCGUAUCAACUUGCCCUACCGCCGAAUCUAUCGGGCGUACACAAUGUCUUUCAUGUAUCGGUCCUUCGGAGGUACAUACAUGACCCAACUCACGUUUUGGAGGCCAUACCAGUGGAGCUGCAUGAUGAUUUGAGCUUUGAGGAGCAACCCUUGAGAAUUUUGGCUCGCGAGGUGAAGAGAUUGCGGAACCGUGAGAUUCCCUACGUGAAGGUACUUUGGAGCAACCACGACGAGCGCGAGGCCACUUGGGAAUUGGAGAGCGCACUGCGGGAGCGCUAUCCCCAUCUUUUUCAGAUGGAGGUUUGAGGUACGUUGCUUUCGAGUUUCGCGGACGAAACUCUUUUUUAGGAGNGAUGAAUAUAAGCACAUAUGAGAUAAGAUUUGCCCCCGCUUGUAUUCUUCGCCUACAAGAAAGAGCUUCCAUCCAAAAAUUCUCUUUUCUUAAAACAAAUACCCUGACUAAAUUCUUUAUCUAAGUUGUACGUUUACAAACAAAACAAAACGAAAAAUAAAUAACAAAAUUCAAUCCGAUUUCAUUUAUUCCAACCGAAAGUAAGUUCGAUGCUAUCGUGAUUUCGUACCAAUCGGAGUAUAAGUACAUGCCGACCAAAGCUAAUCAGACACAAAGAUCCAUUAAUGACUUAGAAUGCACUAAUUAUAUUGCUGAUGUGGCGUUCUCAACCAAUGCAAUUAUUUUUUUGGAAUUCAUCAAUUCCAUCGUGUUUAUCAGAAAAAUAUUUUUAUUUUACCUUUUUCUCAAAGAAAAAGAUAUAAUUGGUUGGUUAUUGAUGAUAUAGUGUAAGUGUGACACAGUAAAUUUUCUGAUCCUUAAAUUCUUUCGUGAGAUCGCCGCUCUUCCACCAUCACUGUCGCUCCGCUCCUGCUCCCCCACCCCUUCACCCAAGCCCGCCGCUCCCCUCACUUGGUCUCACGACCUGACCAACGUGUCCUAACUUUGAAUCGUAAGCACUAACUAUUCCAAAAAUAUGGACUGAUACGACGGCGCAUUCAUCGCACUUAAGGCUUGACCACAACACUCACAGACUUCACAGACUUCGAUCCUGACUCAACUCAUAUGAACAUUAUGUCUAUUAUAAGGCCUCUUGUCGUUAGGUUUAUUAUAAACCGCAAUCACACUUAAAUUAUUAGACUAACCCAACUCAAAUAUUAGCUUCCUGAGCCUACUAUCAUGGAACAAAAAAUUAAGCAUAUUUUAGGCUAUAAUAAACAUAGUUAAUUCGUGAAUUAUUCGCGAUUUAUUGAAAAAACCGAAUAAACCGGUCUGUACACGAUUUAUUUCCAAAAGAUCGAAAUAAUACGUGAAUUUUUGGGUUAGAUUUAUUAUUUGCGAAUAAUUUGCGUAUAUCGAACUAUUCGGCCAAAAAAAUGCACAAAUUUUUGGGAUAAAAUUCCUUUCUGAAUUAUCGCCGGAUUAUUCGCGAAUUAUUGAAAAACUUCAUGACCUUCUGAAAUAUUGGAUCAUGAAAAAGAUGAAGAUGAAGACGAUAAUAAAAUUUGCUAUUAUUUUUUUUUACUUAAUCUAUUUUAUUUUAGGCCAAUUUGCAUAAAGAAUUCAUAAAUUUUAAGCUUUUGCAAAACUGGACCGUCUUUUUUGAUUUUGCAGAUUCGAUCCGAAUUUUCAGCAAACUGACCAAAAUAUCCUUAUUACUUUUUCACUCUCCUCUUUCUCUCUCCUCUUUUUUUCUCUCGUUCAUUUUUUUUCUAUCGCCGAAGAAAGUAGCGGAGGCAGAGGCGGAAGCAGAAAUGGCCCACCUCGCCUCUCACCCUCUCGCCCUCACCCUUGCCCUUGCCCUCGCCCGCGCACCCCCCACCUUCCUCGCCUCCAACCCAACCAAGGCCAUGCCACGACUUUUUUUUUUUCCCUCUCCGACUCUCCUCCACCGUCUCCAACAACGACGCCUCUCUCGCCCUUCCUAGCCCUUCUUGUCCUCUCCCUCUCCCUCCUCCUGUGCCGCCUUCGACGACGACGCAUCAUCGCCGACGCCGACACCAUGGAGGUCGCUGCGGCACUGCAGCCUCGAAGCGGGGGUCUUUAGCGGCGUCGUUGCCGGCGCCGUAGCCGUUGGCAGAGAAGGGUGACAAAAAAAAAUUACAGAAGAAGCAAGAAAAAAAAAAUAAAGAUAAAAAAUUAUAGAAAAAGAAAGAUGAAGAUGAAAUUUCACCAUUAAAAUAAAAUUGUACUGUUUUAAAAAACGUUGCACUAUUAUGAACAUAAGUUGUACUACUUAAGAUGUAAACUACAGUUUUAAGAUAAAAAUUACACUCUUUAAAUAAAAAUUACACUCUUUGAGAGAUAUUUACACUGUUUCUCCUCUUAUUGCACUCUUUCAGAUGUAAACUGCAUCCAUUAAGAUGAAAAUUACACUCUUUAAAUGAAAGUUGCACUCUUUGAGAGAUAUUUAUACUGUUUCUCCUCUUCUUACAUUCUUUGAUAUGUAAACUGUAUCCUUUUAAGAGAUAUUUAUACUGUUUCUCUUCUUGUCAACUAUUUCUCCUCUUGUUACACUAUUUUUUCUCUUAAAGGGUACAGUUUAAGAGAAAAAAUAGUAUAACAAGAGAAAAAAUAGUGCAACAAGAAGAUAAACAGUGCAACAAGAGAAGAAACAGUAUAAAUAUCUCCUAAAGGGGUGCAGUUUACAUCUUAAAGAGUAGAACAAGAGGAGAAACAUUGUAAAUAUCUCUCAUGGAGUGCAACUUUCGUUUAAAGAGUGUAACUUUCAUCUUAAUGGAUACAAUUUACAUCUGAAAGAUGCAAUAAGAGAAAAAACAGUGUAAAUAUCUCCCAAGGAAUGUAAUUUUCGUUUAAAGAGUGUAAUUUUCAUUUUAAAGCUGCAGUUUACAUGUUAAUAGUACAACGUUCUUUCAAAACAGUGCAAUUUUAUUUUAACGGUGCAAUUUCAUCUUCAUUUUUUUUCUAUAAUUUUUUAUUUUUAUUUUUUUUCUUGCUUCUUCUAUAAUUUUUUUUUGUCACCCUUCUCUGCCAGCGCCGGCGACGACGCUGCUAAGGACCCCACACUCCGAGGCUACAGCGCCACAGCGACCUCCACGGUGUCGGCGUCGGCGAAGAUGUGCUUUCGUCGAAGGCGACAAAGAAUGAAGGAAAGGGAGAGAACGAGAAGGGCGAGGAAGGACGAGAAAGGCGUCGUCGUCGGAGACGGUGGAGGAGAGUCGGAGAGGGAAAAAAAAAAAAGUUGCAGCGCGGCCUCGGCGGGGUCGGAGGCGAGGAAGGCGGGUGGUGCACGGGAGAGGGCGAGGGCGAGGGCAAAGGCGAGAGCAUGACGGNGAUAGGAAGGAGAAGAAGAAGGAGAUCAAGAGGAAGGCUUGGAGCACCUCCAUCUCCCUCUCCUCUUCCCAUUGGUGUAGCUCUUGAGGUAAGCUACUAAACCCUAGCUUUGUAAACUUAGGGUUUUGGGUUUUUAUGCUUUGGAAUGGGCCAAAUGGACUCUAGGCAAGCUUCUAAAUAGAUCAAUCCCAUGAUUCUAGGGUUUUAUCGGUGGGUUGCUAUAUGUGCAACCUAGGGCUCCAAAUGGGGGCAUUUUGUAAAGUGUGAGAUUGAUCUCAUUUGAGGCUUUGUAAACCUCAUCGAUAGGUGCCCAAACGCGGGGGCGAAGUCGAUUUCGCGAUUCGUCGAGCGAGCUUGGAUGUAAGGUACCGGACUUCUAAAAUAAUGAAGUUACGGUGUACAUUUGGUUGGAGAGCCAUUUGAAGGGUUCCGGUGAAGUUCGGUGAAGUUCGGGAGAAUCCGGGCGAUUUGGUGUGCGUAGGCGCGGAAAGGGACCCGAAAGGUCAUGUCGGACCAUGAACUAAACCCGGCAUUAGCAGGGAUUAAAAGAUGAUAAAAACAUGCUCGAAAACAUGUUUGGGGAGUCUCGGUUCGAUUUGAAACGAAUCGGAGGUCAAACGAGCGAAAACGGAGCGAAAACGGACCCCGAAAGCUGAAAAAGCUGAAAAUUUGGCUAAGUCUGGAAUGCUGUUUUUCUGGACAUUCGGGGACCGGUCCCUCAAGUCUAGAGACCGGUCCCAGCACCCGAAAAUGGCCCAGUUUGGGCUGUGUGUGACUUAUAUUGUUGAGGGACCUUUGUGCAAUUGUGCCAAGGGUAUAGAGAGGGUUGGGGGCUCAUUUCCUCUCCUUCUCCCUCACACUUUGUAACCUAAACUCUCUCUCUCUCUCUAGAAAGAAAAGAAAGAGAAGAAGAAGAAGAGGAAAGGGAAGGAGAAGGUGGAGGAGAAGGCUUGGAGAAGGAGUUCUACUUCUUCUUCCUCCUCUUUUGGCCAUUGGAGAAGCUUGUUUGAGGUAAGCUUUACACCCUCUAAUGGUAGCUUCUAGUUUAUAAGUUUUUAAGCUCUAGAAAUGGGAUUUAAUGGUGAUUUAGAGAUUGUUAAUCUCAUUUGUUGCAAGAUCUAUAGCUUUAUGUUGCUCUUUGCAACAAUGAGGAGUUAGAGCUCCAAAUGAGAGCUUUAAUGGUAGAUCUCUAGGGCUUUAGUCUUAUGCUCUAGAGAUGGAUUUAGUAACCUUCCUAGAUGCUAAUUAGAUGGAUUAUGUUUAGAUCCAAAGUUCUAAUGGUGGGUUUUUGUCUAAUUGCGACCUAGGGCUCCAAAAUGGGGUUUUAGUAAAUCUUAGGUUAUGAUCUAUUUUGAGUGGUCAGAAACCUAAUUGCCAUGUCUCCGAACGCGUAGGAAGCGACGGUUCGUCGAUUCGUCGAGCGGGUGCGACGUUCCGGCUGAAACAAGUGCUAGAAGGUCCGUUUUGGCCCGAGGAGCCGAGGCGACGUGCGAAGACCACGAAGACAAGCUUUCUAACCUUUCGGCAUUACCAAAAGGUGGGGGAGUGCCAUCCCGAAGCAGUCGGGCUACUCUUUAUGUCUAAGUGCUAAGUUGACCUAAUUGCAUAUUGUGAUAUUGCAUUAUAGGGUGCUAAAUGUAAUUGUUACAUAUUCUUGCAUGCUAAUAGAAUAGUGUAGAGUUGAGUUGCUUAACACCUAAAUCUAGUAUGCAUGAGAUUAACGUCAAAUGACUUGAGACCCUAUAAUGAAGUGAUAGUUGAUAGGAAGUGAACCUGCUUAUGUGAAUGAGAAUUUAGUAUGGUAUAACUAAUGUUUGAGAACAACAAACUUGACGAGUGGCAUCUAGUUAACAAACUUGACGAGUGGCAUCUAGUUAAUGUUGAACUUAGGAGAGAACUAGUUCCCAAGUGAUGUUGUCUAGAGUGGUAGGGUAUCCUCAGUGACGGGGAUUUGACCAUACUUAUAUGUCUGUUCAAAGCUUGGUAUGGUCGCUCCACACAAGCAGUGCACUCCGGAGUCGUCACAUGAUAGGGAUAGCCGUUUGGUUCCCGAGGGAUAGCCGUUUGGGUCCCGCAGACAGUCUUGGGCGAGUGAGCUGAUCCUCCCCAGGUGAGUUGGGUGAGUGAGUUGAUCCUCACCCAUGAGUUGAGAUUGGGCUGUCGUACCUAUGUUGAGAGUCGGGCGAGUGAGCGGAUCCUCCCCGUUGUGUUUAGAUUGUGAGUCGGGCGAGUGAGCGGAUCCUCCCCGUUGUGUUUAGAUUGUGAGUCGGGCGAGUGAGCGGAUCCUCCCCGUUGUGUUUAGAGUGCGAGUCGGUGAGUGAGCGGAUCCUCACGUAUGUGACUGAGUAGACUAGCAUAGUAGUAUGAGAUAGGCUACCUAUUAUGUUGCAGUUUAUACAUGUAUUUUUGUUGAAAGCAUAGUAUCAUGAGAUAGGUUGCACAUUAUUAUGUAGUUCAUGCAUUCAUAGCAUUGGAUUGAGGCAUAGUUGGAUAUUAGCAUCGCUUUACAUUAUGCUUUAUCGUUAUUGCUUUCAUAUAUAUCUAUCUAUCUUUCCGUCUUCGUCUUCGUCUUCCUAUGCCUCCUUAGACCUAGUGGGGAGAUUGGCGGAGUCGGCGGCCGAACCCACUGGGAACUAUAUUCAUAUAGUUCUCACCCCGCGUGGUUUGGGGUACAGGUACACACGAGAGAGCUCCGGCCGAGGACCGCGGCAAGGGCUUAGCGCCCUAGUGUUGGUAGUAGUUACUUUCCUACUUGCAUUAGAGCUACCUAUACCUUUUGAGAGUAGAUGAUGUAUAGGUGUGAGGCUAUUUUGGAAAUUGUAAGCUUUAAGUUCAUGAUGUAUUUUGGAAGCUUUAAUUGUAAUUAAAUGUAUCAAAGUUGAAUGGAUGUAAUAGCUAGUUAUUUCUCUCUUUUAUUCACUUGUUCACUACUUGUGAUGCUUGCUCUUUAUAUGUUUGGCACUGGUUGUGCUCUCGCUAUUGUUGGAUUGUGUAUGUUAUCAAGUUGUUGUCCUGGGCACUUGUGUACACAAUCUCGUUGCUUAGCCGUGGGCGGACAGGGGAAGUGCUGUCCGUUCGGCGUCUGUCCGACGCGCCCGAACCGGCCAAAGUGGUAGCGGUUUCGGGGCGUGACAGUUAUGGUAUCAGAGCGAGUUAAGAGCAAGCAAAGAGAGAGUCUAGGACUGACCUAGGAGACCCUAGGACGGUAAACCGUAAGGUUAUAGGUGUGUGAGUGGAACGUGAACUUAUGACAGCGGCGGAAGUUAAUUAAUUGGGUCGAAGUUGGUGUUGAGACUCUAGUAGUUGCUAGAGACGAUUCAAGUAGUACUAGUUCUUGACUUAAGGUGGUUGUGUUGGCGGCCGACAACACGACGCCGAGAGUCAAGGAUGAGUACGCUUGUGAACUUCCGCCUGAUUUGUGUUGUUGAGUCAUUUUAUCGCGUAAUUGCGAGAGGUUGUUGGGUUGAGGUGAUUAACCGAUUUAUUGCGUUUCAGGAGCUAAUGUCCCCGAGACGCUACGCACGUAGAUCCGUUCCGGCACCGCCCCCUGAGGUGCCAAAGCCUCCUGGGGCGCCAGGGCCAGCUGGGCCUAGUGAGGUGCAGGAAUUGCCGGCGCAGGUGACCGCACUAGCUGGUCAAGUUGGGCGGCUCCAGGAUUUGAUGGAGCGGCAGAUAGCAGCAGUGGCUGCGAUGGCGGCUGGAGGUCGUGACCCGCCCGCACCCUCGGCUCGCGUCCCUAAUGCGACUGAGAGUGAGGGUGUUCCAGCGGCGCCGGUGGCGGCGCAACCCCCGCCGGCAAGUGUUCCUCCAGCGGCAUCGAGUUCUGCGACACUCGGUGCGGCGGCCGAGGAGAUACAGCGAGAGCGUGGCUACACGGCUCUCACAAGGUUUACAAAGUUCCACCCGCCUACGUUCGAUGGAGAAGUGAUAGAUCCUUGGACGGUGGAGACAUGGUUGGCCUCGAUGGAGACCCUGUUCGAGGANUCAUAAAAUGAAAAUGCAUGCAUAUUCAUGCUAGAUAGAUUAAUUGUGAAUUUUAGAAUGCUUAAAAUACGCACGUUAUGUAUAAUGCAUUUUCGAACCUCUAUGUAGUAGAGAGCUUGCAUGUGAGACUUGUGCAUGGGUUUAGCAUUCUAAUUGGGACUUGGAAUCAUGCUUCUUGUAGUAGUUAUGACAAAUAUAAUGUGCCUUGGAUAUAAACCUCAUUGGGACUAGGAGAAUAUUUUGGGCCAUAAAGUGGCUUUAGAUUUGAAUAUCUUGUGAGGUAGGAAGCUAAUGUUGUAAUGCGGCGUCGGGCUCGAACUAUGACUGAGCCUAGCAAGUAAUGCCAUAGAGAGGCAUUAGACUCGAGCGAUAUAUAAAUUGCAUGUGCAUGUUAAUAUUAUGGAAAUUAUGUUAAGUUGGUUGUUACAUCGAAAUCAUAUGCUAGUGGAUAGAUGCAUGUUUAUACUUAUACGCAUUGUGGGAUCCAGGCUAGGCACAUAUUAGCAAUGUGAGAUCAUGCUUGGGAGCACCGUGCAUUAACCUAGAACGGGUAUAUUAAGCUAAUGUCAUAAAGAGGCAUUAGGCUUAGGUUUGGUAUAGUAAGCUAAUGUCAUAAAGAGGCAUUAGGCUUGUGAUACGUAUGGACUUAGUCAAGCUAAGGUCACAUGAGACAUUGAAUUAUUGAACGGUUAAACCUUCACUUGAGGCAUAAACUAGACACUAGGGUUACUAGUGUGCAUUUCCAUGUUAGAGACAUGAUGACUGUUGAGUUGCAUUUCCAUGUUGGAGACAUGACGAUUGGACUAUUGAGGUCUUGACCAUGCUUGCUUGCCAUUUGUGCUCAUUCGCACAUGCUUGUGAGGGUUGCUCCCCACAAGCCGGCACUCCGGAGUUAGCCUACGCGACAUAUGCUCGCUCGUGCGGUAUUGAAAAGCCUACGGGGUCGAGUAGGACAGACACAUUCCAAGAGCAGGAAUGUUGGGCUACCACAGGCACUUAGGCGGCACAAGCCGGACUACACCCUUGUAGAUCCUGAAUGAGAUUGAACCAGAAUACUAAACAACAAGUUGACAAUCACUACUAGAUAGGUUAUAGUAGUUGGAUUUUCUUGACAUGCUUGGCGUAGGGUUUGACUUUUGGGAUAUUUAGUGUACUUGACAUUAUCGCUUAUUACAUUGUAGUACACCUUGCUGCCAUGAUAGUACAUACUAGAUAUGUAGUGGGCUCUGGAAUAUAUAUCACACUUUAUAGCAUUACUUGUUACAUCAUGAUACAUUGUUUAAGUUUUGGGCAUAUUGGAUCAUGUAGAGUAGAUGUACUCCAUGUUGACAUUCAGAAUACUUGUGGCAUAGUAGAGUAGCAUUUUAAUUUCAUGCUUCAAUUACUGUUGAUAUUUNNNNNNNNNNNNUGGGUGAUCCAGAUAGGUCCGUAUUCAUAAAGUUCCUUACUUAUCAUUGGUCACGAUUACGUAGAUUAUGAUACGGACGUUUCCUUACAGUCACCUAUAUACAUAAGUAGUUAUAUAUCAUACGUACGUACGAACAAGAAAUGGUAGGGAAACAGAAAGACAUGGGUUAGAAUGGCCAAUUGAUACAAUUGGGGUUAUCGAGUGGUAAGGUAAAGGGUAGAUGGCCCCCUCCGAAAUUCGUGUUGGCGGGCUCCCUAGCAGCUGCCCCAUGAAGGGGCAACCACAGAUGUGAAGCUUCAUGUGGCGAACUCCUCCUCGCUGGAGGAGUUCAGAUUCAGGUGCACUCGGAGCUAGGCUAGGAGAUCAACUCCUAUGUUUCGGUGAUCAAUGUUACGGUGAAGAUAUUAUCCAAAGGAUGGAUAAACAAGUACAGUGAAAGACCAGUAAAAGCAGUUACCGUUAGAACAGAGAUAUCAGUUACAGUGGAAACAAAUGAUACCAGUUCAGGUUCAGAGUGUAAGUGUGUAGAGAGCCCAAGUUAGUAUGUACAGGUAAAGCCAAGAACAAGUUAGUGAUAUAGGUAGAUGUAUUCUUCGUAUUAUAACUUCAAGAUCAGAGAUCAGUGUACAUUCUAAAGGGAUGAUACGUACUUACCGAUAUAUUAUUUUACGAGUUGUUUUCACUUUGUCUGUAUCUUCCCUUAGGUUGCUAAGGCCGCACGUGGGGGGUGGAGAUUAUUAGCACACCCACACCUUACACUGCUGGGGGCUUGAAAUGCUUUCGGCUAAGGCGCGGGAUAUUGGUUUUAUCACGGUAUAAUCCGGAAAACAUGUACUUGAUAUAAUAUUGUAAAAGCAUUACAGUUUGCCUCAACAGGGUGCGCAAAUCCCGUGGGGGUUAAUCCAAAGAUGUGCCAGUUAAGCAGGGGCUUUUUAGGAUCCCGUUUUCGGGGUUAAGGGUUCGGGAUUGUUACGGUAAAUCCCAAAGAGAACCUAACUAGAGUAACAAUUCGUUUUCUACCGAAUCUUAGUAGGUUCUUCGUAGGAUGAUUCCAAAGAUUUGGAAACCUUAGUUGGGAUCCCGAAGAUUGGGUUGAAAGUUCCUAAGUGGUACUCUCGUGGAACUCGAGAGUACACAUGGUACCGUAGGUACCGAGUUUUCUCGGAGAUUUCAGAGAUUCCUCGUGUUUCGAGGUUUGGGAAUUCGGUUUUAGGUUUUGGAUCUCCUUUUGAACGUUCUUGAGUGGAGAUCAGGUUCGAGGUGGUUCUGAGAAGAACAACCUCUCGAGGAUCUUGGAGGUUUUGUGGUUUAGGUGGAAGAAGAGGUUUAAGAAGAAGAAGAAGAGGUUCAAGAUCUCCUCAAGAUCUCUCUCUUUCUCUCUUUUACUCUCUCCUCCUCUCUUUACCGACACCCUCUCUCUCCUACCGGGUAUAUUUCACAACAUUGUUAACGUGAAUUCGGGGAGGUGAAUAAAGGGUACUAGACGGGUCUGACCCGUAAAAAGCGGAAGCCCCUGGCCAGAGGUGCUGGUCCCUGGCCAAGGGCUUGCACCCCAAAAGUCCUGAAUCGGUUUAAAAGCCCAAAAAGUCGACGACGCAUCACUCCCUGUCCAGACGGAGAGGUCCUGGCCAGAGGGCUCCUGGCCAGAGUGGUGGUCCCUGGCCUACGGAGUCCUAAAGGACCGUCCGAUGCGCGUGCCCCUGGCCAGAGAGGAAGUCCCUGGCCAGGGGCUCUCGAGCUUUAGACCCUGAAUCGGUCUAAAAGUCUAAACGAGAGAGCCCAAGGAAAUCGAAGUAAAUACCUGAGAUUACGUGGAUCCCAGGUACGAUUGAGCGAGGUGAGGCCCAAGGUGAGUAAAGCUGCCUUGAGCCGUGCUAAAUGCUCCCUGCACCAUACAAUGUGGCUCGGAGAGGGCCUCACCUUCCGAGACUUUCUUUUGUAUUUUGUCCCCCGCACUCUUGAUAUUUAAUAUCAAGGGUCACCCGUUAAUGACUGGACGUAAGUCGGCGAGGUCGGAUGCCGAACCCACUGGGAACUUCGUUGUAGUUCUCACACCACUAACCCUACAGGUCCAAGCACGAGCGGGGCGGCGGAGGACCGAGGCAACGGUAUAGCGCCGUAGAUAGCGGCCACCGGGACUUUUCCUAUUUUGUAGCCAUUUCCCUUUAAUAUAUGCAUCAACUUUAUUUUGUUGAGUUAGAAAGUUGUAAAGUUGAAAACAAUAUGUAAUUGGUGAAUGGCUAAGUGUAAAGAAUUAUGAACGAAAGCAUGAAAUGUAACAAUUUAGUUUCCUUGUAUUUGGUGCAAAAGCAAUCAAGUAUUAUUUAUGGGUAAAUAUAUUAGCUUAGAGCUUUCGCUUCUGUUGUUGCUUGCCCUCGUGCAAGCCUUGUAUAAAUGCUAAUCUCAUUGUUUGAUUGCUUUACUAUACAUGGUUUAGAGCCUUGGACGGACAGGGGAGGCUCUGUCCGUUCAGCGUCUGUUGACGUGACCCGAACCCGACCAAAUUGGCGGGGAUUGGGGCGUGACACUCGGGAUCGCGGGAAAGGUUUCGCCUCGAGUUAGCUAUCGAGGGACUUGGUGAUAGGUGGUCCACCUCUCUUUUGUUUUCUUUUGUAGAGGUUAUGAGAGUUUUGUACCUGGUUAUAGAGACCACCCUAUUUUUGUAUCUUGAGAUUUAUGAUGUAUCAGUUUACUUUAUGCUUUAGUAGUAUGAUUUUCUUUUGAUUCUACCUGAUGUUAGAACCUAGCUAUAUACUUGCUCUGAUAUCUCUAGUUGCAGAUCUUCUCAUUCUUUAUUCUUCCGCUUUUGUGUAGACGCCUUAUAUGUGUAAACAUAUGGCGGGUCUGGGCGCGCACCGGGCAGGCCUAUGCCGUGUCCCGGGGCGUGACAGAUUAAUUUGGUAUCAGAGCCUAGGGUUGAGUCUUAGUGGACCUAGCGAACCUUAGGCCGGUUGGACUAUAGGAAUUAGACUCGUGAGAGACGAAGGCUAUUUAAUUUAUGAGCGAAAGUAUCAUGAUUGGGUUUCCUUGAUAACUCCAAAAUGUUGGAGUUGAAUCGAAGUGUAUGGCUUCUAACUUCGUGGAGGGUUACGUUGGCGGCCGACGACGUAACAUCAGGAGUUAGUAGUUGGGACACUUCUUUACUUUCGCAUGAUUUGGAGUGUGGUUAUUUGAGCGGGGUUGCGAUAGCGUGGGUUAUAUUAACUUGCGCUUUUAUGAUGUUGUAGUGUUGAUGCCGACUACACGCUCUAAGUCUGUUAGAGCGGAAGAUGCGGCGACUUUUGAGGAAGCGGAGACAUCCGCUACCUCCCGAUCCGGUGAGGUCCGUGAGUUGAGGAGCCAACUUGCCGCCCUCACCGAUUUGGUGACGCAGCAGGCGGCGGCGGCCCAGCAGCAGGCGGACACGGCACGACGGCAGGAGGCACGGAUGCAGCGCCUGGAGGACCUUCUAUUACAGCAGGCAGCUGCUAGGGAGGCUCAGGUCUCGGUACUACCCGCGCCAGUGGAGACAGUUGCACCCGGGGGGGGUCGUCCCCUGUAUUCGACACUUCGCAGACGACACUUACGGUAGCCCAUCGGGAGGAGGUAUUGGCAGCACCACCAGCUCAGUUGCCUGUGGCAGCGGCGACUUUUCCCUUGAUGGUUGAAAGAGCGGAGCGGCAGCGGCUCAUGGAUCGCCUCGAUGAGUUCAGGAGGUGCGAUCCCAGGAUCUUUGAUGGAGAGAAAGCCGACCACCGGAUCGUUGAGAAGUGGUUGAUGCAUGNGGUAUCAGAGCCUAGGGUUGAGUCUUAGUGGACCUAGCGAACCUUAGGCCGGUUGGACUAUAGGAAUUAGACUCGUGAGAGACGAGGUCUAUUUGAUUUAUGAGCGAAAGUAUCAUGAUUGGGUUUCUUUGAUAACUCCAAAAAGGUUGGAGUUCGAUCGAAGUGUAUGGCUUCUAACUUCGCGGAGGGUUACGUUGGCGGCCGACAACGUAACAUCGGGAGUUAGUAGUUGGGACACUUCCUUACUUUCGCAUGAUUUGGGGUAUUAGCAUUUGAGCGGGGUUGCGAUAGCGUGGGUUGUGUUAACUUGCGCUUUCAUGUUGUUGUAGUGUCGAUGCCGACUACACGCUCUAAGUCUGUUGGAGCGGACGAUGCGGCAACUUUUGAGGAAGCGGAGACAUUCGCUACCUCCGGAUCCGGUGAGGUCCGUGAGUUGAGGAGCCAGCUUGCGGCCUGUCACGCCCGGGUACCAGCGGAAGCAUAUCCGGCACGUGCACAGACCCGCCAUACACCUGCAGUAUAUAAGGCGUCUACAAGAAGCAAGUCGAUAGGAAGUAAAACAAGAGAGUCCUAUCCUGAUAUCAGAGCAAAGUACAAGACGAUAUACCACGAGUAUCCAAUCCGAGUCAAUAUACAAAGAGUAUACAAUCCACAAUCUCAGCAAAAAGGAGAAGUAACACCACUACAAUCUCAACCCGAAAGUAAAAAUACAACAGAGGGUAUACAAAAAGAAUAGGCACAACGGUGGUCUCUCUAUACAUAGGGACAUCACCCUCGGCUGAAGUCCGAGUAACAAGGUGAUGACUAGCACGCUCCUAGUAGUCCCUAGCUAGGCGCGACUCCCUUGCCACGAUCCCUAGCCUCUCCUGUAACAGGCUCUGUAAAAACAACCACCAAAAGGGCGUGAGAACUAUAAACAAUAGUUCCCAGUGGGUAAGCCGCCAGCCUCGGCGAAUUACACCACUAGGCUCAUGAUGUACUAAAUGGAAAUAAAAGCAGUAAUUUGCAUGAUAUACUUUCAAUGCUAACAACUAAAGAACAUAUAAUCAUAGUCUCAACAGUAAUGAAUCAACUGAUUAAUAGAAGCAUAGCAACUACUAUAAGCAUGAACAAAAGCAUAAAUGUGUAAGUAACUACUGUACACUGUAACUGGUAAUCAUUCAUUACUGUCCAAUAUCCUUUAGCACUUUCCUUUCAUUCACAGGGAUCUACUCAAGGUAGUCCAGCUUGCGCCGCGCCUAAUGGCCCCGUGGUAGUAUACACUCCCCACGGCAAUCCACUUCGGCACCCAAUCCCGCACGGGCGAGCAACUGUCGCGUAGGCCAACUCCGGAGUGCCGGCUUGUAGGGAGCUACCCUCACAAGCGUGUGCGAAUGAGCACGAUGGCAAGCAAGCAAAGUUCACUGUCCACAUGUCUCAAUUCUCAUGUUUUCAUUUGCAAUGUUCUCGCUCUCGAUCCUUUGAUCGACAUUUCAGUAUAACAAAUAUUAACAACAACUAGAAUCCACUAGUUUAGUAAGCAUGCAGGAGUAAUGCUACUUUACAUAUGGCAUUAGAAUCUUUCACUAUCAUGGCACUAUCAACAUAGGCACAAGCAUGUCAUAGUUCUCUACUUUAGAGUCAAGAGAAUGUUAUUGUUCUCUACUUGUAAUCAAGCAAGUAAAAAGAGAAUGUCAUUGUUCUCUACGUUUCAUGAGCAUAAUAACGUGUCAUUGUUAUUCAACUAAACCAAACAGGAAUAUGAAUACUUUCAGGCGUGAGGAUUCUCUACUUCAUAGAGAUUCUAUGUCAAUAUAGUAAAUGUUAUGAUGACGAAUUCUCGAGCCCUUUAGCUAUCACAUAAGCACACAACUAACGCAUUUCUAUAAUACAUAUAGAACAUAGAGGAGCUUCACUUGCUCUGGUUAGGUCCGACCCACCUAGUACUAGGCUCCAAAUAGUCCCAAGGAUCAACUCCACAAGUCUCCAAUCCUGCUGAACACAAGCAACAACAUCGCGUCAAAACGACGACCGGAAUAUCCGACUUUGGCCCAAAUUAUCCUUAAUACAAGGUAAUAACUUGAAUCCCUGCUUAGGGCUAGUUUAAUACCUCAAGAUAUGUCUCCAAGAGUUCCCACAAGUCAGCUAACGACGAUCCAAGGUUCGUUCGCACUCUCGCUGCGAACAACAACGAGACGGCAUCAAUAUCAUCAUAUAUUAGCAAAUAUGGUCGAAAUCUUGCGAAUUCAGUUUUCUAACUGAAAUUCCUGCGUACCUCAAGUUAGAACACCUUCUGAACCAACCUCCCAAGUCACCGAAUAAGCUCAAAUAAUAUCGGAAACCUGCUGCGAAGAAGUGAUCCCAAACUGCAUCAAGUAGCGGUAAUUACUCGCGUUUAAUUCCAAAUUAGCUUCAUAAUGAACUAAUUAUUGCUACUAAGCUUCAACAUGGCUUAUCCCUGAUCUAAGGGGGUUCAUUCACAGCUAAUUAACUCAUAAAUACAUGCUGAAAUCUCAGUUUAAAGCACAGCCAAGAGCAAAAAUCCGAAAUCGCUACUCAAAUCGACGAAUAGAACGUCGAUAACGACAAAAGUGAGUCGAUUACCUUCUUAAGUUUCCAACCAGUGACCUGCUGAUCCAGGGCUGCGAAAACCUGUCCAAAACACUCCCUCACACGUCCAUGUAGGCUCUGCAACACUCCCAAACAGCGAAGGGCGAGCUCGGCGACGACAACGGCGCAAAACGGCGACUUUUCUCUAGAGAGAGAAAAACCCUAGAGAGAGAGAAAGAGAAAAAUGGGAGAACCCUUCUCUGGACUCCAGACCCUUCCACAGUACUCCUGGAGUCGUGCUGGAGGUUAUAGAUAGGGAUCAAAAUGUGAAAAGACCAAAAUAGCCUUGCUGGCCCGAAUUGCCACUGUGUACCGGUACACCAUUGCGGCUGUACCGGUACAGCAAGCAGAAAAGGCUGAUUUUCGCCAGUUCAAUGCACUUUCUCACUUUUCGCAUUCCAAACAUCCUCUAACUUAUCCAAACACUUGUUCUAACCUUUUAGAAGAUGUAGGAGUGAUCCACACACCAUUCCACAUACUCGAACUCCGCAAUUUGCAAAAGUUCAGUGUAUUACACGGCCCUCACUGACUUUGUGACGCAGCAAACAGCGGCGGUUCGGCAGCAGGCGGAUACGGCACGCCGGCAGGAGGCACGGAUGCAGCGCCUGGAGGAUCUUCUAUUGCAGCAGGCAGCUGUCAGGGAGGCUCAGGUCCCGGUACUACCCGCGCCAGUUGAGACAGUUGCGCCCGGGGGGUCGUCCCCUGUACUCGACACUCCGCAGACGACACUUGCGGUAGCACCUCGGGAGAAGGUAUUCGCAGCACCAACAGCUCAGGUGCCUGUAGCAGUAGCGACUUUUCCCUUCUUGGUUGAAAGAGUGGAGCGGCAGCGGCUCAUGAAUCGCCUCGACGAGUUCAGGAAGUGCGAUCCUAGGAUCUUUGAUGGAGAGAACGCCGACCACUGGAUUGUUGAAAGGUGGUUGAUGCACAUGGAAAAGUUAUUCCGCGACACCUUCGUGGAUAAGAGAGACAGAGUUUGGCUCGCCACUCACUACUUGGACGGUGAGGCCUAUAGCUGGUGGGUGGGUAUCCAGGAUAAUCCCAACAUCGAUUUAGCAGCGAUCUCUUGGAAGAAGUUUAAGGAGCUCUUAUUGGAACACUACUUCCUCGUCCGUGUUAAGAGGAAGAUGGAGCAGGAUCUGCGCGAGAUGCGCCAGGGGGAUUGGACCGUGGCCGAGUACGAGAGGGAGUUCUCUCGGCUUCUACACUACGCGCCCUUUGUCGUGUGGGACGACGAGGAUAAGGCCCGCAUCUUCGAGCGAGGACUUCGGCCGUCAAUUUUUCGGUUGGUGCAACCCUCCAACCCUCGGACUUACCAAGAUGUGGUGAACCGCGCGCUCAUCGUGGAAAGCUGCGCGGCAGACUUACAGGAACGUCGGAAAGGCGCAAACAAAGGAAAUGGCAAGAGACCCGUGACUGAGGGUGCGAGUCAGACGCACUCUGGGAGGCCGUCGAGACAUUCCAGGAACCAGAGCCAGUCGAGAGGACGUGGCUCAUCAGCAGCACGGCAUGGAGGAUCCGAGCGUCGUAAGACUCUGAGCUGCGUGAUUUGCGGUGGCCGUCAUUACCCGCAGCAGUGCUCACAGAGGCAGGGCAGGUGCUAUUCGUGUGGCCAGGGGGGUCACUUCCGGUUAGACUGUCCGAGAGGUUUGGUAUCAGCGCCAUCUUCAGCACCGGCACCAGUAUUACCGAGAACCAGCCAGGGGACGCCUUUUGCUCACUAUCAGGCCGGGAGGCCACUUGUCCAGAGACAGACGGAGGGGUCACGGUAGGCCCCGAGUGGGCGCAUGUAUGCAGCCCAGGUGGAGGAGGCAGCAGUGGCCGAGUUUGUGAUUACAGGUAUCAGCUCCUUUGUGGCAUUCGAGUUGUGCAUUGUUUGUUACUGGUGCAUGGCAUCUAUGAUCGGCUAUUCGCCGAGUUGCAUGGCAUUUCGUUGGUUCGCUGUUUGUGACAUUGAGUAACCCCUUGAGCUAGGCGGUUGAUUUACGGGUUGCGGGUAGCAUGUUUUGUUAUGCUUGUAGAUCUCACGAGGAUUGCGUUAGUUACAUUCCUGGAUCGGCUAUUUGCCGUAUGGUGCUUGGAGACGACCGUGCUUGGACCAUUUGGGGACUGUGGAGCCUGGGCCCGUUGGGUAGGCGCAGUCGGCUGUGUGUGACAGCGGCCCGGUACCUAUGGGUAGGGCAGAGUUUUGGUCGGGACGGUAGUCCGAGCGUAGACCCUAGAGCGUUGGAAGCCACGUGUUGGAUCGUGAGAUCGAGGACAUGCCGAGUGUGUAGUUACCCAACCCGAGGAUUUGUUAGCGUUGAACUUUUCGACGCAUGUUGGAUGAUCAGUUGAGCGGGUGUGUCGUUUCGAGCACCCUACCACGUGAGAUGGUUUUGUGUGCCAACAAUAGAUUGACCUUCCUUGAUGUGGAGUUGUUGUGGGUACUUGGUACCCUUGGAUUGCGAGCUGAUUUGACUCGCCUUGGGGACUUUGAGCACAAAAUAGUGCGAUUUGAGGGUUUACUUUCGCUAGUUGCGUUGAUUGUCUCCCUUACCUAAAAUUGGGUGAGCGUUGGAGAGGAUUUGGGGCCUAAUUGGCCAUUAGUUUUUGGUGAUCAAGGAUCCUCGUAAUGAAGAAUGUCUUUGAUCGGUUGUUGUGCCCCCGACCGAGACACAAAUCGUGAACUCGAAUUGGCGGGGAGGUACUAUGGUUGGUGUUUUGUUUCGUGACGCAGCACUCUCACUUGUUCUGGGACCGGUUGGGCUGUUUUGACUGUAUGUCGACUCUCGUGAUUCAAAUUGAACCACGAUUGGAGGUUUGGACCGUUGACAUCCAGAAUACUUGUGGCAUAGUAGAGUAGCAUUUUAAUUUCAUGCUUCAAUUACUGUUGAUAUUUCCUGUUAUCAUUAUUUGCUCGUUUUGGGCCUAGUGGUGCAAUUUGGUGCAGGUCAGUAAUUGCCCACUGGGAACUAUAAUUUAUAGUUCUCACGCCCCCUGUUUUAUAUUUUCUUUCAGAGCCUUCCACUCCGGGAGAGGCUCGGGAUUGCGGGAAAGGUUUCGCCUCGAGUUAGCUAUCGAGGGACUUGGUGUUAGAUGGCCCACCUCUCUUUUGUUUUCUUUUGGAGAGGUUGUGAGAGUUUUGUACCUGGUUAUAGAGACCACCCUAUUUUUGUAUCUUGAGAUUUUUGAUGUAUCAGUUUACUUUAUGCUUUAGUAGUAUGAUUUUCUUUUGAUUCUACCUGAUGUUAGAACCUAGCUAUAUACUUGCUCUGAUAUCUCUAGUUGUAGAUCUUCUCAUGCUUUACUCUUCUGCUUUUGUGUAGACGCCUUAUAUGUGUAGACAUAUGGCGGGUCUCGGCGCGCACCGGGCGGGCCUAUGCCAGGUCCCGGGGCGUGACAGAUCAAAACCAUGGUUUGGUCUAGGGGUGAGGCUUGAAGGUAAGCUCCACCUUCUCUCAUGGUGGAACCCUAAGUAGGGUUUUAAUAAGGCUAAGAAUGAUUUAGAUGGACUCUUUAGAGUAUAAUGAGGCUACUUUUACUUCCCAAUGAGAUCAAACCCUAGGUUUGAUGAUGCUAUGGAGCUAGGGCACCCUAAUUGGGGCUUUUGCUCACGAGGGUUCUAAAGUGCAAUUGACCCUCUAGAAACCUAAUUGGGGGUAUUUCCGACACGUUGGUGCACUCGGAAAAACAUUACGAAAAGCCAAUGUGAAGAUAUGGGCAAAAUGACCUAAUUUGGCUUCGUUUUGCCGCAGGUGAAGAACGAGGUCUAAAAAUUCCAAGAAAAACAUCGGAGCACCUGUAAGGUACCGGACUUCUAAAAUCAUGAAGUUACGGUGUACAUUUGGUUUGAAAGCCAUUUGAAUGGUUCUGGUGAGGUUACGAUGGAAUGCAAUAUACCGGAUUUUUAAAUAUAAAAAUGAAAAUAAAUAAAAAUAGUAUAAGAUACUAUUUUUAUUGGAUUUAGAGGAGUAAAACAUAAGUCAGAAGUGACUUGUGCUGAAAUCGGAAUGAAAACAGAAGAUCUAGAAUUUUCUGUUGGAAACGGGACAGAUAAAUUAGCGGAAAAUGCACAGUCUCAGAAAAUUAUAAAAAUUGGAGGAUAAGUCAGAAAUAUUUUUAUGAGAUUAGAUUUAAAGUUUCAUAUUUUUCUGACACCCGUAGAGUGAGAAAUAAAAUCCGACAGCUAUCUGAUAAAGAUUACAGUUCGGUACAAUUUUCAGUGACCAAACGGGGUCAAAACUGAAAACUUAAGAUAUAUUCUUACUCAGUACGUUAAACCGAAGCUACCUGUCAAAUUUGAGCCCAAACGGACAUUUAGAAGGACUCCAACUGUUCCGAACUGCUAAAACUGCCUGGAAUGAAUAGUGUUUUGAGGGUGUUAAUUAAAGAAGCCUUUUGCUUCGUCCUCAGCCGACCACACCCAUGGCCACACACACACGCACGCAUGGAGGGGGGGGAGAAACCCUCAUUUCUCUCUCUAAAGAUCUCUCUCAUCUCUCCAAAUCUCUCGCUCAAAUUCGCGGCGUUGGUAGAGAAGAUGCUUGCGAACGCAUUAAUUGGAGGCGACGGAUCGAGCUUUCGUGCGCCCGUUGGAGCGGCGUAUUUUCGUCGCGGCGUUCACAUUGAGGUAAGCUUUUGGGAUUUGGCUUAAUCCUUAAUGCUUAGUGUUCUAAUAGCCUCUAAUGAGCUUUGUUAGCAUGUUGAUCCAUUUAAUUUGGAUUAUUUUUAGGUUAAUUGCAUAUUAGGGCUCCGAAUGGGAUUUUGUAAAAUAUAAGGGUUUGAUCUAAUUUGACCGUCCGUAAACCUAAUUGCUAGGUAAACGAACGCGUUGGCGAAGUCGGUUCGGCGAUUCGUCGAGCCGGUGCGAAGUUAUUAAAGAAACGGACGUUUAGGCUUCGUUUUCGCCUGGAGGGCCGAGGCGACAUCGUAAACCCAUGAAAACGGAUUUGAAACACCGUGGCACAUAACCGAAGACCUUUAAUUUUCGGAUCGUGGAUUAGAGGCCGUCCGGGUGGUCGCGCAAGAGAUCGGGCCAAACCGGAUUACGGGUGCCGCGGGAGGCCGAUUGCAAGUGUCGACAAGUAAUCAGAAAGCGAUUCGAGGUGGGUUGUGCUUACCGAAGCGACUAGGUCGCCCUUUAUGUUUAAGAAACAUACGAAUUCACAUUGAUGCAUAUAGUUGUAUUGGUAGGCUUACAUGAUAAUAUGAAUGCUUGAAACAUAUUAUGUAGUUGAUAUUACCUACCAAUGAGAUGAAAUGUAUAAUGAAUUAAGUGGUAAAAGAAUGCAUGAGAUGCUAAAUAUAGACUACUUUGGAUGAUGAUUAAAUGUAUGUUGACAUAUCAUACAAUGUGCAUGACGACAUGUUGUGAAUUAACAUAUUGUGGAUUAUGUUAAAUAGAAACAUAUACAUGAUGACAUAUAUUGCAUAUGAUAGAAGAAUUAUACAUGUUGCCAUAUUAGGAAACUUAUGGAUGAAUUAAUCAUGUUGAAUCUUGUCGAUUAGUAGAAAUUUGACAUGGACAAACCAAGAACACCGAGUGCAUAUAACUGUAGGUAUUUUUCCACUCCCAAGAAUUUGAAAUCCUAGGAUAGAUGAAACCCUUAGGAGUAAAUGCCUUAUGGAUAAGAAUAUAAUAAACCUAAUACUCUCAUAUUGAGAGUGUAGAGGUUAUCAGAUAUUACCCUAUUGUAGACAACCUCACUGAAGAUCGGAUUGGAUAUUUGAACUCUAGUAUAUACGGAGCAUCCCCUCACUUGGGAUGAGGAUUGGAUGGAGGGAGUGCGUUGGAACCCUAUUGUAGGCGUAUCCUCACUUGAGAGAAAGAUCUAGCUCAAGAUCUGAGUAUCUGGGAUGGUAUAGCCAUCAAAAUCCGCUCAAACAUGGAGGGAUUGUCGUCCUAGGUAUUCCCGAGUGUCGCGCGACUGAGACACUUUGGAGUCCGCAACUCCACAGUGGAGGUCCGCAACGGUCCCAUAGCUUGGUGCACUUGAGCUCCCUCCACUUUGGAUGAAAGGUGAGUUAUUGCAUGGACCCUAGCUUACGCUACAGAUUGGUCAAAAGAACAUUGAACAAUGCCAUGAACAUAUUAUUCUAUACAUGGAUCGAAUUUGUAGCAUGAAGUAAAUCCUUUACUAUUUGAUGCAUGAUGAGUAUUAGUUGCAUCCCAGAUGAGUGGAUUAGGUGCCGAGUCAUAUGUAGACUUUCUUCCAUUGGAGCCUACGGCUUUGUGCGGUAGUCUCCCGACAUAUGAUUGACUCAAGACCGAGUCGAGUGGUAUUAGCUUCAUGAAACAGUUAAAACCUAUGACGAAUUUGUAAUUGACAGAACUAACGAUAAGCGAAAACUUAAAUGAAGUCAAUUAAGGUGAACUCCGGCAUGAACCGAUAAAAUAGUAUCAGAUUGAACACAAAUCAGUUGUUGCAAUCCAUUGCAAUAAACUUGCAUGAAUAUCAUAUUUGCUUUGGAGCACAAACAGUAGAUCAAUACUUGCAAUAAUAUAUCUGUUGGAUACUCUGUUGGCACUAACAGCUUGCAGGGCAAUCCUUUUAGGCCGGCUAUUAGUCGAGCGUUUCCACUUGGUGAUCGCCGGGACUCCACUAGAACUAGAGUUGUUCUCACCCAACGUUUUUCCAGCCGUUGUACCAGUUGCGCAAACAACAUGACGUACGCGGCGGCAGGAAGGCGAGUCGCGUAGCUCAAAUAGGCGCCCUAUCCCCAAAACCCCCCGAGACGAAGAUAAGGUACCUCCGAGCGUCCCCGGCAUAAUCGUAAGGGAUAGAAGGAAAAGAAAAGAAAGUAGCAACUUUAAAUAAAUUGUUCGACAUUAAUUGUAGUAUGGAUAGAAAAUUCAUGUAAUAACAUCCCUAAUGUGAUGUAAAUGAAUCUAAUGUAAAGCUUGUAAUAACAUACAGGAUGUUUACUCGUGAUACUUCCUAUGAAUCUUCGCUUGAAUACUGUCUCUUCUGUCGUUUUGAACUCUUGUACAUUGUAUUGUAUGGCGACGCCUAGGAACGUACAGGGACACUCUGCCGUUUCGGCGUGCUGUCGGGCCGCCCUGCGACCCCAAAUAGGCGUGUAUCGUGAGUCGUACAGCACCUACGAGCUGGUGGUGCCUAUUCAAAAAAUCAUGAACCACUUCUAUAGUCCUAAUGGGUCAUUCAUUCAAAUCAUACUUUACAUACAUUGUUUGCACUGCAUUAAUGUAAAGUAAAGAAAAGUAAAUUGUUGUGGCAUUAUGUGAUUACAUCUGCUCUAAAUGAUGGUUGAAACAUAUAGAAUGUUGAACCUCUAUAUGUAUGCAUGAGAGGACAAUGAGCACCACAAGUGAAGGCAAAAGAAACAAAGUACACUAUGCUAGAUCGAGUGCAUUUGAUAAUUAAAGUAAAGAAAUAUAGUUAGCUCGUGGGGCAGAGAAUCAAUGUGAUGUAAAGAUAAUGACAAUGGCUAAAGUUAAUACAAAGUGUGGCAUCAAGAAUGAAGAAUGAAAGAAUAAUGCAAAGUGGGGCAAAAAGAACAUGUAAAGAGCAAAGAACAAUGAUUGCUAGAGUUAGCAACAUAAAGUGAUGUAAAGGACACUAGAGUUAGUGUAAUGACCUGAUUGAACUUAUAAUCCUUAGAGUUAAGGAUUCGAUCAUACUUGCUAUGAGUUCCGUGCUUGAGGGCGGUCGCACCCCCUCAAGCGAUGCGCUCCGGAGUUUUUGCAUCACGGGUUGGAGUAAACCCGAGGACGGUCCUAGCGGGUGAGUUUCUGCGAUGAUGGACUUAAUGUGAACCAAGUUUAAUAAGGUGAAACCCCCGGGUUAGCCGUGCGAUUAAAGAACAAAGAACAAAGAACAAAGAGCAAAGAACAAAGAAUAAAGAGUAAAGAACAAAGCCCUUGCAUAAUCUGCAUAACUAUGUUGAGCAUAUUCCUUGCUUUAUUGUUUAGGCAUAUUAGCAUCAUGUUGUAGAUUGGUUACUAUAUUUCAGCUUAUCCUUUCUAUUAUGCUUGAGUUAGUCCUAGUGGGAAAGUCGGUGAUGUUGGGGCCGAACCCGCUGGAAACUUUGUUGUAGUUCUCACCCCACUAUUUCCACAUAGCCGGGACCGAGUGAGCCGGCGAGCGACCGAGGUAAAGGUAUCGCGCCUUAGACAGAGGCCACCAGAGUUGAGCUUGGUUUAUAUUUUGUUAGUAGAAUACACUAUGUUCAUCUUUUGUAUUUGGUGACUAAUGAUGUAAAGAAAAGAAUGUAAAGCUUAUUGUGAGGUAAAUGUGAUGUAAAAAGAAAUGAUGCAAGCGAUGUAAUGUAAUGAAAGGCAAAGAAUCAUGAAUGUAAAGGGAUACAUGUAUGUGAUCAAAGUGAAUCAUAUUACUUGUGUAGAUGUUUAGUUCCUUUCUCUCACUUAUGGCUACCGCUUACCCUCGUGUAAGCUGUGUUUGUAUGUUUCCGCUAGCGCACUUCUUAUGUGAAAAUGUACAUGUGAUGAGCCUUGGGCGGAUAGGGGAAAACUCUGUCCGUUCGGCGUCUGUUGACGUGCUCGCACCGGCCCCAAAUUGGUAUCGGUCGAGGGGCGUGACAGAUAUUAUGGUAUCAGAGCGCCCAAGCGUGAAAGAAUAGGAAUGGACCUAGAGACCUAUAGGAUUGGAAGACCUUAGGGGCCUAGGAAACAUGAGUGACGUGAAAUUAAAGUUAGCGAAAGCAUAUGAUUGGGUUAAGUUGGGACGUCUCUAAUGUGAUUAGAGGCUAGGUUUAAUUAUCAUUCGUUCGUUAUUUCUCAUGUUAUGUCGGGCGGCCGACGACAUGACACUUGAGGCAAGGAUGAAUGUGUAUGUUGCUUUCGCCGGAUGGGGUAUGGUCAAGUAAUGUCGGUUAUGUGGCUAAUGCGAGUUGCUUCUUUUCAGGAAGCAAUGGCACCUCGACGUCGAUCGCAGACAAGGUCGAUGCCGGAGGAGCCGAGCGUAGAGCCUGAGCGACCCGGAGCGAGUGGCGACGAAGAGCUUAAGGAGCAAAUGGCCGCGCUCAUUGGAGCAGUGCGGCAACAGGCGCAGUCUAUUCAUAGCCAAGGGGAGCAGAUUCGGCGGCUCCAGGAGACCUUGGAGCGUCAGCAAGCAGCGGCGGCCCAGGCGAGUGUCGAGCAUGCUACACCCCCUGUGGUAGUGCCGAGUGUUGUUGUGGGAGCAGCGGAGCCAGUUGCGGCUGUACCAGUCACGGCGGUGCCGGCCGGAUCGGGAACCUCGAAUCCCGAUGGUGCGGCAGUCGAUGCGGAGCGAGAGCGCAUGUUGGCGGCACUUAUUUAGUUCCAGAAGUUCAACCCACCUACCUUUGAGGGUGGAAUGGUGGAGCCGACAGUUGUGGAGUCGUGGAUCGACUCGAUGGAGACCCUAUUCGAGGACUUUAAUACCUCAGAGAAGGAUAAGGUGUAUCUCGCCACCCAUUGCCUUGAAAAAGCGGCGAAGGUGUGGUGGAAGCGAGUGAAGCGGGAUCGUCCUACCGAUCUUCCGCUUAUGCUAUGGGAAGAGUUCAAGAGAGCAGUCUUCGCGAACUACUUCUCCGACACGGUGAAGAGGAAGUUGCAGGAAAAGUUCCGCAAGCUGCGACAGGGUGAUCGAUCGGUGGGGGAGUACGAGCAAGAAUUCUCCCACAUUAUUGACUGCGUUCCCGACGUUGUUCGUGAUGAUCGUGACCGGGCGGAUUGGUUCUUGCAAGAACUCCAGCCUCGAAUUUAUGAGAAGGUGCAAAUCCUAAAGUUGUCGACCUUUGUAGAGGUCUUCGAUAGAGCGUUGUGGGCGGAGCAUGGUAGUGCCCAUGUACGUGAGGAACGGGAGGCCCUAGCCGAGUCGAAGGAUAAGGGCAAAAAGCGAACGGCGGGUAGUGCCGGGGGCCGGUCAAGUGCGAAGAAACCCCCUCGGUAUCCCCAACGCAGUCGAGGAGUUGGAGACCACCUCGAUGUGUUGUUUGUGGUGGAGAGCAUAAGGUGUUGGCUUGCCCGCAGAGCGAUGGCAAAUGUUUCAAGUGUGGCCAACCGGGACAUCGUAUCCGGGAGUGCCCGACAUGGUCGUCUUCUGCGCCGACAGUGGCAUUAGCACUGUCUACCCCGAGACAGCUUGCGGAGUUACUACCAGCGAUGUUGGCUGGGCGCACAUCAUCACCGCGUCAGCCGGAGGGAUCGAGAGCGCCUAGCGGCCGAGUCUUUGCCGCUCAGGUGGAGGAGGAGCAACAGCCUGCCGCACCCGACGAUGUCGUGGCAGGUAUAAUUAUGAUUAAUGGCACUAGAGCUAGAACAUUGUUCGAUACUGGUGCAUCACGAUCAUUUGUAGGCUCAAAGUUUGCAAAGGCACAUGGCAUAGAAAUGACACAUAAUGAUAAUUACUGGUGGGUGAAUGGUCCCGAGCACUCGUUUCGCGUUUAUGAUGAGUGCUUGGAGGUUCCGGUGCAGGUUGGCGACUGGAUCAUGCCAAUAGACCUACUGGUGCUAGACCGGAUGUGGGGCUUCGAUGUUAUUUUGGGGACCAAUUGGCUCUCCAAAUACUAUGCGGUCAUAGAUUGUGAAAGUAAGGUUAUCACUUUUCGUGAGCCUAACCAAAAGGAAUUCGUGUACCGGGCAUGCAAAGGUGCGCGUUUCGCGACGACUAUAUCGUCAGUGAGGGCUAAGAGAAUGAUCAAAGGAGGAUGUAAGGCCUAUUUGGCAACCAUGGUUGAUGGCCGUAGGGAGCACCCAGAUCUUGGAAGUAUCCGGAUUGCGUGCGAGUUUUCGGAUGUAUUUCCGGCGGAGUUACCAGGAUUGCCACAGGACCGGGAAGUUGAGUUCGUUAUUGAUUUAAUUCCCGGGGCGGCGCUAGUUUCGAAGGCUCCGUAUAGAAUGGCACCGGUGGAGUUGGUAAAGCUGAAAGGACAAUUACAAGACUUGCUCGAUAAAGGCUUCAUGAAGCCGAGCGUGUCUCCGUGGGGAGCUCCGGUGCUAUUUGUGAAGAAAAAGAAUGGCACACUUCGACUCUGCGUAGAUUAUCGCGAGUUGAACAAAGUGACGAUAAAGAACAAGUACCCGUUGCCGAGGAUUGACGAUUUAUUCGAUCAGUUGCAAGAGUCCAAGGUGUAUUCAAAGAUUGAUCUCCAGUCAGGGUAUCAUCAACUAAAGAUAAGGCUGAAGGAUGUGCACAAAACGGCGUACCGUACGCGGUAUGGCCAUUAUGAAUUCACAGUAAUGCCGUUUGGGCUUACUAAUGCCCCGGCAGCAUUUAUGGACCUAAUGAAUCGAGUCUUCAGGCCAUUGUUGGACCGGUGCGUCGUGGUGUUUAUAGACGACGUAUUGGUCUACUCGAAAAGCGAGGAGGAGCACGAAGAGCAUUUGAGAGCUGUGUUGCAGAUACUCAGGCAAGAGAAGCUCUAUACUAAGUUAAAUAAAUGUGAGUUCUGGUUGAAGGAAGUCACAUUUUUGGGCCACGUGAUAUCGGGCGACGGAGUGUCGGUAGACCCGAAGAAAGUAGAGGCAGUAAACGAUUGGCCUCGCCCGACGAAUGUAGCGGAGGUCCGCAGUUUUCUUGGACUUGCGGGCUACUACCGGCGGUUCGUGGAGAGGUUCGCCAAAAUAACCACUCCACUAACGCGCCUUACGCAUAAAGGAGUAAAGUAUGUUUGGAACGACGAUUGCGAUCGGAGCUUCGAGGAGUUAAAGAACAGGUUGACGUCGACCCCGGUUCUUGCUUUGCCGACUCCGGGGGAGAUAUUUGUAGUGUAUAGUGAUGCCUCUUACGUUAGUCUUGGGUGUGUACUAAUGCAAAAUGGGCGGGUCAUUGCUUAUGCCUCGCGCCAAUUAAAGAGUUAUGAGAAAAACUACCCGGUUCACAACCUUGAGUUAGCCGCGGUGAUCUUCGCGUUGAAGCUUUGGAGGCAUUACUUGUAUGGUGAGCAUUGUGAGAUCUACACUGAUCAUAAAAGUCUAAAGUACUUGUUCACCCAGAAAGAGUUCAAUAUGCGACAGCGGCGGUGGUUAGAGUUGUUGAAGGACUACGAUGUCACUAUACUGUACCACCCCGGGAAAGCCAAUGUUGUAGCCGAUGCGUUGAGUAGAAAGUCGGCGGAUAAUUUAGCGACGGCAAUCACGCCUCAACCGCUAUUGCACAAGGAAAUGCAACGUCUUGGGUUGGAAGUAGUAGCGCUGGGAGUGCCGGCCGUUCUUACUGCAUUGAUCGUGCAACGGACCCUGUUCGAGAGGAUUAAAGAACUUUAAGCUUCGGAUCCUUAUCUCCAAAAGGUUCGAAGUGAAGUUAAAAAUGGCAAUGCCGAAGACUUUGGUGUUGGAGCCGAGGGCGCACUUCGAUUUAGAAAUCGAUGGUGUGUGCCUAAGGAUGAUGAGUUGAGAAGGGCGAUUAUGCAAGAGGCGCACCAAUCCCCUUAUAGCAUACACCCAAGUGGCACUAAAAUGUAUAAGGACUUGAGAGAGCACUAUUGGUGGCCGGGUAUGAAAAGAGAUAUUGGGGAGUUCGUGGCGCAGUGUCUAACGUGCCAACAAGUUAAAGCAGAGCGCUGAUUUUCGGCGGAAAAGCUACAAAGUCUAUCAAUACCCGUUUGGAAAUAGGAAGAUAUAGCGAUGGACUUUAUUACUCGUUUGCCUUGGUCUCAAGGCGGACACGAUGCGAUAUGGGUGAUAGUGGAUCGAUUGACAAAGUCGGCACACUUUUUGCCGAUACACACUACGUGGUCGGGAGACAAGCUAGCGCAAGUUUAUCUCGACGAGACUGUGAGACUUUAUGGGGUUCCAGUGUCGAUUGUGUCAAAUCGAGACCACAGGUUCACAUCUCAUUUCUGGAAGAGUUUGCAAGAUGCGUUGGGCACACGGCUCGACUUCAGUACAGCGUUCCAUCCUCAGACUGACGGACAGUCGGAGCGGACGAUACAGAUCCUUGAGGAUUUACUUCGAGCGUGUGUACUCGAUUAUAAAGGCGGUUGGAAUGAUUUCUUGCCGAUGGCGGAGUUUGCGUAUAAUAACAGUUACCAAGAAAGUAUCGCGAUGGCUCCGUUUGAAGCCUUGUAUGGACGCAAGUGUCUUUCUCCUAUCCAUUGGAGCGACGUGGGCGAGAGAGCGGCCCUUGGCCCAGAUGUGGUACGGGAGACGGAAAAAAAGGUUCGUCUUGCUCGUCAACGAUUAGCGGCGGCGCAAUCUCGGCAAAAGAGCUAUGCCGACAAGCGAAGAAAGGAUUUAGAGUUUGCGGUUGGAGACCGUGUGUUUUUUAGAGUGUCGCCGAUGCGAGAAGUAAAGCAGUUUGGGGUCCGCGGGAAACUAAGUCCCCGUUAUGUCGGACCAUUUGAGAUAUUGGAGCGUGUGGGUGCGGUAGCGUACAAGCUCGCACUACCACCAAGACUCGCGGGAGUUCACAAUGUAUUCCAUGUGUCAAACCUUCAGAAGUAUAUUCGCAACUCGACACAUGUGUUAGAAUAUGAGCCCGUGGAGUUACGCGAAGAUAUUUCUUAUGAGCAGUACCCCGUAUGCAUACUCGAUCGAGAGGAACGAAGGCUGCGGAGUCGCAGAAUUCCUUAUGUGAAAGUCCAAUAGAGCAACCAUGCGGUGCGAGAAGCCACUUGGGAGCUCGAGGAAACGAUACGGCGGGAUUAUCCGCAUUUAUUCGAGUCAACGAGUUAAGGUAUGGUUAAUUUCGAGGACAAAAUUAUUUUAAGGGGUGGAGAAUGUAAUAUACCGAAAAGCUUCGGCAAAUAAAUAUCGAACUUUAGUCAAAUUGACCAAAGUGCGAGGAUGGUACACUUCGAAAAGUUCGGAGGUGUUAAAAUGAGUAAAAGUGUGUUAUGGAAGGUUUUCGAGAGCUAAGAGGUCAAAAUUCUGCAAACUGCAGAAUUUUAGCUCUCGGGGACCGGUCCCUGGUGGGAGAGACCGGUCCCCGAACGCGUGAGAAAUGAGACAGCCAAAAAUUUGGCUAAGUCCCAGAGAAGUAGCUCUUGGGAACCGGUCCCUGCCUGAGAGACCGGUCCCCCGGAGAUCGGUUCCCUCAAAGAGAGACCGGUCGCACUGCGCGCGGCAGCUCUGGCUGCGCUGGGAUGAGCUUCGGGAACCGGUCCCUGGUCGGGAGGAUCGGUCCCCGCAUGCGAAAUCUGCCCAGUCCAGGCAGUUGAAUAAGAUGAAAGUUGAGGGGUUGGGCUACAAUUUUGCAACCCAUAGAGAUAUGUAUGAGGGGUAUUGAGGUAUUUCUCUCAUUCUCACCCUCUCAUCCCCUCUCAUCUCUCUUUCUCUCUCAAGAAGGAAAAGAAGGAGAAGAAGAAGACAAAGGAAAAGAAAGAAAGGAAGGAGAAGAAGAAGGUAGAGAACAAGAAGAAGAGUUGAAGCAACUCUCUCCUCUCCUCCUCUAGCUUGGAAAAGGAAAACUUACAAGGUAAGCUUUGAACCCUAAUCGUGGUAGAACCCAAACUAGGGUUUGGAUUAGGUUAGAAAUGGUUUUUAUGGAACCUCUUGAGUAUUUGAAGCUUUCUUUUUGCUUUUUUAGAGAUCAAAACCAUGGUUUGGUCUAGGGGUGAGGCUUGAAGGUGAGCUCCACCUCCUCUCAUGGUGGAACCCUAAGUAGGGUUUUAAUAAGGCUAAGAAUGAUUUAGAUGGACUCUUUAGAGUAUAAUGAGGCUACUUUUGCUUCCCAAUGAGAUCAAACCCUAGGUUUGAUGAUGCUAUGGAGCUAGGGCACCCUAAUUGGGGCUUUUGCUCACGAGGGUUCUAAAGUGAAAUUGACCCUCUAGAAACCUAAUUGGGGGUAUUUCCGACACGUUGGUGCGCUCGAAAAAACGUUACGAAAAGCCAAUAUGAAGAUAUGGGCAAAAUGACCUAAUUUGGCUUCGUUUUGCCGCAGGAGAAGAACGAGAGUCUAAAAAUCCCAAGAAAAUCAUCGGAGCACCUAACUAAACCUACGAGGUGGGCGGUGCUAUCCAAACUCAUUGAACUUCCUUUUAUGCCUAAUGUGUCAUUCAAUUGAGCAUAUAUUACAUACAUUGUUGCAUGCAUUUAGGGUAAAGUAAUGAAAAGAAUGUGAUGUGGCAUGAUUGUGAGUACAUCUUGCUUAAUGAUGGUUGAGAACCUAUAUAAAUGUGAAACCCUAUAUGUAUGCAUGAGAGGAAAUAUGAGCACCCAAGUGAGGCAAAAGAACAGAGUGACACACUAUGACAUAGAUCGAGUGGCAUUUGAUAAUGUAAAGUAAAGAGCACUAUAGUUAGUGUGGGGCAGAGAAUCAAUGUGAUGUAAAGAUAAUGACAAUGGCUAAAGUUAAUACGAAGUGUGGCAUCAAGAAUAAAGAAUGAAAGAAUAAUGCAAAGUGGGGCAAAAAGAACAUGUAAAGAGCAAAGAACAAUGAUUGCUAGAGUUAGCAACAUAAAGUGAUGUAAAGGACACUAGAGUUAGUGUAAUGACCUGAUUGAACUUAUAAUCCUUAGAGUUAAGGAUUCGAUCAUACUUGCUAUGAGUUCCGUGCUUGAGGGCGGUCGCACCCCCUCAAGCGAUGCGCUCCGGAGUUUUUGCAUCACGGGUUGGAGUAAACACGAGGACGGUCCUAGCGGGUGAGUUCCUGCGAUGAUGGACUUAAUGUGAAGCAAGUUUAAUUAGGCGAAACCCCUGGGUUAGCCGUGCGAUUAAAGAACAAAGAACAAAGAACAAAGAACAAAGAACAAAGAAUAAAGAGUAAAGAACAAAGCCCUUGCAUAAUCUGCAUAAUUAUGUUGAGCAUAUUCCUUGCUUUAUUGUUCAGGCAUAUUAGCAUCAUGUUGUAGAUUGGUUACUAUAUUUCAGCUUAUCCUUUCUAUUAUGCCUGAGUUAGUCCUAGUGGAAAAGUCGGUGAUGUUGGGGCCGAACCCACUGGAAACUUUGUUGUAGUUCUCACCCCACUAUUUCCACAUAGCCGGGACCGAGUGAGCCGGCGAGCGACCGAGAUAAAGGUAUCACGCCUUAGACAGAGGCCACCAGAGUUGAGCUUGGUUUACACUUUGUUAGUAGAAUACCCUAUGUUCAUCUUUUAUAUUUGAUGACUAGUGAUGUAAAAAAAAGAAUGUAAAGCUUAUUGUGAGGUAAAUGUGAUGUAAAAAGAAAUGAUGCAAGUGAUGUAAUGUAAUGAAAGGCAAAGAAUCAUGAAUGUAAAGGGAUACAUGUAUGUGAUCAAAGUGAAUCAUAUUACUUGUUUAGAUGUUUAGUUCCUUUCUCUCACUCAUGGCUACCGCUUACCCUCAUGUAAGCCGUGUUUGUAUGUUUCCGCUAGUGCACUUCUUAUGUGAAAAUGUACAUGUGAUGAGCCUUGGGCGGAUAGGGAAAAACUCUGUCCGUUCGGCGUCUGUUGACGUGCUCGCACCGGCCCCAAAUUGGUAUCGGACGCGGGGCGUGACAUAGAAGCUCUCGAACAAGAAGGAGCUUGCUAGAACUUGGGCCAAGGUAUGUUUUUAGCAAAGAUGAGUCUAGGGUUUGGGUUUAGGCCUUGGAUUUUUGGGUUUUGAUCUCUCUACAAGUGAGGAAAUCCUCUAGAGACCUUGAAACCAUGAAAUCCAUGGUUGUCUUGGACUCCUCUCAUAGUGAACAUCUAGGGUUCAUCUUGGAUGCCCUAGAAAUGGUUUGGGAAGGUUCUAACUUAGUUCCUAAUGCGUCAACAAGCUUUCUUUUGCUUGUACAAAAGAUCAAAACCUAGGAUUUAAUAGAUGCUAUACUAGGGCAUCCCAAAGAGGGUUUUUGCCCAAGUUGAGUUUUGAUCUAUUUUAAUCAUGUAGAAACCUAAUUGAGGGUAUUUUAAAUGCGUUGGAAUGCUCGGUUCGACAAUCCGACGAGUGUACGCAAAGUUAUUGACAAAAACGUCAUUUUUCGUACAGAUAGCCGCAGCACGCGGACUAGGACUUCAAAAAUUUCAAAAAAUUCACCGUAGCAUCCUCUCAACCCUCUAAGGUGGGUGGUGCAUUCCAAGGACUUCGAAAAUCCCUUUAUGUCUAAAGCAUCAUGUUUGAACAUAUAUGUAUAUAUUGAGCAUAUUGCAUAGUAGGGUUAAUUGUGAGCUUUAUUGCAUGAUUGUGAAAUUAACUUCGUAUGAAAUACUUGUGAGAAUGUGAGAAUUGUCAACCUAUGUAUGCAUGACAAGUAACAAGAACCUGGAAGGGUUAGUGAACAAACGUGACACAUGGACAUAGAUCUAAUGAGUGGCAUUGAUGAGUCUAGAACACUUAGAAAAUAAGUGUGGCAUUUGGCAUGAGAACAAGAAUAUAGCACUUAGAAAACAAGUGUGGCAUGAGUAUAAGAACUUAGUAGUGUAUAUGACACUAGUGCUAGAAGAGAAUGCAAGAAAAGAAUGAUUGAGACAUUAUGACAUUUCAACCUUUGAGUUAAGGGUCAUUUGAACAUGGUCUUCCUUAAAGUUAAGGAACGGAUUGAACUUGGAAUUCUCAAUGUAGGAUUGAUCGUACUCACCUUUUAGUCCUUGCUCGAGGGUGGUAGCUCCCCCUCGGGCGAUGUGCUCCGGAGUCGAUAUUACUGGGUCGUAGCGGGUAUCUCCCCAGAGGACGGUCCUAUCGGGUUGUAGCGGAUAUCUCCCCGGUUAAAUAGGAUUUUGGGUUGGUGAGUUUGUUGAGGGCGAAACCUACGGGUUAACCAAGAGAUUGGGUAAAGAAAUUGUAAUCUUGCAUUCAUCAUGAAUAUUAUAUCGAGCAUCGCAUUUUAUAUUGUUCAGGCAUAUUAGUUGCAUUUGUUAGUUUGUUACUUUCUUUCUUCGAUUCUAUUAUGCCUGAUUAGACCUAGUGGGAUAGUCGGCGUUGUUGUUUACCGAACCCACUGAGAACUUUGUUGUAGUUCUCACACCCCUAUUUCCACAGAGCUAGGACCGAGCGAGCCGGCAGACGACCGCGGUACGGGCAUCGCGCCCUAGGUAGAGACCGCCCGAGAUGUUCAAUUUCAUAGAUGCACCCUUUGAUAUAUCAUCUUUUGUAUUUGAUGAUUUUAGUAUCAUGAACAUGUUUAAAUGAAUGAUGUAAAGGAUAUUUACUUAAAUGUCAAAAAUUGUAUUUUGGAGAUAUAAGAUGUAAAAAAAAAUGAUGCAAAUUGUAAUUAAUUUCCUAAGUGUAGUCAUUUACUUUCACUAUUGGUUGUAAUUAAUUUUCUAAGUGUAGUCAUUUACUUUCACUAUUGGCUAUUGCUUGCCCACGCGCAAGCCAUUGUGUAUGCUUCCGCUUAUGCAAACCUUAUACUCUAUUGAUACUUGUUGUUGAGCCUUGGGCGGACAGGGGAGGCUCUGUCCGUUCAACGUCUGUUCGACGCUCUCGAACCGGCCAAAAGGAUCGGGCUCGGGGCGUGACAGAUAAGAUAGUAUCAGAGCGUAAAAGAGCCAAAAGUGAAAGUAUAGGAUGGACCUAGAGACCCUUAGGAAUGGAAGACCUUAAGGAUCUAGGAAACGUGAGUGACGUUGAAUAAGUUAUAGCGAAGGCAUGGAUUGGGUCGACGUAAUUAUGUCUCUAAUGCGGUUAGGGACUAAACUUAAGUUGUCAUUUGUUUUCUUUUCCUUGUGUUGUGAUCGGCGGCCGACGACAUGACGCUUUGGAACGAAAAUGAAUACACUUAUAUGCUUUCGCCGGAUUGGGUAUAAUUGAGUAUGUUGUCUAAGUAACUAAUGUGUGUUGCUUCGUUUCAGGAAGCAAUGCCGCCUCGUGGACGACCUAAGUUGCCUCGUGGUCGACUGUGGACGAGGUCUAUGGCCGAGGAGUCAAGUACGGCUCCCGUGCAACCCGGAGCAAGUGGCGACGGGGAGUUUCGGGAGCAGAUGGCCGCGCUUAUUGGCGUAGUGCGGCAGCAGGCGGAAUCCGUUCAGCGCCAGGCAGAAUCCGUUCAGCGCCAAGGGGAGCAAACCCAAAGGCUCCAGGAGGCCUUGGAGCGACAGCAGGCGGCGGCGGCGCCCGUGGAGGCCGUGCACCCUGCGCCCCCUGCAGUGGUACCAAGUGCGGCCGAGGGUGUGGCCGCGGCGGCCAUGCCAGUUAUGAUGGUGCCGGCUGGAUCAGGAACCUCAAAUCCCGAUAGUGCGGCGGAGGAGGCGGAGCGGGAACGCGCGUUGGCGGCUCUCAUUCAGUUUCAGAAGUUCAACCCACCUACCUUCGAAGGGGGAGUGGUGGAACCGGCGGUGGUGGAGUCCUGGAUCGACUCCAUGGAAACACUUUCGAGGAUCUUAAUACCUUGGAGAAGGACAAGGCGUACCUCGCCACACAUUGCCUUUAGAAGGCGGCGAAAGUGUGGUAGAAGCGUGUUAGGCGGGACCGAUCACCCGACCUUCCACCUAUGUUGUAGGAGGAGUUUCGGAGGGCGGUGUUCGCCAACUACUUCCCCGACACGGUGAAGUGGAAGUUGCAAGAGAAAUUCCAUAAGUUGAGGCAAGGAGAUCGCUCGGUGGCUGACUAUGAGCAGGAGUUCUCCCACCUCAUUGACUGCGUCCCGGAUGUUGUUAGGGAUGACCGGGACCGAGCAGACGGGUUCCUACGAGGAUUGCGGCCGGGGAUUCAUAGGGUCGUGCAAAUCCUUAAGCUCACGACCUUUGCGGAGGUCUUUGAUCGGGCGUUGUGGGCGGAGCAUGGCUAUGCCCACGAAUGCGAGGAGCGCGAAUCCGCAGCUGAGGCCAAGGAGAAGAGCAAGAAGCGGACAGCGGGUAGCACCGGGGGCCGACCAAACGCUAAGAAACCCCCUCGGUAUCCCCGACAGCAGUCGAGGGGUUGGAGGCCAUCUCGUUGUGUUAUUUGCGGCGGCAACCAUCAACCGCCUUCAUGCCCGCAGCGGGAUAGGAAAUGCUUCAAGUAUGGCCAACCUGGGCAUUUGUCGCGAGAGUGCCCUAGCUGGGGUUCAUCUGCACCGACCUCGGCAUCAGUUCCUUAUACCCCGAGAUAGCAGGCGGGGUUACCACCGGCUAUGUCAGCUGGACGCUCGUCUUCAUCGCGCCAACCGGAGGCAUUGAGAGCACCGAGUGGGCAAAUUUUUGCCACUCAGGUGGAGGAGGAGCCGAUUCCUGUCCCCGACGACAUUGUGGCAGGUAUUAUCUCGAUCAGAGGCACUAGAGCUAGAGCUUUAUUCGACACUAGUGCAUCGCAUUCAUUCAUAGAUGCAUCAUUCGCUAGGAUUCAUGGCAGUAAGAUUGUGCAUCAUUAUGACUAUUGAACGGUGAAUUCAGUCGAGCAUACUUUUUAUGUUCACGAAGAGUGUGUAGCGUGCCUAGUGCAGAUAGGCGAUUGGGUCAUGCCGAUCGACCUGUUAGUGUUGAAUCAAAUGUGGGGUUUCGACGUGAUCUUGGGGACCAACUAGCUCUCCAAGUAUUAUGCUGUGAUAGAUUGCGAAAGUAAGGUGAUCACGUUUCGUGAGCCUAAUCGAGAGGAGCUAGUGUAUCGGGCAGCUAAAAGCUCGCUCUUCGCGGCGACCGUGUCGGCGGCACGGGCGAGGAAAAUGAUAAGAGGUGGUUGUGAAACCUAUUUGGCCACCGUGGUAGAAGCCCCGAAGGAGCGCCCAGAACUUAGCAGUAUUCGGGUGGCGUGUGAAUUCCCGGAUGUAUUUCCGGCGGAGUUACCGGGUUUGCCACCGGACCGGGAGAUCGAGUUCGUUAUUGACUUGGUACCCAGGGCGGCUCCAAUUUCGAAGGCUCCGUAUAGAAUGGCACCGGCGGAGCUAAAGGAACUUAAGGCACAAUUGCAAGAUCUGCUCAACAAAGGCUUUGUGAGGCCGAGCGCGUCACCCUGGGGAGCUCCGGUGCUGUUCGUUAAGAAGAAGGACGGCACACUUCAAGAGUUGAACAAGGUCACCGUGAAGAAUAAGUACCCGUUGCCGAGGAUUGACGAUUUAUUCGAUCAGCUGCAAGGGUCGAGGGUGUAUUCAAAAAUAGACCUACAGUCGGGGUAUCAUCAGUUGAAGAUACGGCCCNCCGAGGAUGUGCACAAGACGGCGUACCGUACGCGGUAUGGCCAUUAUGAGUUUACGGUGAUGUCGUUUGGGUUUACUAACGCUCCGACGGCGUUCAUGGACUUGAUGAAUAGAGUCUUUCGUCCGCUAUUGGACCGAUGCGUCGUGGUAUUCAUUGACGACGUAUUGAUAUAUUCUUGGACCGAGGAAGAACACGAGGAGCACCUAAGGACCGUGUUGGAAAUACUCCGAAAAGAGAAGUUAUAUGCCAAGUUGAAGAAAUGCGACUUUUGGCUAUCGGAGGUUACUUUUCUUGGUCAUGUAAUUUCGGGCGAUGGUAUCUCGGUGAACCCAAAGAAAGUUGAGGCAAUUAGAGAUUGGCCUCGCCCGACGAGCGUAUCGGAGGUCCGCAGUUUCCUUGGACUAGCGGGCUAUUACCGGCGGUUCGUGGAGGGGUUUGCUAAAAUAACUACUCCACUAACGCGCCUUACACACAAAGGGGUGAAGUAUGUUUGGAGCCCCGAAUGCGAGCGGAGCUUCGAGGAAUUGAAAGAAAGAUUGAACACGACCCCAGUGCUUGCUCUACCGACGCCGGGGGAAACAUUUGUGGUAUAUAGUGAUGCUUCCUAUGUUGGACUCGGGUGUGUCUUGAUGCAAAACGGCCGAGUUAUAGCAUAUGCUUUGCGCCAAUUGAAGAGGUAUGAGAAAAACUAUCCGAUCCACGACCUGGAGUUAGCGGCGGUCAUUUUCGCGCUAAAAUUAUGAAGGCAUUACCUAUACGGGGAACAUUGUGCGAUCUACAUGGAUCACAAAAGCCUUAAAUACCUGUUCACCCAAAAGGAGCUAAAUAUGCGGCAACGGCGAUGGUUAGAGUUGUUGAAAGAUUAUGACGUCGCUAUUCUAUACCACCCCGGGAAAGCAAAUGUGGUGGCCGAUGCACUUAGUAGAAAGUCGGGAAAAAAUUUGGCUUCGGCAAUUACACCACAACCGUUAUUGCAAAAGGAGAUGCAACGGCUUGGCUUGGAAGUAGUGGAGCCAGGAGUGCCAGCUACACUUGCCGCGAUAGUGAUACAACCGACCUUGAUGGAGAGGAUAAAAGAGCUGCAAGCUUCCGAUAAGUAUCUCCAAAAGGUGCACGGUGAAGUUGAUAGCGGUAGUGCCGAUGAUUUUGGCAUCGGGACCAACAGCGCACUCCGGUUUAGAAACCGUUGGUGUGUGCCUAAGAACAAGGACAUCAGUAGGGCGAUUAUACAAGAAACGCAUCAAUCUCCUUAUAGUAUACACCCGGACGGCACCAAAAUGUACCAAGAUUUGAAAUUGCACUAUUGGUGGCCAGGCAUGAAGAAAGACAUUGGGGAGUUUGUUGUGCAAUAUCUUACUUGCCAACAAGUAAAAACGAAGCGGCAAUUUCCGGCGGGAAAGUUGCAAGGUUUACCUAUACCCGUUUGGAAAUGGGAGAAUAUCGCAAUGGACUUCGUGACCUGGUUGCCUCGAUCUCAGGGUGGACACGAUGCAAUUUGGGUGAUAGUAGACUGAGACGAAGUCGGCACAUUUUCUACCGGUUCAUAUUACUUGGUCGGGGGACAAGUUGGCUCAGCUAUAUAUUGACGAGGUUGUGAGACUUCACGGGGUACCGGUGUCUAUUGUAUCAGAUCGGGACCCGAGGUUCACAUCUCAUUUUUGGAAGAGCCUACAGGAGGCCUUAGGCACAUGGCUCGACUUUAGCAUGACAUUUUAUCCUCAAAGUGAUGGUGAAUCGGAGAGGACGAUACAGAUACUUAAGGAUAUGCUCCGAGGUGUGUAUUGGACUACAAGGGCAGUUGGCACAAUCAUCUACCGAUGGCAGAGUUCGCGUACAAUAAUAGUUAUCAAGAAAGUAUCUCGAUGGCGCCAUUCGAGGCCCUUUAUGGAAAGAAAUGUCGCUCUCCAAUCUAUUGGAGCGAUGUGGGCGAGAGAGCUACUCUUGGCCCGGAUGUAGUGCGGGAAGCGAAGGAGAAGGUUCGCCUUGCCCGCCAAAGACUCGCUACGGCGCAAUCCCGGCAAAAGAGCUAUGCCAACAAACGGAGAAAAGACAUAGAGUUUACAGUUGGCGACCAUGUCUUUUUAAAAGUGUCGCCGAUGCGAGGAAUUAGACGGUUUGGGCUCCGGGGGAAGCUAAGUCCCCGGUACCUCGGACCGUUUGAGGUAUUGGAGCGGGUGGGCGCGGUGGCGUACAAGCUAGCAUUACCACCGAGGCUUGCGGGAGUACACGACGUGUUCCAUGUAUUGAAUCUUUGCAAGUACGUUCGUGACCCCGAGCAUGUUCUCUCGUUUGAACCGUCCGAGAUCCAAGAGGAUAUGACCUAUGAGGAGUUCCCGGCAUACAUCAUCGAUCGAGAACUAAGAAAGAUACGAAAUCGCGAGAUUCCGUAUGUUAAGAUUCGUUGGUGCAAUCACGAUGAUCGGAAAGCUACUUGGGAGCUCGAGAGCACAAUGCGGGAGCACUAUCCUCACCUCUCUAACGAGCCGAAUUGAGGUAUGAGUUUAAGUCUCAAUUAAGUAAGUUUCGCGGACGAAACUAAAUUUAAGGGGUGGAGAAUGUAACAUACCGAAAUCUCGGUAAUUAAAUUCGAACCUUGGUCAAAUCGACCAAAGUGCGAGAUUGGUACACUUCGGUGAGGCCGAAGGCGUCGAAUAAUGCAAAAGUGCGUGUCUGGGGACCUUCGAGAGCUUUGGAAAUUAAAAUCUGCAAACUGCAGGUUUUGUGCUCUCAGGGACCGGUCCCUGGUGGGAGAGACCGGUCCCCGAACGCGUAGGCAGCGAGAUGGCCGAGAAAUCGGCUAAGUCCUGGAAAAUCAGCUCUCAGGAAUCAGUCUCUGCGAGGAGAGACCGGUCCCCCAGAGACCAGUCCCAUUGGGGGAGAUCGGUUGCAUCGUGCGCAGCCUGCGCAGACCACGGGAGAAGCUCUCAAGGACCGGUCCCAGGUCGAGGAGACCGGUCCUUCACUGCGAAAAAUGCCCAGUUUGGGCAGUGCACAGAGAAAGAGUUGAGGGGCCUUGUUAUAAUUAUUACAACACAUUAUAUACCCAUCCCCUCUCCCCUUUUCACAGCACACACACACUCCUCUCUCUCCCUCUCAUUUUCUCUCAUUUCUCUCUCUAGAAAGCUAGCCCUAGAGCUUGGAGAAGGUGGAAAAGAGCUUGGAGAAGUGGAUUUUGGUGGCUUUGGUGGUCCUAGAAGCUCUCCAACAAGAAGGAGCUUGUUAGAACUUGGGCCAAGGUAAGUUUUUAGCAAAGAUGAGUCUAGGGUUUGGGUUUAGGCCUUGGAUUUUUGGGUUUUGAUCUCUCUACAAGUGAGGAAAUCCUCUAGAGACCUUGAAACCAUGAAAUCCAUGGUUGUCUUGGACUCCUCUCAUGGUGAACUUCUAGGGUUCACCUUGGAUGCCCUAGAAAUGGUUUGGGAAGGUUCUAACUUAGUUCCUAAUGCUUCAACAAGCUUUCUUUUACUUGUACAAAAGAUCAAAACCUAGGAUUUAAUAGAUGCUAUACUAGGGCAUCCCAAAGAGGGGUUUUGCCCAAGUUGAGUUUUGAUCUAUUUUGAUCAUGUAGAAACCUAAUUGAGGAUAUUUUAAACGUGUUGGAACGCUCGAUUCGAUAAUCCGGUGAGUGUACGCAAAGUUAUUUACAAAAACGUCAUUUUCCAUACAGAUAACCGCAGUACGCGGACUAGGGCUUCAAAAAUUUUAAGAAAUUCACCGUAGCAUCCUCUCAACCUUCUAAGGUGGGUGGUGCAUUCCAAGGACCUCGAAAAUCUCUUUAUGUUUAAAGCGUCAUGUUUGAACAGCAUAUUGCAUAGUAGGGUUAAUUGUGAGCUUUAUUGCAUGAUUGUGAAAUUAACUUCGUAUGAAAUACUUGUGAGAAUGUGAGAAUUGUCAACCUAUGUAUGCAUGACAAGUGACAAGAACCUGGAAGGGUUAGUGAACAAACGUGACACAUGGACAUAGAUCUAAUGAGUGGCAUUGAUGAGUCUAGAACACUUAGAAAACAAGUGUGGCAUUUGGCAUGAGAACAAGAAUAUAGCACUUAGAAAACAAGUGUGGCAUGAGUAUAAGAACUUAGUAGUGUAUAUGACACUAGUGCUAGAAGAGAAUGCAAGAAAAGAAUGAUUGAGACAUUACGACAUUUCAACCUUAGAGUUAAGGGUCAUUUGAACAUGGUCUUCCUUAAAGUUAAGAAACGGAUUGAACUUGGAAUUCUCAAUGUAGGAUUGAUCGUACUCACCUUUUAGUCCUUGCUCGAGGGUGGUAGCUCUCCCUCGGGCGAUGUGCUCCGGAGUCGACAUCACUGGGUCGUAGCGAGUAUCUCCCCAGAGGACGGUCCCAUCGGGUUGUAGCGGGUAUCUCCCCGGUUAAAUAGGAUUUUGGGUUGGUGAGUUUGUUAAGGGCGAAACCUACGGGUUAGCCAAGAGAUUGGAUAAAGAAAUUGUAAUCUUGCAUUCAUCAUGAAUAUUAUAUCGAGCAUCGCAUUUUAUAUUAUUCAGGCAUAUUAGUUGCAUUUGUUAGUUGGUUACUUUCUUUCUUCUAUUCUAUUAUGCCUGAUUAGACCUAGUGGGAUAGUCGACGUGGUUGUUUGCCGAACCCACUGGGAACUUUGUUGUAGUUCUCACACUCCUAUUUCCACAGAGCCGGGACCGAGCGAGCCGGCAGACGACCGCGGUAAGGUCAUCGCGCCCUAGGUAGAGACCGCCCGAGAUGUUCAAUUUCAUAGAUGCAUACCCUUUGAUAUAUCAUCUUUUGUAUUUGAUGAUUUUAGUAUCAUGAACAUGUUUAAAUGAAUGAUGUAAAGGAUAUUUACUUAAAUGUCAAAAGUUGUAUUUUGGAGAUAUGAGAUGUAAAAAAAAUGAUGCAAAUUGUAAUUAAUAUCCUAAGUGUAGUCAUUUACUUUCACUAUUGGCUAUUGCUUGCCCAUGCGUAAGCCAUUGUGUAUGCUUCCGCUUAUGCAAACCUUAUACUCUAUUGAUACUUGUUGUCGAGCCUUGCGCGGACAGAGGAGGCUCUGUCCGUUCGGCGUCUGUUCGACGCUCUCGAACCGGCCAAAAGGAUCAGGCUCGGGGCGUGACAAUUUUGGUACAGAUAGCCGCAGCACGCGGAAUAAGCGUCCAAAAAUCACGAAAAUGGAUCCGAAGCAUCUUGGUAUCAAGAUAAGUAUUGAACAAUUUUCGGAUUUCAGAUUGGUGGCCGUUCGGGUGGUCGCGCGAGAGUUCGGGCUGAACCGGGUCACGGGUGCCGCCGGAGGCCGAUUGCAAGUGACUGCUAGCAAUCGGAGUGCGAAUUGAGGUGGGUUGUGUUUACCGAAGCGACUACGUCGCCUGUAUGUUUAAGAUGAGUAUUUAUCAUUGAUGCAUAUAGUGGUAGCUAAUGAUAGAGUAUGUGAAUGCAUGAAAUGAAUGCUAAAUGGGCUACCAAUGAAUGCACGAUGACAUGGAAUAAAAAUGCUAGAUAAAUGCAUAGGUUAUGCUAGCUGAAUGCAUGAUGCAUGUUAUAAGAAUGCUAAGUGAAAACAUAUUGAUAUGAAAUAAGAAUGCUCAAGUAUACAUGAUAUUAAUGCUAAGUCCAUGUAUAAUAAGCAUGUUAUAGGAAUGCUAAUGUGGAAUGCUAAGUAAAGGACAUAUGUAUACAUAUAUAGAUCUAGUGGCACCGAACCUAGUGUUGAGGACAUAGGUUGAACAAGAGUAAUAUUGAACCUAGUGUUAAUAAAUAUAGGUUGAACAAGUGUGGCAUGUAAACCUAGUGUAAAGAACAUAGGUUGAACAAGUGUGGCAUGUAAACCUAGUGUAAAGAACAUAGGUUGAACAAGUGUGGCAUAGAACCUAGUGUUAUUGAACAUAGGUUGGGUAUGAACCUAGUGUCAUGGACCUAGGAUGGAUAAGAAUGAAUAUAAAUCUAGUGUUAAAGAACAUAGGUUGCAGGAUAAACCUAGAGUUAUAGUAAACCUAGGUUACGUGGUAAAAGCACUAAGCCUAGAGUCAAGUGGACCUAGGGUGGAAAGGACAUUGGACCUAGAUAGGUCGAUGCUAUAGGGUUAAGACCAACCCUCGAGUUAUGUGAAAUGGAUUUUCGGAAUCCCUGAGCUUUUGGAACACCCAAAGUGGUGUUGGGCGUGUGCGACGAUUUCGUCGUCCGGGGUUAACCAUCGUCGUGGCGUAUGUGCGACGAUUUCGCUGCCGGAUGGUUAUGCCGAGUUGUGGAUUAUACCGCCGCUUGACUUUAGCCAUUGUCGUGGCGUAUGUGCGACGAUUUCGCCGCCGGGUGGCUCAGUCAUAGAGUGUGGCAGGUUGUGGUAGGCUGAGGUGCAUGUGAGAGUUCCUUCACCUCGAGCCGACAAAGCGCCGAUUAUCCGCAGUUGAUUGACUCAAGACCGAGUCGAGUGGCAUAGUGGACUAAGGUAAGAGUAACCUUAGAAAAGAAUGGCCGAUGAGUAAGUUAUAGCUAAAGAAUAAAGAAUAACUAAGAAUAAAAAAAGAGUUGCAAGUAGUAAAGAAUGGCUAGCAAUAAAGAAUGAAAACGAUAGAAAGUAAAAUUAUUUAUUCUACUUGCAUAGUUGUAUGGUUUCAUAUUGCAUAUCGCGAGGCAUGACAUGUAGUUCAAUAUCGAGUAAAUGUAUAAAUAUCUGUUUUAUGUUAUUGGACUAACCUGUUGUAGUGCCUCAUUAGACCUAUUGGUUGAGCUUUUUCCUUGGGUGGCUGUACCCACUGGGAACCAUGGAGUUGGUUCUCACACCACGUUGUUUUGGAGUGUUACAGGUACAGACGUGAGCGGCGCGGCGGCGCGAGGCAAGGGUGUAGCUCCGUAGAUAGCGCCCUACCCCAGAGACCAGAGGUAGUAGUACCCGAGUUGGUGGUCUAGCUUGGGGGGUUUAAAGACAAAAAACAAACUUUUAUUAAGUUGUAUCAAAAUUGUAUCAAUCGUGAUUGUAUUUGGAAGUUGAAUGUAAAAGAAAAAUUGUGUUGUAAAAUGCAUCUAAGUUGAAUGUUGUAAUAACUUAGUAGUUUAUGUUUUUGAUACUUCCUUAUGCAAUCUAUGGAAGAGUAUUGUUCCUGGUUGGAACCUCUUGUAUUGUAUUGAUUGCGACGCUUUGGACGUACAGGGGAGACUCUGCCCGUUCAGCGGUCUGAUGGCGUGCCCUAAUCUGACCAAAGAGGCGGGCUCGGGGCGUGACAACGGCUUAGGGGAACGGACGCCUCCGUGCUCCUAAUAGCACACAAGACCGACUCUAUAUAGAGUAGGUCUUGUGUGCUAUUAGGAGCACGGCCUUCGUGCUCCUAAGUCGUUUUCGAUGAUAGAGCUUCCGAAUCGACGAUCGGCUCCGUUAGAAUUGAUCUAGCGUAUUUGAACUAUCUAGAAACUAAUUUUUGUGAUUUCUCGAUAUGAUUUUCCUAGCGAUCGAAAGGGUUCAAAAUCAAUAAUUUUUAAUGGUUGAUGUAUGCCGUUUGCAAAUUUAACAGUGUAGAAGUAUUCAAAUCAGAUGAAAUUUUGAUAGAAAAUUCUUUAUACUAUAUACAGCAAGAUCAAUAUGUUUGAUCAAAAAUUUUAAUACUAUAUCACUAUUUUUUGUGAGAUUAUUCUUUUCAGCCGUUGAUUUUGAGCACUUUCGAUCGUUAGGUAAAUGAUAUCGAAAAGUCACAAAAUUUAUUUUCUAGAUAUUUCAAAUAUGCUAGAUCACGCCUAACGGAGCCAAUCAUCGAUAAAGAAAGUCCAUCAUCGAAAACGGCUUAGGGGCACGGACGCCACCGUGCUCCUAAUAGCACACAAGACCGACUCUAUAUAGAGUAGGCCUUGUGUGCUAUUAGGAGCACGGAGGCCUCCGUGCUCCUAAGCCGUUUUCGAUGAUAGAGCUUCCGAAUCAACGAGCGGCACCGUUAGAAUUGAUCUAGCGUAUUCGAACUAUCUAGAACCUAAUUUUUGUGAACUUUCGGUAUCAUUUUCCUAGCGAUCGAAAGGGUUCAAAAUCAAUCAUUUUUAAUGGUUGAUGUAUGCCGUUUGCAAAUUUAACGGUGUAAAAGUAUUCAAAUCAGAUGAAAUUUUGAUAUAAAAUUCUUUAUACUAUAUACAACAAGAUCAAUAUGUUUUAUCAAAAAUUUUAAAGCUAUAUCACUACUUUUUCGGAGAUUUUUAUUUUCAACCGUUGAUUUUGAGCACUUUCGAUCGUUAGGUAAAUGACAUCGAAAAGUCACAAAAUUUAUUUUCUAGAUACUUCAAAUAUGCUAGAUCAAGCCUAAUGGAGCCGAUCGUCGAUUCAGUAGCUCCAUCAUAAAAAACGGCUUAGGAGCAUGGACGCCUCAGUGCUCCUAAUAGCACACCAGACUGACUCUAUAUAGAGUAGGUCUUGUGUGCUAUUAGGAGCACGGAAGCCUCCGUGCUCCUAGGUUGUUUUCGAUGAUGGAGCUUUCGAAUUGACGAUCGGCUCCGUUAGAAUUGAUCUAGCGUAAUUGAACUAUCUAGAAGCUAAUUUUUGUUAUUUUUCGGUAUCAUUUUCCGAGCGAUCGAAAUGAUUCAAAUCAACAAUUUUUAAUGGUUGAUAUAUGCCGUUUGCAAAUUUAACGGUGUAGAAGUAUUCAAAUCAAAUGAAAUUUUGAUAGAAAAUUCGUUAUACUAUAUACAGCAAGAUCAAUAUUUUUGAUCAAAAAUUUUAAUGCAAUGUCACUACUUUUUGUGAGAUUUUUAUUUUCAGCCGUAGAUUUUGAGCACUUUCGAUCGUUAGGUAAAUAAUAUCGAAAAGUCACAAAAAUUUUUUUCUAGAUAUUUCAAAUAUGCUACAUCAAGCCUAACGGAGUCGAUCGUCGAUUCAGAAGCUCCAUCAUCGAAAACUGCUUGGGAGCACGGACGCCUCCGUGCUCCUAAUAGCACACAAGACCGAGCAGGUCUUUUGUGCUAUUAAGAGCAUGGAAGCCUCUGUGCUCCUAAGUCGUUUUCGAUGAUGGAGCUUCCGAUUCGACGAUCGGCUCCGUUAGAAUUGAUCUAGCGUAUUUGAACUAUCUAGAAACUAAUUUUUGUCAUUUUUCGGUAUCAUUUUCCUAGCGAUCGAAAGGAUUCAAAAUCAACAAUUUUUAAUGGUUGAUGUAUGCCGUUUGCAAAUUUAACGAUGUAGAAAGAUUCAAAUAAGAUGAAAUUUUGAUAGAAAAUUCAUUAUACUAUAUACAGCAAGAUCAAUAUGUUUGAUCAAAAAUUUUAAUGCUAUAUCACAACUUUUUGUGAGAUUUUUAUUUUCAGCCGUUGAUUUUGAUCACUUUCGAUCGUUAGGUAAAUGAUAUCGAAAAGUCACAAAAUUUAUUUUCUAGAUAAUUCAAAUAUGCUAGAUCACGCCUAACGGAGCCGAUCGUCGAUUCAGAAAGUCCAUCAUCGAAAACGGCUUAGUGGCAUGGACACCUCCGUGCUCCUAAUAGCACACAAGGCCGACUCUACAUAGAGUAGGUCUUGUGUGCUAUUAGGAGCACGGAGGCAACCGUGCGCCGAAGUCGUUUUUGAUGAUAGAGCUUCCGAAUCGACGAUCGGCUCCGUUAGAAUCGAUCUAGCGUAUUUGAACUAUCUAGACGCUAAUUUUUGUGAUUUUUCGAUAUCAUUUUCCUAGCGAUCGAAAGGUUUCAAAAUCAACAUUUUUUAUUGGUUGAUGCAUGCCGUUUGCAAAUUUAACAGUGUAGAAGUAUUCAAAUCAGAUGAAAUUUUGAUAAAAAAUUCUUUAUACGAUAUGCAGUAAGAUCAAUAUGUUUGGUCAAAAAUUUUAAUGCUAUAUCACUACUUUUUGUGAGACUUUUAUUUUCAGCCGUUGAUUUUGAGCACUUUCGAUCGUUAGGUAAAUGACAUCGAAAAGUCACAAAAUUUAUUUUCUAGAUACUUCAAAUAUGCUAGAUCACACCUAACGGAGCCGAUUGUCGAUUCAGAAAGUCUAUCAUCGAAAACGGCUUAGGGGCACGGUCGCCUCCGUGCUCCUAAUAGCACACAAGACCGACUCUAUAUAGAGUAGGUCUUGUGUGCUAUUAGGAGCACAGAGGUCUCUGUGCUCCUAAGACGUUUUCGAUGAUAGAGCUUCCGAAUCGACGAUCGGCUCCGUCAGAAUUGAUCUAGCGUAUUUGAACUAUCUAGAGCCUAAUUUUUGUGAUUUUUCGGUAUCAUUUUCCUAGCGAUCGAAAGGGUUCAAAAUCAACAAUUUUUAAUGGUUGAUGUAUGCCGUUUGCAAAUUUAACAGAGUAGAAAUAUUUAAAUCAGAGGAAAUUUUGAUAGAAAAUUCUUUGUACUAUAUACAGCAAGAUCAAUAUGUUUGAUCAAAAAUUUUAAUGCUAUAUCACUACUUUUUGUGAGAUUUUUAUUUUCAGUCGUAGAUUUUGUGCACUUUCGAUCGUUAGGUAAAUGAUAUCGAAAAGUCACAAAAUUUAUUUUCUAGAUACUUUAAAUAUGCUUGAUCAAGCCUGACGGAGCCAAUCGUCGAUUCAGAAGCUCCAUCAUCGAAAACGGCUUAGGAGCACGGACGCCUCCGUGCUCCUAAUAGCACACCAAACUGACUCUAUAUAGAGUAGGUCGAGUGUGCUAUUAGGAGCACGGAAGCCUCCGUGCUCCGAAGUCGUUUUCGAUGAUGAAGCUUCCGAAUCAACGAUCGGCUCCGUUAGAAUUUAUCUAGCGUAUUUGAACUAUCUAGACACUAAUUUUUGUUAUUUUUCGGUUUCAUUUUCUGAGCGAUCGAAAUGAUUCAAAACCAACAAUUUUUAAUGGUUGAUAUAUGCCGUUUGCAAAUUUAACGGUAUAUAAGUAUUCAAAUCAGAUGAAAUUUUGAUAGAAAAUUCGUUGUACUAUAUACAGCAAGAUCAAUAUGUUUGAUCAAAAAUUUUAAUGCAAUAUCACUACUUUUUGUGAGAUUUUUAUUUUCACCCGUAGAUUUUGAGCACUUUCGAUCGUUAGGUAAAUGAUAUCGAAAAGUCACAAAAUUUCUUUUCUAAAUUUCAAAUAUGCUACAUCAAGCCUAACGGAGUCGAUCGUCGAUUCAGAAGCUCCAUCAUCGAAAACGGCUUAUGAGCACGGACGCCUCCGUGCUCCUAAUAGCACACCAGACUAACUCUAUAUAGAGUAGGUCUUGUGUGCUAUUAGGAGCAUGGAAGCCUCCGUGCUUCUAAGUCGUUUUCGAUGAUGGAGCUUCUGAAUCGACGAUCGGCUCCGUUAGAAUUGAUCUAGUGUAUUUGAAUUAUCUAGAAACUAAUUUUUGUUAUUUUUCGGUAUCAUUUUCCGAGAGAUCGAACUAAUUCAAAAUCAACAAUUUUUAAUGGUUCAUAUAUGCCGUUUGCAAAUUUAACGGUGUAGAAGUAUUCAAAUCAGAUGAAAUUUUGGUAGAAAAUUCGUUAUACUAUAUACAGCAAGAUCAAUAUGUUUGAUCAAAAAUUUUAAUGUAAUAUCACUACUUUUUGUGAGAUUUUUAUUUUNNNNNNNNNNNNNNNNNNNNNNNNNCGAGUAGGUCUUUUGUGCUAUUAGGAGCACGGUGGCGUCCGUGCUCCUAAGUCGUUUUCGAUGAUGGAGCUUCCGAAUCGACAAUCGGGUCCGUUAGAAUUGAUGUAGCGUAUUUGAACUAUCUAGAAACUAAUUUUUGCUAUUUUUCGGUAUCAUUUUCCUAGCGAUCGAAAGGAUUCAAAAUUAACAAUUUUUAAUGGUUGAUGUAUGCCGUUUGCAAAUUUAACGGUGUAGAAAGAUUCAAAUAAGAUGAAAUUUUGAUCGAAAAUUCUUUAUACUAUAUACAGCAAGAUCAAUAUGUUUGAUAAAAAAUUUUAAUGCUAUAUCACUACUUUUUGUGAGAUUUUUAUUUUCAGCCGUUGAUUUUGAGCACUUUCGAUCGUGAGGUAAAUAAAAUCGAAAAGUCACAAAAUUUAUUUUCUAGAUACUUCAAAUAUGCUAGAUCACGCCUAACGGAGCCGAUCGUCGAUUCAGAAGCUCCAUCAUCGAAAACAGCUUAGGAGCACGGACGCCUCCGUGCUCCUAACAGCACACAAGACCGAGUAGGUCUUUUGUGCUAUUAGGAGCACGGAAACCUCCGUGCUACUAAGUCGUUUUCGAUGAUGGAGCUUCCGAUUCGACGAUCGGCUCCGUUAAAAUUGAUCUAGCGUAUUUGAACUAUCUAGAAACUAAUUUUUGCUAUUUUUCGGUAUUAUUUUCCUAGCGAUCGAAAGGAUUCAUAAUCAACAAUUUUUAAUGGUUGAUGUAUGCCGUUUGCAAAUUUAACGGUUUAGAAAGAUUCAAAUAAGAUGAAAUUUUGAUAAAAAAUUCUUUAUAAAAUAUACAGCAAGAUCAAUAUGUUUGAUCAAAAAUUUUAAUGCUAUAUCACUACUUUUUGUGAGAUUUUUAUUUUCAGCCGUUGAUUUUGAGCACUUUCGAUCGUUAGGUAAAUGAUAUCGAAAAGUCACAAAAUUUAUUUUCUAGAUACUUCAAAUAUGCUAGAUCACGCCUAACGGAGCCGAUCGUCGAUUAAGAAAGUCUAUCAUCGAAAACUGCUUAGGGGCACGGACGCCUCCGUGCUCCUAAUAGCACACAAGACCGACUCUAUAUAGAGUAGGUCUUGUGUGCUAUUAGGAGCACGGCCUCCGUGCUCCUAAGUCGUUUUCGAUGAUAGAGCUUCCGAAUCGACGAUCGGCUCCGUUAGAAUUGAUCUAGCGUAUUUGAACUAUCUAGAAACUAAUUUUUGUGAUUUUUCGAUAUAAUUUUCCUAGCAAUCGAAAGGGUUCAAAAUCAACAAUUUUUAAUGGUUGAUGUAUGCCGUUUGCAAAUUUAACGGUGUAGAAGUAUUCAAAUCAGAUGAAAUUUUGAUAGAAAAUUCUUUAUACUAUAUACAGCAAGAUCAAUAUGUUUGAUCAAAAAUUUUAAUACUAUAUCACUAUUUUUUGUGAGAUUAUUAUUUUCAGUCGUUGAUUUUGAGCACUUUCGAUCGUUAGGUAAAUGAUAUCGAAAAGUCACAAAAUUUAUUUUCUAGAUACUUCAAAUAUGCUAGAUCAAGCCUAAUGGAGACGAUCGUCGAUUCAGAAGCUCCAUCAUCGAAAACGGCUUAGGAGCACGGAUGCCACCGUGCUCCUAAUAGCACACAAGACCGACUCUAUAUAGAGUAGGCCUUGUGUGCUAUUAGGAGCACGGAGGCCUCCGUGCUCCUAAGCCGUUUUCGAUGAUAGAGCUUCCGAAUCAACGAGCGGCACCGUUAGAAUUGAUCUAGCGUAUUCGAACUAUUUAGAACCUAAUUUUUGUGAACUUUCGGUAUCAUUUUCCUAGCGAUCGAAAGGGUUCAAAAUCAAUCAGUUUUAAUGGUUGAUGUAUGCCGUUUGCAAAUUUAACGGUGUAAAAGUAUUCAAAUCAGAUGAAAUUUUGAUAGAAAAUUUUUUAUACUAUAUACAACAUGAUCAAUAUGUUUUAUCAAAAAUUUUAAAGCUAUAUUACUACUUUUUCGGAGAUUUUUAUUUUCAACCGUUGAUUUUGAGCACUUUCGAUCGUUAGGUAAAUGACAUCGAAAAGUCACAAAAUUUAUUUUCUAGAUACCUCAAAUAUGCUAGAUCUAGCCUAAUGGAGCCGAUCGUCGAUUCAGUAGCUCCAUCAUCAAAAACGGCUUAGGAGCACGCACGCCUCAGUGCUCCUAAUAGCACACACCAGACUGACUCUAUAUAGAGUAGGUCUUGUGUGCUAUUAGGAGCACGGAAGCCUCCGUGCUCCUAGGUUGUUUUCGAUGAUGGAGCUUCCGAAUCGACAAUCGGGUCCGUUAGAAUUGAUCUAACGUAUUUGAACUAUCUAGAAACUAAUUUUUGCUAUUUUUCGGUAUCAUUUUCCUAGCGAUCUAAAGGAUUCAAAAUCAACAAUUUUUAAUGGUUGAUAUAUGCUGUUUGCAAAUUUAAUGGUGUAGAAGUAUUCAAAUCAAAUGAAAUUUUGAUCGAAAAUUCUUUAUACUAUAUACAUCAAGAUCAAUAUGUUUGAUCAAAAAUUUUAAUGCUAUAUCACUACAUUUUGUGAGAUUUUUAUUUUCAGCUAUUGAUUUUGAGCACUUUCGAUCGUUAGGUAAAUGAUAUCGAAAAGUCACAAAAUUUAUUUUUUAGAUAUUUGAAAUAUGCUAGAUUAAGCCUAACGGAGCCGAUCGUCGAUUCAGAAGCUCCAUCAUCGAAAACGGCUUAGGAGCACGGACGCCUCCGUGCUCCUAACAGCACACAAGACCGAGUAGGUCUUUUGUGCUAUUAGGAGCACGGAAGCCUCCAUGCUACUAAGCCGUUUUCGAUGAUGGAGCUUCCGAUUCGACGAUCGGCUCCGUUAGAAUUGAUCUAGCGUAUUUGAACUAUCUAGAAACUAAAUUUUGCUAUUUUUCAGUAUUAUUUUCCUAGCGAUCGAAAGGAUUCAAAAUCAACAAUUUUUAAUGGUUGAUGUAUGCCGUUGGCAAAUUUAACGGUUUAGAAAGAUUCAAAUAAGAUGAAAUUUUGAUAGAAAAUUCUUUAUACUAUAUACAGCAAGAUCAAUAUGUUUGAUCAAAAAUUUUAAUGCUAUAUCACUACUUUUUGUGAGAUUUUUAUUUUCAGCCAUUGAUUUUGAGCACUUUCGAUCGAUAGUUAAAUGAUAUCGAAAAGUCACAAAAUUUAUUUUUUAGAUACUUCAAAUAUACUAGAUCACGCCUAACGGAGUCGAUCGUCGAUUCAGAAAGUCCAUCAUCGAAAACGGCUUAGGGGGACGGACGACUCCGUGCUCCUAAUAGCACACAAGACCGACUCUAUAUAGAGUCGGUCUUGCGUGCUAUUAGGAGCACAGAGGCCUCCGUGCUCCUAAGUCGUUUUUGAUGAUAGAGCUUCCGAAUCGACGAUCGGCUCCGUUAGAAUUGAUCUAGCGUAUUUGAACUAUCUUGAAACUAAUUUUUCUGAUUUUUCGGUAUCAUUUUCCUAGCGAUCGAAAGGGUUCAAAAUCAACAAUUUUUAAUGGUUGAUGUAUCCCGUUUGCAAAUUUAACGGUGUAGAAGUAUUCAAAUCAGAUGAAAUUUUGAUAGAAAAUUCUUUAUACUAUAUACAGUAAGAUCAAUAUGUUUGAUAAAAAUUUUUAAUACUCUAUCACUGCUUUUUGUGAGAUUUUUAUUUCCAGCUGUUGAUUUGAGCACGUUCGAUCGUUAGGUAAAUGAUAUCGAAAAGUCACAAAAUUUAUUUUCUCGAUACUUCAAAUAUGCUAGAUCAAGCCUAACGGAGCCGAUCGUCGAUUCAGAAGCACCCUUAUCGAAAAUGGCUUAGGAGCACGGACGCCUCCAUGCUCCUAGGCCGUUUUCGAUGAUAGAGCUUCCGAAUCGACGAUCGGCCCCGUUAGAAUUGAUCUAACGUAUUUAACCUAUCCGGAAACUAAUUUUUUUGAUUUUUCGGUAUCAUUUUCCUAGCGAUCAUCGAAAAGGUUCAAAAUCAAUAAUUUUUAAUGGUUGAUGUAUGCCGUUUGCAAAUUUAACGGUGUAGAAGUAUUCAAAUCAUAUGAAAUUUUGAUAGAAAAUUCUUUAUACUAUAUACAGCAAGAUCACUAUGUUUGAUCAAAAAUUUUAAUGCUAUAUCACUACUUUUUGUGAGAUUUUUAUUUUCAGUCGUAGAUUUUGAGCACUUUCGAUCGUUAGGUAAAUGAUAUCGAAAAGUCACAAAAUUUAUUUUCUAGAUACUUCAAAUAUGCUAGAUCAGGUGUCACGCCCCGGGACUGGCGGAGGCCCUUCCGGUAGCGUGCCCAGACCAUCGUUAGUUAAUUCGCGAAUUAUUCACGAAUUAUUCGCGAAUUUUUGAAAUACCGAAUUAAACACCCGUUUUCGAAUUUUUGCCAAAAAUUCGGAAUAAUUCGCGGUUUUUUGAGCAAAAAUAAUUAUUCGUGAAUAAAACGGAAUUCGCGAAUAAUUCGGCCCAAAAAAACGGCCCUCUUGCUUGCGACUGUGAGCGGACUUGUGGACCUCGCGGUGGCCCAGGAAAAAGAACCUGUCGCCCAAAAAAAAAAAAAAAAAAAAAAAAAAAAAAGAAAGGAUUUCUGAAAACCAUCGCCCCCCUCCCACGAGGCGACGACUCCCACGCUCCCACCCCCACCCCUCCCAAAAAAAGGGUUUGCCCUAACUUCUCACUCCUGCGGCGGUGCGGCCCUGCCAUCGACCCCUGCGGCGGUCUCCCUCUUCCCUUCCGGCCGCUCGCCGAACGCCAUCGGAAGCCCUCCUCUUCAGAAAUCGAAGAUCGAAGAUCGGGUUCUUCACUCUUCAGAAAUCGAAACCCUCCUCGUCGCCUCUUCCUCUUCCGCUUCCGCUUCCGCUUCCGCUUCCGCUUCCGCUAUCCAACGAUAGAUCAGUAACCGGGUGGUUCUUUACAAACCCAGGUAGGUACGAUUUGAGUUUUUUUCAUUCUUCAAAGAAAAAGUUGGAAGGUUUUAGUCAUCUGAUGGAUACUUGUUUUAUACACAAGUGGCUGAGUGCUUAAUUGAAUGUGUCCAUUCUCUGUUAUGCACAAAGAAGACCCAAACAUAGUGCUAAAUAAAUAAUCUUAAUUAACUUUGGGACCAGGAACUCUUGUAUUAUACCUAAUCAAUUUCAUGAUCUUUGUCGACUCUUGCAAAAGGAAAAUUUUGUUGUGGUCUUUCAUGGACCAUUGACUCACUGGGGUUUCUACUUAAUUUUUGAAACAUAACUUUGGGACCAGGUACUAUUUGAGUUUUCAUUCUUCAAAGCAAAAGUUGGAAGCUUUUACAUUUAAAUAUGGACUAUCUUGAUCUCUUAUUUGCUUAAUUAUUUCUUUAUUUUGAGGCAUAAUAUAGUUUACUUUUUUUUUACUUAAUUAGUUUAAUUUUGUAGCUUUUUAUUCUUAUAUUUUUAAAAAAUAUGAGUAUUUAUGCUAAUAGCAUAAAUCUUGAGAGGAAAAAAAUUUAAUUUAAUUUAAUAGCCGAAUUUUUUAUCCCGAAUUUUUAAUUGGUGAACGUAUAAUAUCCGUAUAAAUCACGUAUCCGAAUAAUUGGCGAAUCCGUUUUUUAGCCGUUUUUUUCAACGAAUUUAAAAAUUAGAAGACGAAUUUUAUCCGAAUUAUACCCGUACCGAAUUUUUGCCGAAUCUGAAUUAACUAACUAUGCUCCCAGCUGCCAGGGGCCGGUCCAGUCCUGGUGAACAACCAAGCCUCCUCUCGUGCAGGCAGGCAGCUAGAGAGGGAGAGGGAGAGGAGAGGGAGAGGGAAUGGAGGUGCGCACCCGAGCCCCCGGGAAGAUCAUACUGUCUGGGGAGCACGCCGUGGUGCACGGCUCCACCGCCGUCGCUGCCGCCAUCGAUCUCUACACCCGCGUCUCCUUCCGCCUCCUCCCUCCCUCAGGUUAGGUUCAGUCGUUUGCCUCUUGUGGUCUGUGGUCCGUGGCCGUCUUCCAUUGUCUAAUUUUCUCCUCUGAUUAUUUCCAGAGGGUGAUGCCGGAUCGGUUGAGCUAGAGCUAAAAGAUACGGGCCUAGCAUUCUCAUGGCCGUCCUCGAGAUUGAAGGAGACGUUCUCAUUCGAGGCGAUCGGACCUCCCCUUUCUCCCACUCCCAGGCCAUGCUCUCCGGAACAUUCGAAGCUGAUAGCCUCUCUUGUUGAGGAGCAGAACAUUCCGGAAGCCAAAAUUUGGCUCCGCUCUGGGAUCCACGCAUUCCUCUAUCUUUACACGUCGAUCCAUGGGUACCGCCAAUCUGUUGCAAUGCUUCUUUUCUUAGCUCGCUUUGUUCGUCCGUUCCUUCGUACUACAUAUACUUCCGCAAGUCAUUUACCUUUUCUUUUCUCAACCUCAUUGGGAGUGUCCAAACAGCUUCAAGCCUGGGAAGGUGGUGAUCAGCUCGGAGCUUCCACUGGGUUCCGGUUUGGGAUCCUCGGCUGCAUUCUGCGUCUCGCUGUCGGGAGCCCUGCUUGCGCUUUCUGAUGCCUUUUCAAUCGACAGACAGACAAAGGGCUGGUUAGAAUUGGAGCUGAGUGAACUUGAGCUGGUGAAUAAAUGGGCAUUUGAAGGGGAAAAGAUCAUUCACGGGAAGCCUUCUGGUAUCGACAACACUGUGAGCACAUUCGGUAUGUAAAUAAUGCUCAACAACUAUUAAGCCUUUGCUGUGUGCAUCAUUUUUUUUUCCUUAUCUUAUUCCAUCUAAUAUACUUUUAUACUGAAUUUAUUUUCUUUUUGUCUUAAAGGGGGUAUUCUUUUCACUGAAUUUUAAUACUCCCGUGGAGCUCUACGUUUCUAUUUGAAAUUGACAAGCUUGUCACCGCGCUUCACUGGCCAGAAGGGUGUAAGGGCCUACGGUCUCUUGCUAGUGAGGACUGUUAUACUCCCAUGGAUAUCCCAUUUCAUUGGGUAUGAGAAAAAUAAAAUUGCCAUUCUAUGAUAAUGUAAAAUGCCUUCCACUAGUUGGCAAUCAUUUAUGAUUUGAUCUCUUUUAGAUAAGCUCGUCUUGUCCACCCGUUAAGAGUUGCGUGGUGACGAUCUUGCCAGUUUGGAUAGAAAAUGUAGAACAUUUCUAAGAUGUCUAUCAUUCUGCUACUUGUGAUUUCUUAUUUCUCUAGGUAGGUAAGUUGUGUAGAGUUACAUCUGACUGCAUAUAUGGCAGGGAGCAUGAUAAAGUUUAGAUCAGGUGAGUUAACUCACAUUAGAUCUAGCACACCUCUCAGAAUGCUUAUUACUAAUACAAAGGUUGGGAGGAACACAAAGGCAUUGGUCGCUGGUGUAUCUGAGAGAGUAUUGAAGCAUCCAGAUGCUAUGGCUGCUGUCUUUAGAGCAGUUGAUUCUAUUAGCAAGGAGCUGUCGGUUAUCAUUGAGUCCCCUACUUCAGAUGACGUAUCUAUCAUUGCAAAGGAAGAGAAGUUAGAAGAGCUAAUGGAGAUGAAUCAAGGCUUACUCCAAUGCAUGGGGGUUAGCCAUGCCUCCAUAGAAACUGUGCUUCGAACAACUUUGAAGUAUAAAUUGGCUUCUAAGCUGACCGGAGCCGGUGGUGGAGGCUGCGUUUUGACUUUGCUACCUACACGUAUCCUUGAUCUAGUUAUCUUAGCCGGCUUAUACCUUUUUUCAAGUAUUAUGCCUAAGAAUCUAUAUUUUAUGCUUGAAUAUGAUGGUUGCGAUUUACUUUCUAAAUUUGUCUUUGGUCAUAUUGCUUACAAUAGCUUCGAUCUACUUUUACAUGAUUUGUUAAACUUUGGCUCAUUAAUUUUAUCAGUAAUUGGAAAUGCUGGUUAGCUAGUUACAAGUAUCCUUGAUCUAGUUACGGCUUAUACCUUUCUUCAACUAUUAUGCGUAAGAAUCUAUAUUUUAUGCUUGAAUAUGAUGGUUGCGAUUUACUUUCUAAAUUUGUCUUUGGUCAUAUUGCUUACAAUAGCUUCGAUCUACUUUUACAUGAUUCUUUAAACUUUGGCUCAUUAAUUUUAUCAGUAACUGGAAAUACUGGUUAGCUAGUUAACUUUUUCUUUGCGUUCCCUUUGUCUUUCGCUCCAAUUUAUCUAUAUCCUUUUUUGUUGAGUAAUAGAUUUUGUCUAGUUUUAUUUUUUGUAACUGUUUGUGAUUAGUACAGCAGCAUAUAAUUUACAAAGUAGACCAAUUAGGUUGGCAUUUCCGAUCAAUUAUAAGUUAACUAAAAAGCAAUAGCGUUUAAAGCAUUAAGAAUAGCUUGGUUUCCCAUAAUCUCUCAUUUGACUAAGCCUUUAAAAAUUAUCAGUUCAUAGAUUAGGUCGUCAAUCCACAUUGGUUAUGUAACGUAUGUGAAACAUAGAGGGUGAGGAUACAGUAUUAGUCAACUUAUCCACAUCGUACUUGAGUAAGCCGACAAAUUAUGUUGAUUCAAGGCCUCAUAACAUAAAAUUACUUUGUCUUGGAUGGGCAAAUGAUGCAGUCUAAAAUUAGGGUUUCAAUUGAUUGAGUUCUUGAUUAUGUUAGCUACUUGAUUUAGUUUGGCAUUAUUUGGGCUUUAUUUUGGUUAGAUUUGUAUUUGGUUAUGUACUCGGUAAUUACUCUUGUAGGUCAAAGUAAGCAAGUACCUAAAUUUGAGUGAUACAUUAGGAUAAGCAUUUGGUAGUUUCUAUUCGAUAAAUGGACCCACCGGCUCUAUUGUUCCUGUUCAUUUAAGAAAUUAAAUUUAGAUUUAGAUUUUCCUCUUUUUUGGUUGCAUUUCCUUUCCUCUUCUACUUUGUCCUCCGCCUGUUGCUUCUCUUUCCUUUCCUUUCCUUUCCCCAUCAAUUUAGUCAUCUGAGAAAUUAAUUGGGACAAGGGUUUUAUUCAUUUGUCUCCUCUUCCUAUUCUCUUCUAAUUUCUACUCUGCCUGUCGGUUCUCAUUCCAAUUUUGCUCUUCUUUUCUUUUUGCUCUCGGCCCCUUCAAUAUUGUUAUUGCUGCGUACUGCAGCCAAUUGCAGCAAACUACUUUCUCCCAACCUUUUACCGUCCCACUGCACUACUGUAGCGCUACAACCAUUGCACUACCGUUCCACAACCAAUUACCGUGUUGUUGAUGUUGUUCUUUUUUUUGUUUUACUUAUGCUGCUAUUUUUUGGUGGUUGUUCUGUGUUUCAAUUUCCCUUACAAUGCAUUGUUUCUAUUGCUGAAUUUUUGGUGCAUAUAGUAGAACCCUAAAUUAAGUUUUCAAUAAUUAUUGCGCCCCUCUUUUAGAAUCCUAGGGCUACGUAAAUUUGGUAUUGGAGCAAGUUCCAUCGUAGUACGUAUGUCGGGAUAACUUUUCCUCUUAUUUUCCAUAUUUUUCUGUUUGAUCACAUUUCUUCUGUCCCUUUUUGCCUAUUCCAUUUUUUUUACAAUGACUAUCAGCGCUGAACUUAACCAACUCUUACAGGCUUGAACCAAAACCUCCAUUUACCAAGAUUUUAAGUGCUCGUCAGCACGGGCCAUAUCCACCGUGCUGUACCGUGCCAACAAGAUACCGGCACGAUACAGACCCCGUACCGAUGGCAUAGCUCAAAACCCUCUAUUCUUUAAAUUAGUAAGUAAUUUCCUCAAUAAAGUUCAAAAUAUGUGAUAAAAAGACAUAAUGAAUAGUUAGAAUAUUUUGUUGCUAAAGAAAAUAAAUAUUUCUAUGUGUCGGCACACAAGAAUUUUUUUUGACCGGCAUGUAUCGACACGGCUUGGCACGCAUCGUGCUAGCAAGUUUCCGGCACGCAUCGACACGGCUUGGCACGCAUCGUGCCAGCAAGUUUCCGGCACGACCCCGUGUCACGGCACUUAAAUCCUUGCCAUUUACCCUCUUAACUUUUUGAUCCCCUAAUCCACCAAUAGAUUCCUCCAACCUUUGUACCUAUUUCUCUCUCCAAAGAAAAACCAUGGCCGUAACCCUUUUACUGAUCUUCCAAGACUGAUAAAUUGUGAAGUUUGACAUUCUGCAAAGCAUAGGAUAAAAAUUAUGAUGUUUUUUCUUGAUUUGGUUUUCCCUCUUGAUGCAUCUUUCAGAUAGUAAAAUAUGAUGGAGAAUCGAAAGAUCUUCUUUGUUGAUAUAAACUGUAGACUACUUGCAUGGGGUGAGAGUGAGACAAUGUGAAGGAGACAAGUAUCAUUAUGUUAUAUCCUAGGUGCAGCCAUGUGAUUUCCAACACUAGGAAAACAUGGAAAUGGUGAUGAUGUUCAUAUGGGGCACCAUUAUUUUCACCAGAGGCAUCAGUGUUGGUUGAUGAUGCUCAUAUAGGCCUAGUUUGGUAAUGUGGAGGCUAAAAGAACCAUUUUAAUACUAUGAAAGAUCCAAAAAAUUUAAAAACUCUUGUAACGUAUCUUCCUCCAAUGCUUUAAAAUUGUGGUUGCAACUGCCACCGGAGAAGCAUGUGGCUACAUGUUUCUCCAGUGGCGGUUGCAACCAUAAUUUUAUAGCAUAAAAGAAGGAAAAAUUGAAAGCGCUUUUGUAAAUUUGGGCCCUCUAUAAUAUAAAUAUUGUGCUUUUAGCCAGCAAAUUACCAAACGAGGCCAUAGUACCCCACUACUCUUAAGUAUAUGGUUAUGCAUUAGUGGCAUUGUUUGAAUGACUCUAUGAAAUUGAAGAACACUUAGUUAAGAACUGCCACAAAUUUUUAUAUCAUAAUUAUAGAUAGAAAUUGGAUCAAUUUUUAUAUUGUUACAUGAUAUCAUAAUUUCAUCGGUUGCCUUUCCAGGUCUAGUCAUAAAGACAAUUAUAUACGGGAAUGCAGUUUAAGCCGUAGGAAGCCGAGGGUUAACAACCUCCCAGACCUAGUCCAACCAGUUCCGAUAGUCAUAAGCCUGUCCUUUUCCUUGUGUACCCUCUUUCGGGCUUCUAUUUUUUCUACUCUUGAAAGCAAGCGAGUGAAAUAAAAUUACGCGUCCGAGCUUCUCCUCAACCAGUGGAAGAGCACUUCUCUCUCUUUUCAUUCGGCUCUUGCCUCUUUUGCUUCAUUUCAUCUAAUGAUCAGGUCCUAGCCUCAAGGCAACAACCAAUUAGUUAUCAGCCUACUGACUAUUGCAUCAUAUGGGUUUUAUGAGAGAGGGAUCACUGGGGUGAUACACCAGAUAAAAAUCGAUAAUUGUCAGCAUAUGAAACAGUGAUUUCAUAUCUUAUAUGUGCUUAUUUCUGUUAUUCCUUUGAUUCUUGCUCCCGGCGGUUCAUUCAUUUGACCAUAACUAAAGCUACUUUGGAUUCUGCAAAAUUUUUUUGAUUAAUUAUUACUUUUGUUGAUAUUAUCAUAAUAAAACUUACCCACGUUGCUUAUUGCUGUCCCUUUUAUCAUUUUACUAUAGGAAGAGAAUGACCUUUAUAAUUUAACAUUUUAUUGGUUUUUUAUAUCAUUUGCAUCAUCUUCAACCACCCUUACACGAGAACUUGUAACUUCUCCGGUUUAAAUCCAUGACCAAUGAAUGAAACGUGAAUUCUAGUAAAUGCUAAGCCGUAAUGAUUUAUGUCCGUAAUUUGUAAAUUAGCUCGAUUCAUCUCAUCUUCUCUUAGUCCAUAGUGUCUUGUUACACAACCUCUUGACAAUAUUAUCCAAGUUGGCCAAGCCCAUAGAAUAAGGCAAUUUUUGUACUGGAAGUUCUAAGAGUUUACUCAAAAUACCUUUUGGAAGUUAAAUUCUACAUAAUCUUUAGUCUACUUAAAUUGUCUGCUGUUAAAACUCAGAAGUAUGUAUCUUGCCUAUGUUUAUGCUAAAAAUAUUUCUAAUUUACAAGAAGAAAAUAUUACAUUUCCAAAAUUGUCCACAAAAUCAACUAAACAAUAUAAAAAUUAGUAGCAUUGACCUGUCUUGUUAUAGUUGUACUUUUCUGUACCCUUUAUUACCAUUAAUUAUCUCUAUUAAACAUUUCAUCAACCCUUUCUUGUUUACUUAUCUAGCUGUUAGAAAUUAGAAUGCAAUUAUAGACUGCUAAUUUCGUGUAAAAUUUCUAUGUAUCUCAAAAACUUAAUGAGUCUCUAUUUCUACUUGUGAUUUCCCAGGGAUAAAUAUUUUAUUUGAACUUAGUACCUCACAGUCUGUCAAGUCUUUUUUGUGUUAGAGGUAUGCUAUAUGGAAACUAAGGGCUUAUGAUCUUCAUGUGCUUUAUAUGUAGUCAUGAAAGUUUUCCAGACAAUCCAAUUAUUACGUAAACCUUUAACUUUUCCAGAAGCUAGACUUUCUGUGGUGCAGUCUAAAUCUAGACAAGCGUUUAUUAAUUCUUUCCAUUGUAAUUUCGUAAGGUUUAGGGGUUGCACAUGUUAUUAGCAUUGCAUUGAACUCUAGUUUGGAUUCGUUUGGAUAGUUCAGGAUUAGAUGCAUUAUUGGUGGAUCAAGCAUCAAUUCAGUUACGAAAGGGGAUUAAAUCUUCACUGGAACUUCUUUUAAGAUGUUGGAUUGAAUGCGCUCAAAUUUCUAGCAGUGUUUCAAUGAUUUUGAUUUAAACUGCUGUUUUCAUUUCCUCCAUGCUGAAUUACAUGUUCUAAAUUAAGUUAUAGAGCUGUCUUUCAUUUCUUUAGAUGGUCGUUUGUUGAUUUGGAACUUCCUGAGUUUUAGCCAUUCUGGUUUCAGUUUAAAACUGUGCCAAUGCCUUUUCGCUGCUAGUGCCGUUCAGAUUUGUUGCUUUUAUUGCUGCCCAUUUUGAAUAUAUUUUACUGCAGAAACCUACCUUUAUUUGCUGGAUAACCUUCAUCAUGCCUCACUGCUUUAUAAUACUAGUCAGUUAGAAAUCUUUUCACGGCCCCUUUAGGCAGAGUCCUUGGAUGAUUAUAUUGAGAGUUUUCAAUGGCUAGGAUUUCCCUUAGUUCUUCCACUCCAAUUGUUUCUUAGAUGUAAAUUGUUUACUUUUUGUCUCUUUCUUCAAAGAAAAAAAAUCUUCAUUCACUGUUAUUCAGUUGUUCUUCUUCAAAAGCUCUUUCUAGACGGAAUUUUGUCUUUUUUCCCUUUUUUGCUGCUUUAGGAGAGCUUUCUUAGUGACAAAAGAAAAUGCAACUUGAUUUGCCACACUACCACUGUCUAAUAGCAUCCUUUUUGUUAGUGGACUACAUCAACUUGGUAGUGGUGCAAGUUCAAAAUAAAGUAAAUCCUAAUCUAGAUUUAGGCUGCAUCAAAGUUUGCUUGGUUUGAGGUGAACUUUUGAUUUGAUCUUUUCAUAGAGAUUUUUUUUUUUAUUUUUCUUAUUUUUAUUUUUAUUUUUUUGUUUGAAAAAUGAUCUGUUCAUAGAGUUUCAUUAUCUUGUCAUUACUAGUGAAAUACCCGCGUGUUGCUGCGGAUAUAAAAAUAUUUUUAUAAUAAAUUUAUUUUUUUAAAUAUUUUUAUAUAGUUUUAUAAAUUUAAUUAUUAAUUAAAUAAAUAUUAUAUAAAAAUAAUUUAAUAGUUAAAUCUAUUUAAAUAAAGAUCAUUCAUUAAAAUUGGUGGUAUAUGCCAAUAGUAGAAUUAUACGAAUAUUUAUUUAUAAAAGAUUUAUCUGAAAAGGAUUGAGGAUAAAUUCUAGUCAAUAGAUAAUUUUGUGUUCGGUAAGAAAGAUGGAGGUGCGAGUAAAUAGAAGGAAAACUGAAAAUGUGGUGAGAAGAGAGAGUUGUUGAGAUACGAGUGAGCGGAUGGGGGUUCGUGUUUUUAGGCGAUAUUGGAUGUAUUAUGGGGUGAUAUUAUAUAGAACUAGUUUAGGCUAUAUACUAAUAAUAUCACCAAGUUAUUGGUGGCUACCAAGUUUUUGGCCAUUGGAUUAAGAGAUGUGCGGUUAGGAUGAUGUGGGUCCCCUAGGGUUGAGUGGGUGGUGGUUUUGAAUAGUAUAAUCGUAACGGAUGAGAAAUGAUCAAAAGGGGUAGUUCUAAGCGCGGAAAACUUGGCUGCACCAGUGUUUCGUUGCUAUUAAUAGCAUAGAGCCGGACUCUUUCUCUUCGUUCUUCUCUCUGCUGCUCGUGUAUAUAUAUUAGGUAUAUGAUGGAUAUUACUAUUUCGUAAAAAUUGUUAAGUUGUUGACUCGUGAUAAAUGUUAGAAUCUCUGUAUUUUUUGAUACAGCAAGUAUUUUUACGUGACUUUAAAUUGCAUCUAUUUAGGUUUAGAGUGGUUGAUUAGUGGUUAUGUUAGUUACGUUGCUGAUUGAUUAAGUAGAAAUUAAGUUAAACUAGAACUAUUUUUAGGCUUAAUUAUUGAAACGAAAUGUAAGUUGGAAUGUGUGAAAUUUCAUAGAGUUUGAGAAGACUGUUUGAAGAAUUAAAAUUGUUGAAGUUAAGAAUUGUGGAAGAGUAAAAGGUGAUUUAUAAGGUUAAAAUUGAGACACAUUGUAGAAUUUGAAAAAGUAUGAACAAUACGUAAAAUAUCAACAAUUGGAAGAGUAUCAAGAAUGUUAAAGGAUACUUAUGUAUGGUGGGUUGUAGCGUGAUGUGAUAUAUGAUGAUAUAUAUAUAUAUAUAUAUAGAGGGAGAGAGAGAGUAAAGGAGGGUUUGGGGGGACACGUGUCACCCUUUGGUCCCCCCAAACCCUCCUUUAAUGUAGUAGAAAGAAUAGGAAUAGAUUAUUAUCCUGCUAUAAUCUUAUAUGACUAAGUCUAGGAUCCUGUUGUGCUGAUUUGGCUUCAAAUCUUCCCUUUUCAAAUUUGAUGUUAGUGUGAUUGAAUGGAUAAUUGAUGCCUUUGGAGAUAAUCUAGUCUAUGAAAGCUCUAUGCAGGAAAUGAAAGUAAAUAUUCUUGCUCAAGAUAUCAAAAAAUGUUUUCUGAUAAAUUUUCAACUUGAAUUAUAUUUCACCAUUAAAACAACAACUACACCCAAUUAACAAUAAAAGUAGUCAAAUUUAAGGGGGCUUGAGUGAUUGGUACAGAGCAUUGAAAUUCAAUGAAAUUUGGUUUCUAGUGUCUUUAAUACCAUAAAACAUUUAUAAUGGCUCCAAUCAUCGAAUCAAAUGCCCGAACAUAGAUUUUGAGAAGGAUUUGGAUGCAAAUCCUCCCAAAAGGAUCCUAGCUUAUCUUAUAUGAAGUACUUGAAAGUUGAAACUAUUUUUGCAUAUCGAUGAUUUUAAACACGACUUUCUAGUGCGUAGGAGCUAAGUUAGAUGGAGAUGAAUACGGAGCAUAGGACAGGACACAUACUCAAACAUGGCAACUUAGCAACUCCAAGCAAUUUAGGAUAUUGAUGCGACAAGGACACAUCUAGUCAUAUACAAUAUUUAUUAAAUAUAAUAAUUUUUUACAUAAAAUUUUUAUAUUUUAUUAUGCAAAACAUCAUAAAAACCUUAAAAAAGAAGAGUAGAAAAACCAUCGUAUUAAGAGAAACUAUCUUGAAAAUAGUCUUAAAAGAUAAGAAUUUGAAAUCCUAAAAAAAAGGAUUGAACACUAGAAAGACUGAAAAGAGAGGAAAAGAAAGAAAAAAAAAAGAGAUUUUUGAGAGGAUAUCAAGCAAAGGUGGGCCAUAUGGUAGAGGAAGUGGGUGAGAUAGCAGCUAGUGACAUCAAGGAUUUAAGUAUCGUGGAAUGGGGUUAUGCCAGAAAUUUGCUGGCAUGGGCUAGCAUGGUAUGGCAUGGUGCGUGCCGGGUCGUGCCGAUGCGUGCCGGUCACAAAAAAUAUGUGUGCCGACACAUAAUGGCAUGAAAUAUUUAUUUUGUUUAGCAACAAAAUAUGCCAAUUAUUUUUUAUGUACUUUUAUCAAAUCUUUUGAACUUUAUUAAGAAAAUUACUUACUAAUUUAAAGAAUAAGAGGGUUUUGAGUAGUGCCAUCGACACGGGGGCUGUAUCGUGCCGAUAUCUUGUUGGCAUGAUACAGCACGGUGUAUACGGCCCGUGUUGAUGGGCACUUAAAUCCUUGGCUGGUGUACCACUAAUUCUUUCUUUUAUCGGAUUUUUUUUAUUUUAUGGACAAAAUAUAUAUUUUUUAAGGUGUUAAUGGGCCGGACUUCCUUAAUAGUUCUGUUAGAUAAUGUGAAACAACUGUUUUUCUCUAAAAGCUUAAGGUAACAAACAAGGAUUUAAGUGUUGUGGCACGGGGUUGUGUCGGAAAGUUGCCGGCACGGUACGGCACGGUGCGUGCCGAGUCGUGCCGAUGCGUGCUGGUCAAAAAAAUUCUUGUGUGCCGACACAUAAUAGCAUGAAAUAUUUAUUUUGUUUAGCAACAAAAUAUUCUAAUUAUUUAUUAUGUCUUUUUAUCACAUUUUUUGAACUUUAUUGAGAAAAUUACUUACUAAUUUAAAGAAUGGAGGGUUUUGAGCUGUGCCAUCGGCACGGGGUCUGUAUCGUGCCGGUAACUUGUUGGCAUGGUACAGCACGGUAGAUAUGGCCCGUGCCGACGGGUACUUCAAACCUUGGUAACAAAGAAUAGUGUUUUUAAUAUUUAUAUUCAACAAGGUCCAACUAAAUUCGCAAUAGGGUGCGCCCUAUGCAGCAUUUGAGUGGAGCAUGUGUGCUUUUAUUUCUUUUAUCAUGCUGACGCACAACGUAUGUGAGUUUUUCUUGUGUCUGCUGCGCAUCCUUUUCCAGAUGCAACUCUGACUCGGAUGCAAACUUCUUCACUAGGGAUGCAAACGGGGCGGAUCUGGGGGCGGGAGCCCCCGCCUCCCACCCCGAAUUCGUAACGGAUUAAAAAAUACAUCCCAUAAUCCAUCCCGCCUUGUAACUCGCCUCCCGCCGGCGCCCCGAAUCCGCCCCGCCAACUAAUAUUUUUUAUAAAAUUAUAAUAUUAUUAAUAUUUUGUAAAAUAUAAAAUAAUAAUUUUUAAUAAUAUUAUAUAUAUAAUUUAACAAUAUCAAUUAUAAAAAUAAAAAAUAUCAAUCACAAUUCAAAACAAAAUUCAAAAGUUUCAAAUACAUUAAAAAUGAGAGUACUAACUUAUUUGUAUUUUGAACUUUUUUGUAAAUACAUUAUUUUUUAGGAAUAUUUUUUUAAAAUAUAAAUGAUUUUCGGGGCGGAUUCGGGGCGGAUCAUGGCGGUGCGAAUUCGGGACGGGUCAAAAUUUCCCCCGUUUCCUGCCCCGAAUCCGUCUCGGAUCGUAAAAUUUACCCCAUUUUCUGCCCCAAAUCCGUUUAUUUUCUCCCUUUACUGCCCCCGUCGGGGCGGGAGCUCCACCAACCCGGAUCCGUUUGCAUCCCUAUUCUUCACAGCUGUGUCCGUGUUACCUAGCUUAGGAGUUGUAACUUUCUUAUUCAAGUUUCUUGCAAUAUAGUACUGAUUGGUGAGAUUGAGGUUUAAAGUACUUGAAGCUUUUUGUCAAGCAAUUCUUUUAGGCAUGUCGCAAGAUUGCCCAUGUUAGCCUGUGCCAAAGCCAUCCCAGCAGGUGGCAUAGGGUCGAGCUUGCAUUGUACGGACUUUUUCUCUCUUUCUAUUUUUUUUGAACUUUUGGUGUCUUUUUCAGUUUUGUUGAGUUGAGAAGCUUUACAAAGAUUUUUCAUCCUUGAAAUACAUAGAUCUUGUAAAUCUACUAAUAUUUGGAGCAAUUAAUGAGUCUCAUACUCCCAUUGCAUAAUAAGACGGAGUUUUAGUGAAAUAAUACAAAUAAGAAGAUUUCCCCCAAUUUUUGUCAUCAUUUUAGAUCUAGUUAAUCUAACCAUGGUAGUGUUUUCUCAUAAAUUUUCACCUAAUUUUGGCUUUUAUGUUCAUGCAUAUACUUUCAUAACAUAAAUAAGAUAAUUUUUUCAGUUACUAAGAUCUUUAUGACCAUAUUCUUUCUAAAUUUUGUGUGAUAACACUUGAGUCAUUCUUUUAGCUAUUAGAGAUGUCAAAACACUCUAGACUGCUAAGUUUUCAGGAAAACUUGAUAACAAAGACCGUGCCAAAAUGAAGCAGUGUGCUAGUGGUGUGCCACUAGCACAAUGGGGGUAUUCCAACAUUGGCACACCCGACACAGCAAUCUGUGGUAUGUCUAAUCCUCCUUUGUUAGUAAGUGGUUUGGGUUCUCUGUAGUCUCUGUAGCCUGACCAAAAGGUAAAUAAAACAUAAUCACAAAUAUUGGAGCAUUUACACCAUACAAACACCCAAACGGAUAGUUGAUGUGUUUUCCUGAUCAACACGAUCAGUGGUUGAACAUAGUGCUCUUUCCAUUAAUAAAAAAUUUCUGCAACACUGGAGCAGCUGCUAGUACUACUACUGUAGCUCUACGGGAGAAACCACUUCUUAUGAAUGUGCUUUUAACAGGUAAAAAAGAUUAAAUCAAAAUAUAUAUCUUGUACAUCUUUGUUAAAAAGAAACAAUGUGCAUUUCUCAAACAGAGUCAUACACUCUCCAAGUACAUAACUUAUACAACAACUAAUUAUGUCAACUGUUGUUUCUCCAUUCCAAUGUAAGAUGUCUUACCUGCUUAGAAAUGGUGAUCUUCUCUUCAUCUUCCAAUCACAUAUUGAUAAUAACUUGAUUGUUAGAUUGAUAUAUUGCAAAUUAUUUUCUUGUUCUGUAUUGUUGUUCUUUCCUCUCUUUUUUUCCGUUUUACCUUUUUCACUAGUCCUACUUUUGGCUUCAAGCAUCCAAGUUCAGAGUUUGAAGGUAGUAACGAUAGUGGCAGUCAAAACUUGGCCACAAUAACUGAACUUAGAUAAGGUGAAAGCUUGCUAUGAACAAGCCUUCUAAUAAUGUAACAAAUCUAGUUCCUUGGCGUGCCAAUGAUAUAGAGAAACAGAAAUAUUCCAUACAAAAAAUGACUCGCAAGAAAAUUUAGGAAUUAGAAUAUUGUUUUGUUUUUUCUUCUACACUUGAAGUGCAACCUAUGUGAACAGAAGUUUUAAGUUGCAUCCAGCAUGUAAUAUUUCAAGCAUAAAUUUGCUCCUCAUGACAUGCGCCAUUCUGAUUGGCCAUCAUCAUUUGUGUGCUUCAGUGCUGUACAUUGCAUUAUUUGACAUAGCACAUGCAGGCAUUUUAGGGAUCAUGUAAAAUGGGGUUAUGUAGAAUAUGUUUGACCCUUUUUUUUUGACUUGGGUCUUUGUGGAAAUAAAACCGUUUUCUCGAUUCUUCAGGUACACCUUUCAUUCAACUCCUGUUAACACUAUCAUUUUUUUUCAAUUGAGAGAGAGAGAGAGCUACUCGCUUUGUUCUUUCUUUUUUUUAAGAAAUGAAUUUAGCCAGAAAUAUGAAGCAACUACGCUUUGAACUUGGUCCCUUGGGUACCAACCAUCAAGCCCUUAGGCACUUGCGAAAGGGAUGGUUGGUAACACUUUGAAUUCUUAAAUGCUACAGUUUCUUAUGUCACUAAUUCUGAAAUCUAUUUCUUAGCAGUAUUCUUUAUUCAUUAUUCAAAAUGAAAUUGAUUAUUUAACAGGAUGGGAUCUAUAUAGAAUUGUGUGUUCCAUGGCAUCUCUAUAGUUGAAUAUAAUCAGAAUUAGACAAAAUAUACUGCAAAGAAGCCCUUAACCAUCAAAAAUUUUAUGUUAAUAUAAUCUUUUCUGCAUGCCAAAUAGUGGUAACAUUAGUAUUUUGAGAAUUACCGACGCACAAAAUUCAACCCUUGAAACUAUGAGGAACGAUGAUAUGAAUCCUCUGCUGCUUUUACUAUCUAUUUCUUAGCAGUAUUCUUUAUUCAUUAUUCAAAAUGAAAUUGAUUAUUUAACAGGAUGGGAUCUAUAUACAGACUUUUGUGUUCCAUGGCAUCUCUAUAGUUGAAUAUAACCAGAAUUAGACAAAAUAUACUGCAAAGAAGCCUUUAACCAUCAAAAGUUUUUAUGUUAAUAUAGUCUUCUCUGCAUGCCAAAUAGUGGUAACAUUAGUAUUUCGAGAAUUACCGACGCACAAAAUUCAACCAUUGAAACUAUGAGGAACGAUGAUAUGAAUCCUCUGCUGCUUUUACUAUGUUUUUUCUGUUUAAAUGUAUUUUAGGCAAUUAUAAUACGCAGAGAUGAGCUGAACUAGUAUAGCAUUAAACUAGAUAUAUGUCUGUACUGUUCUGAUUUAUUCUGGUUUAAAUGACCAAAUUUAGCAUUUCACUUAUCUCUUUAUUUGCCAUAUUAUGUCUGCCUCUCUCAUCUAAACAUUGGAAAUGUCCAUGACACAAUAAUUAGUAUUAUCGACCAAGAUCGUGGACAAGGUUAUUGCGGAACUUGAGUCAUGUGGAUUUCAGUGUUUGAAGGCAGAAGUUGGUGGGAAAGGUCUGGAAGUUUGUUUCAGCUGAUGUUCCUAGACUUGUCAUACAUUUGCAAUGUUAGUAUUUCUCGGCAAUUAUUGUGUUGGCUUUUCAUUUAUGUAUAACAAUGAAGAUCACACUUUUAUCUACAAUCCAUUGCUGUUCUAGUCAUCGUCAUGGCCGCAGUCACUGUUGACAAAUAAGAUAUUAUGUAAUAAAAUUUUCACCUAUCAUUUUCCAUGAAAUUAUGGACCUGUAAUUUGUAGCACCACCUGUCAACUGCUGCUGCAAAUGUAGUGGAAGGCAGUUGUGCUAAUUCCAUUAGGAUUGGUCAUAUACAAAUAAGUUCAAUGGUUAUAUUUGAAGUACAUCGCCUUAUUGCUAUGUUUCUGUGCUACUAGAGGAUUCGUUUACCGCUUAUUAUCAUUAUGUUUUGUUUACAUUUUCAUGCAGGUGCAUGAGUGCAUUCUGAUUAAAACUUUGGGAACUAUCACAUUUUUUUCCCACUGCUUGUAAUCUACUGAAUCCCAUCCCAUUAUGCUGAACCUUGACCAAAUUGGCUAAAAUAUGGUGAGGAAGGAUUAGGGGAGGUCCAUGUCGGGUUCCGAAGGCGUCGGAACAAGAAGUAUCGGUGAAACUUGAAGAAAGUUGGGAGCAAAUAAAACUUUUGGAAAACGAUUGUAUUUCGAAAUCUAAUUAUUUUUAUAAGAAAAAAAUUAUAAUUUUCCAAUGUUGGAAGUGUUUCACAUGUGUGAAGGAUUUUCGGUUGUGUUGGAUUUGAUUUGGAGAGAAAACGGAAUGAAAAUCGGAUUUUUAAAGCGAAAAUUAGAAGAAAAUAAAGAGGCUGAAAAUACUGAUCACAGUGUUAGGGUCCGGACCUUGUGGUAAGGUUCGGACCUUGACUGCGAAAAUGCCCGAAAUGAGGUACGGGUUCGGGGCCUUAAUAGAGGGUCCGGACCUUGCGCUGUUUGGGCCUCCACCCCACACAUGAGAGAAAAGGGGAAACCCUUCUCUCUUUCUCUCUAACACCUCUCUCUUCCUCUCUUGUAAUUCCUCCUCAAGGUUGGAGGAUUUGGUGGAGAGCAAGAUUAGAAGAAGGUUGAUGGUGGUGGGAGCUCUCUAAUGGUGGAUCAAGCUUGGAGAGCAAGGUGGCCAUGGUGAGUUUUUAGGAUUUGAGUUAGGGUUUUGUCUCAGGAUUUGAGUUAGGGUUUUGGUUGAUCCUUUAAAAUUGAUGUUUUUGGAAGUCGUAGAUGAUUCUGAACUAAAUUGGGUAAAGGUUUAUCAUGGAUUUUGGGGUUUUCUUAUAGAACUUGAAACUCUAGGAUUAGAAUUGGGGCUUUUGUUGCUAAGAGAUUUGGAACUAAAUUGAUUGUAUAAAUCUCUAAUUGAAGGGUAGUUCGACGCAAGUGACAACUCCGAUUUGGAUUAUGACGAGGUUACAACGUCUGAUUGGGAGAUUUUGCCGAAUUUGAUUCAUUAGGCUUGGGUCGAGCUGAAUCGGGUCGGAAAUCAAAUUGCUUAAAAAUCCUAACAAUUGUUAAUUAACUAAGGUUGGUGGUGCUCUCCGAAAUUGUUGGAUUUCUCCUUAUGUCUAACUCUAUUCUUUGUGCAUAUAUGUGUAUAUGUGGAAUUGUAUUUGUUUGGGUUAAAGUUAUCAUUUUUUCGUGUGAAUUACAUGCUUCCUAAGUUAAUGAAUAGACAAUUGUGAUCGAGAACUUUACAGUUAGGAUACAUGAGUAUAGUGCCAUGUGAAUCGUUGUAAUAUAAGAAUUAGUUGUUUGGACGUAGAAAACAUAGUGAAACACUAGACCUCAUUGUGAGUGUUAAACAUAAACCUAGUGAUGGAAAUAUAGAUUGAGUAUCCUAUUGUGCAAGUAAAGAAUAUGAAUAUUGUGUGUCAUGAUUGUACAAGUGAGUUUGUUGCCGUAGUUGCACAGGAUUUGAAAUGAGCAUGUUAGGGAUUAGUAGAUCCCCGGAUGUUGCUACCCUAGUUAGUAGGGUGUCGUCGAGAUCAGAGGACUAGAUUGUACUCACAUUGUCUAUUUGGCUUGUGAUGGUUGCGACACUACAAGCAGUGAGUUUCAGAGUUGUCACAUAUCGGUUAAGCCGAAUUCUUCCCAGCAGGUGGCCCCAGAUGGGUUAAGCGAAAAUUCUUCUCAACUGUUGGCCCUGGUAUUGUGAGUGGGCUUGACCUCCGGGUGAGCCGGUAUGAUUGGGUCGUGAGGUUAAAAAGGAAGUCAGCUGAGCAUGGUAGUCAUGUCUUUGAUUACCUUGUGAAGUCUUGUAGUAGCAUCACAUGACAGGUGACUGGUCGAUUAUGCCUCCUCUGUAGACAAUCUGUGUUGGGUUGAGCGGAAUUCUCCCUAGUAGACGAUCUAGAAGAGGGAUUUGGGCUUGACUAUACGGUGAGUCGGUAAAAUUGUGUCAACAGAAAUAGAUAGCCAAAUUAGCAUAUUGGGCCUUGGAACCUAUUUCAUUUUGCAUAGGCAUAGUAGUGCUUGUGUUCAUUUUAGCUUUAUGCAUAGUAUAGUUGUUAUACUGCUUUCCUAUUCUAUUAUUUACUUUUGCCUUAAUAGACUUAGUGGGAAAGUCGGUGAGGUCGGCGGCCGAACCCAUUGAAAACUUCUUUUAGUUCUUACCCCCUAUUUUCAAGAGCCAACCAUUAGCGGAGCAGCAUCGGACCGAGGCGUGGGCGUUGUGCCCUAGAUAGCCGGGUCACCAAGUUUAGGUUGCCCUAUGUAUAAGCAAAUUAAUAUAAAUGUAUUUUUGAAAGAAAAAAAUGUAAUUGAUAACGAGGUUGUAUUUUGAGGAAGAACUCGGGUAUUAAAUUUGAGAAUUGUAUGUAAAAUGUGUAUGUUCAAGUGUUGAAAUAGCUAGGUUUAACUUUCUUGCUCUCGUGAUAUGCCUUCGUGUAGAACUGUAUUAUGUUGUUUUUCCUGGGUGAAAUUCAAUGUACUUGUUUUGUUUAUGCUUUGGGCGGAUAAGGAAAACUCCGUCCGUUCAGCGGUUUGUGUACAUGCCCGAACCGACCCAAGUGGCGGUGCCGUGGCGUAAUAGAUAAGAGUGGUAUCAGAGCGUAGAAACAGUCUAGGAGGACCUGGGAAAACUUAGGUUUGGAAAACCGUAAGAACCUAGGCUCGUGAGUGGACGGAACUUAUGGUGAAAGUGAAAUGAUUGGGUCAAGAUGUGUCUCAAAUAGUAUUUUGGAGGUGGAUUAAAAGUGUUGCAACUACUCUAUUUAGAUGAUCAUGUUGGCUGCAGACAACAUGAUGUUGAAAGUAGAGUAAGGGUGCCCUUCUAUGACUUUCGCUUGAUUGGGUCAGCUAUUGUGCGCGACGGAAUUAAGUUCGAUCAUUGGAUCGCCUAGGUACGUGCGUUAUCCCUCGAGUGACGAUAGAAGUUACUUGGUGGAGCGGAUCUUGCGGAAGAUUAGAUAGCCCUCCGAUGUUGCGAACGAAGUGUCGCUAAGGGCAUGAGGCUUCCCGUUGUGGUCGAGAUGUUUGGUCUUGAGGAGCCAAUGUGUGUCUUGACUUGGUGUUAGGACUGUAGUUGUGGAAAUUUGAUAAUUCUCAUCUUAGUGGACCUGGAGACGUUUGCCUCAGCUAAGAUGGGUAAUGGAUGCAAUGCGUGACCCUGAGUGAUGGAUGUGGUGCACGAUCCUUGAUAAUAGUUGCAAAGGCACGACCCAUGGGGAAACGGCAUAGGUAAGACUGGACUAUGGUCGGAUAACGAGAAUGAACUAGCAAAGUGGCGACGGUUGAAAAUGGAGCCGAGUUGAUAGGGUCGGUAAGUGGAACAUUCCGGGAGGAUGGCCUCGUUUUUCCAAGGCAGGGAAACAUGAUGUGACUCGUAGGAGCAUGUCAGUUCAGGUUGGUUAUUAAGUAUAGCAUGUUUUACACACUAUAUUGAAUGUGUUAGCGGUUAAUUCUCUACGGGAUUUUAAGUUGAGUGGGUGCGAGGAUUGAGAUUUUUUCUGUAUAGAUAAAUGCACUGUUAAUGAUGUUUUUAUGUAUAUUUUAUUUCUAAAAUAGCUGGUCAAAUUUCAGCGAAAAAUGAAUUAAAAUAAGGCUGUUAUGCGAUUUUUAUUAUUUACUUAAGUGAAUAGUAACUCGUGUUUUCGUUUGAGGCCAUUGAGUGUAAGAUGGCUCUGUCACAUACCGGUACUUUGUUUUGGGUUAUCCAAUAGGCCGUUUUGUUGGUCCGACUAUGCUGGAGUUAACGACGCUGACGGGUUUUGAGUUUAACACAUAGUUUUCGAGAAAAGUGAAUUUUAUCGCAAAAAAGACAUUUAUUUCUCAUUAUUUUUGCUUUUUAUAACCAUAUGGUGCACCAUUUUGCGUGAAAACCCAUGGGCGGGGAUCUUUCUGCGAGAGAUGGCAGUGGAGAGGGACCAGAUUGUAAUUAUUGAGGAUUGGAGGAGUUUUGAGUGAUUAUUCUUUUAAAUGUCAAUUAGGAUUAGGAUUAAGAGUAAUUAGGGUUAAAGGAGCCUAGAAACCCUAGCCCUAACCCCUAAUCUCCUCAUACUUGGUCCAUCAGAGAGAUUGUUGCCAUUGUCCUCGCUGCCGCCGGCCGCCGGAGAAGAAGAAAGUCCCAAUUCUUCUUUUCCUCUAUCUCUUUUUCUCUCUCCAAUAGCCUUGUGAAGGGGGUGACCUAAGUCUCCUUGCAACUAGCCACCAUCGACUGAGACCGCCAGCGGCGUCACCACCGGCCCCCGGCGCCCGCCCCUGUGCAACCCUCGGUGCUGCCCUGCCCUGGGGAGCUACCGCGGCCAAGGGCAAGGCCGCAGACCCCGUGCGACCGUGGGGAGCCACCCGACCGACGCCGCCGCACCGCGACGCCUCAUGUUGUCGCUGUCGGUCCCAGGGAGGCCACCGACGCCAUCCCAGCUACCCCCGAGCCGCCGCGGCGAUGUUGAGCUCAGCCCUAGCCGCGAGACUGCUUGAGAGCGCUACUGCCGUGCCGCACCGCCGCUGCCUCCCGCCGCCGGCCAAGGCCACCAAUCACCUCCCCUGAGUGCGGUGACCCUUCCCUAGCCGGAGCCUGCCCUGCCGUGCCACCAGCUGCUCCUUGCUAAAAGCCUUAGCUCGACUUGAACUAAAACCAGGGGCUAAUCUUGCGCGAUCUUCGUUUUUCAGCCACCAAUGACUUCGCCGAGCAUCGAAAGUGUGAGCACCGCACUUCUCGGUUCCUGUGGAGUCCCGUGCUCACCUUCUCUGUGAUCAAUGAAGUUCCAGUGCUCGCGAUGAACUCGGCCGUUUCGGGAUCAAGCAAUCAGAGGAUUUUCUCGUUGUUUUGGGCCUUUUCGGUCAUCGGUUGCGCUCCGGACAAUGAGCACGAGCAUUGUUGCAUCAAGACGAAUCACAUUGACUAGUUGGCUGGAUCCGUUGCGACGCGGAUUGGGGUAACGAGCUUGAAACUUGAUUCUAUGUAUUAUUUGAUUAACGGUUAGUGCACUAGUUGAGUUGUUUGUGAGUGUUAUAAAGUGGGAGCCCUAUGCUCUGCCUCGGACAAUGUGAAAAUUGUUUGUGAGUGUUAUAAAGUGGGAGCCCUAUGCUCUGCCUCGGACAAUGUGAAAAUGCUAUUAGCCACCUCAUGACUGAUCGUCAAAGGUCCGGGAGCCGUGUGGAGUGAAAACGAGGUUCCAGGGCAUCGUUUGGGCGAAAUUCGUCGAUCGGACGUGGGUUGUUUUGUGGGUUUUGAUGUUCUAGCAUUAUGGAUAGCUUGAGAACCCCACCAUGCCUCGUUGGCUGGUUGGAACCUUGCUGGUGCGAAGUACAGACCAGCGAUGGAUCCUACGUGGGUUUCGGAGUAAAAAAUGAUGAUUUCCUGGAACCCGGUACGCUGGAUUUUAGGGUUUUUGCACCUGGAUCGCACUGCUUAGCGUGCGAAUGUACUAACACCCAAAAGUGAGUGUUUUGGGACAGUGAGGAAAGUUAAAUGACUUUCGGAGUGUUUCAAAACACUUAGGGGCUUAAUGGAAGCCCGAAGUCCGAAGAUUGGGCGGUUCCGAGCGCAGUUUCUUGUUGCGUGGGUUGCUGUUGUUCGCAGCAGGGUAUGAGCCUUAUUGGCUGGUUUUGUGUGAGGUUUCAUACCUCUGGUCAUAGCAAGAGGGUUGCGGGUGGUUCCGGUGUCGAAAUGGGCAUCUCGGGAAACAAACUGGUGAUUUUUGGGAUUUCAAUUUUUUGUUUAGGCGCACUACUAGUGCGGCUGCCCCAAUAACAUUAAAAUGAUGUGUUGGGACAGCGGGUGAGGUAGGAUAAGUGUGGUACUCUUUUCGUGAGACCUCGUGGGUUGGGGUGGUUUUCCGACAAGUUGGCGCGACAAUCGAGCAAUUUUUCGGUGACCGUUGAAUGGGAUUCGAAAAUUCGAUUGUUCACCUAUUUGGAUUCCUAUAGAAUUAUAAGCUUCUGUAAUUACUGAGUUUGGGCUCAUUACAAUUUUGGUUGGGACUUUGCAUAGAUUCGGACUGCGAGUGGCAUUGAUGUGAGGUCGACGACCCGAUUUCAUUCUAUGGUACAGGUGGGUACUUCGAUCCGAAGUUCGUAAAGUGGUGCCGACUCGGUGAUUUCUAUCCCUUUUAUCUCCUUUCAUUUACUUGAUACUGGUUGAGCUUUCAUACAUUUACUUGACUUCGUAGCUAGUUGCUAUACACCCACUCUUAUAUCAUAUUAUCGUAAUUUAAGUGGUAGAGCGAUAUUUUUUGGUGAUUGAGUUAUCUGUUGUAUGAUUAUAAUAGAUGAUCUUGAUAUUAGUGACUUUAUGAUCGGUGACAUUCUUAGUUAUCUAUUUCAUGAUAUGACAUUAGUUGACACUCGUUCUCGGUGACACUUCCAGAUGUGUAUUGUAUGAUAUGACAUUAGUUGACACUUGUUGUCAGUGACAUUCCUAGAUGUGUAUUGCAUGAUAUGACAUUAGUUGACACUCAUUGUUGGUGACACCUCUAGAUGUAUAUUGCAUCUUAUGACAUUUGUUGACCUUGUGAUUGGUGACACUUCUAGUGGUUUAUUGCAUGACUUGACAUUAGUUAACCUGAUGGUUGGUGACACUCUUAGAUAGAGCUGGACUUGAUUGGUCGGUGACUCUUUGUGGGUUACUCUUUCGGUAAGUUGCCGUUGUUGGCUAUUGAGGAUAUUACAGGUCGUGAGCAUCUUCACGUACACCAGCGGUCUGAUCUACCGCAAAAGGAUGUUCUUUUCCAAAAAAAGUGGCCGUACUUUGGACCUGUGAGCGCUAUGAGGUGCUUGUCAGGAUUAUAUGCCAAGUGGACGAGCAGAAUAUGAUUUAGCCUGAGGUCUUUAGACCAGUAUCGCAGUUGACAUCGUUGUUGGCAUUAUUGAUCCAUUUGAUGCAUUGGUGUACUCUAUUAUUCUUUACAAUAGCUUAUAGUUAUGUCUUGAUUAGUAGUUGUAGUUUCUUUCUGGUCAUUAUUGCUACUAUUUCGAUGCUCCUACUUGUUAUGUCUAUUUGUCUACUCUAUCUUAUAGUAGCAGUUAUUGUUGCGUUUAUUACCAGUUGUUAUUCCAUUGCUAUUGUACCUGAUUCACUUGUUUACUACUGUUGGUUGUCUCUUCCGUCUGCCGGUGAAUACAGCUUGUCUUCGUCGACUUGCGGUACCCAUUGAGAGGGGAGACGUGUUUACAUGUUCUCACCGCUGACUAUUUUUUUAGGUUAACAUUAGCGGUGAGGGUCGGGACGGUGCGUGAGGACGAUACUAGAUAGUUAUGUUUCAAAUCUAUCCGUUGUUGAUAUGUAUUAUCUUUCUACUGGAUUAGUUCGGGAUCGUCUGCUGGACAGAUACUUUAGUCCAUAGGAAAAUACUUUAGUCCAUGGGCAAAUACUUUAGCCCAUCACGUGACAACCUCCGGAGUGCACUGUUUGGGUGGAGCGACCACCACCAAGCUCAAAACAGACUAGGUGAGUAUGAUCUGAUCCUCCUUUAGAGGAUUCAACCACAGACAAUGUCACACUUUAACUUUAACUAGCUCUUUAUGCUAGUUGCAAUUUCAUUUCUCUAUGCUAACCAAAUCUCUAGUUAGAAUGUCACCAAGUUCACUAUUGUUAUAGUCCAUACAUUCAUAGAGUUCUAUGUUCACAUUCUAAUGUUCACAUGUUCUCACUGUCGAUAGGGAUUCAUACUUUCACUUGCACAAUGCCAAUACCCUAUAAUGCAUGACUACAAAUAUAAAUAUGCUCAAUGAAUUAUCAUAGACAUAAAAGGUGAUUCAAAGAUUUCGGAUAGCACCACCCACCUGUAGUGGUGUCAAUGAGCUAAGAUCAAUGUCUCGGAAUGCGUUGACAACUAUUUCUUGCAACUCAGUGCAAAUCGAACUAGAACGGUCUCUACCGUAAGUAGCGUGUCGUCGCCCUGUCGGAAAGUCAAUUUAUACUUUCGAGCAUGUUUAACUUUCAUUUAUAAAGGAUUAAAGGAAUUUAAGCUAGAGUCAUAUUCUCAUAUUUUUCAAGUUAACAUUUCCAUUCCUCAUAAAAUGUCAACUCAAAGAAGAUUUCAGCAUUAAGCUGAAAUCUCACAUCAUGCUGUAUUUUCAGCAUUAGUUCAAGUACUACAUUCAGCUUCUAAUUAGCAUUUUAUAGAAAAUAAGUAAUUGAUCCUUAAUCCAAAUUUGAAUAACUAUGUUACCUCAAGUUCAGCUGAGCUACUAUCAAUUCUGCAGCCUUUUUGUCAACUUGGAACAUUAAGAAACUCACUCAAGGAUCAACUUCAGCCAUACUUCUCACUUCGGGUAGCUCCAAUAAGCCUUUACUCCAUUUCGGCCAAUACCAACAGCACAAAGUCCAUAUAAGCAUCAAACUUUAAGGUAAAUAAUUCAGCUCAACUAAGUAUGGAAUCAAUCUUACCUUAAUUUGGGCUUUCUCCAAGUUUCAUUCAGCAUCAACUACUCAAAGUCCCAAAUCUCAAUCUGAAAUUUCAGCAAUAUGGAAUCUUUUCAUAAUUCCUCUCUAAAGCUAGUAGUUUGACCCUAAUCAACUACUAAACAGAAUUACCUUCACUAGAUGCUGAAUUUGACCUGCUUACAGCAUCAAUUAGGUCACCCCUGCAUUUCGACAGCACCAGCAGCACCAACAAUAUCAACUUCUUGCUCUCAGCUGCAAGAAUUUCCAUAUGGUGAUCUUUUCCAAGGUAAUUAACCUAUAGAAGAAUAAGUACUAAUCAAGUUUACCUUGAUUAGUUGCUGUCCCAAGUUGUUCAGCAACUCCAGCAGCAAGAAUUCUUUGCCUUGCGGCUCUCUCUCAAGGCUGAAACAUCAAGGCCAUCAGCACCAAUGACACUUUAAUUUCUCUUCAGCAGCAGCCCCAACUCAGCAACACAUCAAUCCAGAAGCUCACAUCUGAAUUCGAAGCUCUCCAACAGCUUCCUUCUUUAACUCCGCAUGGUCUCUUUUCAGUUCCACAUCAAGAAAAACUUAAUUUGCAAGCCUCAAUGCUGUUAUCUCAAUUUUUUCAAGCUGCAACAGCAAGAAAUUCACAUAACAAUCCUUUCCAAAGUAACUAACCUAUAUAAGAAGAAAUACUAAUCAAGUUUACCUUGAUUAGAUGCUAUUCCAGGUGAUAUAGCAACUCUAAUCAGCAAAAACUUCUUGCUUGGAUCAGGUUUUCUUUUCAGCCACAAGUCUCCAAGGCUGUCAGCACCAAGUUCUUCAACUCUUCUUAGCUUAGAGAGAGAAGGAGAAGAAAAUAAAAGAUAAGGAAUGAAGAGAGAUGACCCUUCAGCAUCUGGACAUGUGUAUCCCACUAAGGGUGAAGAGAUAAUGCUGUAAAAUUGCACUUUGGCCCCUCAAAAUGCUGAAAUUGCAUUGCUGGACAAAUGCUGCCCGCAAUUGCUAUACCGGUACAAGAAUGUGUACCGGUACAGGACAGCAGCAGCAGCAGCAUCAACAGCUGCUUCGAUUCCUUGUUUCUCACUUCUAAUCCAUUCUAAUUUCAUUCCAACACUUCAAAAACAUUCCAAAUGAACAUCCCAAGCUAUCAAAUUAAUUUGGGAGCAAUUAAUUUCAAAUUUGCAUCAAUUUGCUCAUUUUGACCAAAUCGACUAAAAUUUCAACAUUCGAGUUACAAUGGCAAUUGGAUGUCUUUAGCCACUCCAAUUCCAUUCUUAUCUAUUCUCACAUUUCCAAAACCUGUCACUUGAUAUUCUCCAGCCACUAAUUAAGUUUAGAAAUACUCAAUUUCCAUUUUAGCAUUAUGGUGACCACUUUGAUCACAAUUAGCUUGUAAUCAAAAUUCAGCCUAUUACAUUUACGGUUUUAUUAGUGGAUUUCAGUGUUAUACUUAUCCCUCUGUUGUAAAACAUAGUUGUUUACUUUGCUUUGAUAUCGUUAGAUCCUUUGUUUAUCUGCCUUAUUUAUCGUUUUGUUUUAGACGCCUCAUAUGUUUUAGACAUAUGGCGGGUCUGGGCACGCGCCGGGCGGCCUUCCGCUGGGUCCCGGGGCGUGACACUAUUCCACAGAGCCGAGACCGAGCGCGCUGGCGAGCGACUGCUGUAAAGGUAUCGCACCGUAGUCAGAGGCCACCAGAGUUGGGUUAUAUUUUGUUAGUAGCUACCCUUUUAUCAUCUUUUGUAUUUGAUGAUUUAUGAUGCUAAUGUAUAGAACAGAAAUGGAAAAGAAUGUAAUGUUUAUUUUGAGCAAAUGUGAUGUAAAAAGAAAUGAUGCGAAAACUAUGUAAAGAAUUGCUUAUGAAAAUGAUAGAUUCUUGUAUGCGAUCAAAAAGAAUCAUAGUACUAGUUGAAUGCUUAGUUUCCUAUCUUUCACUCAUGGCUAUUGCUUACCCUCGUGUAAGCCGUUUGUGUAUGUUUUCGCUAUUGCACUUCUCGUUUGAAAUUAUACAAGUGAUGAGCCUUGGGCGGAUAGGGAAAAUUCUGUCCGUUCGGCGUCUGUUUGACGUGCUCGGGCCGGCCCAAAUUGGUAUCGGUCCCCGGGACGUGACGUCAAGAGCCGUUGUGGAGAGACAUAGGGUAGAUGAAUCUUGAGAUUGUGGCCUCGGAGAUCCCGUCUAUGCUUAUGGCUCUCUUUGUCCAACCGGCCUUGUUGGAAAGGAUUAAAGGAUUGCAACCCGCGGACCCAAAUCUCCAAAAGGUGCGGCGAGACAUCGAAAGUGGACGUGGCGGUGAGUUCAGCGUUGACGCCGAGGUUGCACUUCGGUUUCAUAAUCGGUGGUGCAUGCCUGAAGACGAGGAGGUCCGGAAGUUGAUACUGCAAGAAGCGCAUCGGACUCCCUAUGGUAUCCACCCGGGCGGCACCAAGAUGUAUCAUGAUUUAAAAAUGCAUUAUUGGUGGCCGGGAAUGAAAGCCGAUAUCGGACGCCAUGUGGCGCUGUAACACACUGGACCUGUGCAAAUUGCGAGGUUCGAGUGUUUGAUGUGGACUCCGAACUUUUCCACACUUGGUGGAAGGUUGUAGAUGGUAUUCCGACCUAAAAGUUCGAUUUCUAGAAUUUUGGCUUAGUCCUGAGAGUUUUCACUCUUGGGGACCGGUAACUGGUGGGAGAGACCGGUCCCCCCGGAGCAGUGUUGCGGCACUCUUGAGGGAACCGAUCCCUGGUAGGGAGAGACCGGUUUCCGAACGUUGGUUUUGCGGGACGAACCGAGAGACCGGUCCUUGGCAAGGAGAGACCGGUCCCUCUGGGCGAAAACUGCCCAGACCCGGGCAGUGUGCUGUUUGGAUUGUUGAGGGGCUUAUCAGGAUUUUGUUACAUUAGAAGGCUUUUAGAGCCUUUCUCUUCUCUCUUUCCCUCAUUUCUCCCGUUUACACUCAUUUUAGAGAGAAAGAGAAGGAAAAGAAGAAGAAGGAGAAGGAGAGGAGCUUGCUUGGAGGUCUUGGAGCAUCAUCUUCUUCCCCUCAUUUCUCACCUUUGGUGGCUUUGAGCUUGCGGUUGGAGCUUUGUGGAGGAUCAAACUCCAACCCUACUUAGUUUAGAGCUUGGAUUGGAGCUUCUCUUGAGGUUGGUAGCUUAUAUUUUUCAUUUAUUACAAGUUUUUCUAGAUUCUACUAGAUGAAACCCUAGAUUUUAGGAUUUAGGGUUUAUUUUUGGGGAUUUUUGAUUUGAGGGCUUUGAAACCUAAUUGAUGGGUUUAGAACCUUUAUUUAGGUUGGAUUUGAAGAACUCUAACUCCCAUUUGGAGCUUGAGAGAGAAUUUUUCACCUAGAUGAGUUUUUCUCUACUUUAGCCUAUGUUGCUUAAUAAUGGAGCUUAGGGUUGAUCGUAAGGUUCGUUUGACUCUCUUUUCUAUACCUUUAGGAUACUAGAAGAGUGGCGAACACUUUCGUCAGAGCUUACGAAGGGUUUCGGUAAGUUCAGUGGGUUUGACUUCAUGAAAUCGGGAUGAAAUGGCCCCUAAGUAUUCUAUACUUGUCGUGACGUCAAUUUGAUUGCAUAUUCAUGUUAAAUGAGAUUUAUGUGAAUUUUAGAACACUUAAACUACAUGCCUUAUGUAUCAUGAAAAUUUCACUCUAUAUAGUAGGGCAUUCGGGGCAUUUUGCAUGUAUAUGAGGAGUGUUCGUGUUAGCGACUUGAAAAUGUCUCUUAUGUUAGAAUUUGCUCAAAUUAUGCAUUUAUAAAUAAUAAACUCAUGUUUGGACUUAGUGGACAAAAUGCCAUAAAGAGGCACUUGACAUAGUAAACUGUGAAACUACAACAUAGAGACAUAGUGAUAGGCCAUUGAACAUCUACUAUAUUCCAUGUUAGAGACAUGAUGACAGAGAGAUAGGCCAUCGAGAUACUUGAUAUAUUCCAUGUUUUUAGACAUGAGGACUUGGUACUUGAGAUAGAUCUUUCGCUUGCUUGCCAUUGUGCUCAUUCGCACAUGCUUGUGAGGGUCGCUCCCUACAAGCCGGCACUCCAGAGAUAGCCAUCACGACAUAUGCUCGCUCGUGCGGGAUUGGGCGCCGAAAUUGGAUGCCGUGGGGGAGGCUCAUCCCUAGAGUGGGGAUGUUGACUACACGGGGCCAUUAGGCACGGCGCAGGCCGGACUACCCACGGGUAGGUCCUAUAGGAUUGGAUCUUUGAUGACUUAGCAUAACGACUGGACAUUGACUAGAAUAGUAAACAAGACAUUUUACUAUUUAGCUUGUGGACAUCAUGCUAGUGAUACUUUGGUACAUUCAUAAUAGAAUAGUCCUUUUAUUACUUAUGCAAAUUCAUGCUAAGUAGAGAUAUUAUGUUGUAGUAAGUUUACAUGCUUACUUACAUAUCGAUUCUAUUGCUUUUAUUGUUACCUUCAUGUUUAGCUCUUUUGGGCCUAGCGGUGCUUUCACUGAAGUCAGUAAUUGCCCACUGGGAACUAUAUUUAAUAGUUCUCACGCUUUCUGUUUUAUGUUUCCUUUUCAGAGCCUUCGACACCGGCGGAGGCACGGGAUCGCUCCAAGGGUGUCGCCUAGCUAGAUAGAGGGGAGCUACUUUUGAGCUUUGGUGGUUUACUCUUUCUUUUAUUGUAUUAGAGAGUGAGAGAGAGAUUUUGAGUACCUUAUAUAGAGAGACCACCUAUGUGCUUGUUUAGCUUUUGUAUUUGGGAUUCCUGUUGUAUUUAUUUUAUGGUUUAUUUAAUGAUUUUAGCUCUCUACUCUUCACACUGUUUUAGAUACUAGAUGUUGUUCAAUGCUCUGAUAUAUCUAGAUCUUCUUUAUUUUCUUUAUUUAUCGUUUUGUUUUAGACGCCUUAUAUGUUUCAGACAUAUGGCGGGUCUGGACAUGCGCCGGGCGGGUUUCCACUGGGUCCCGGGGCAUGACAGAUUAGUUUGGUAUCAGAGCCUAGGGUUGAGUCUUAGUGGACCUGGCAAACCUUAGGCCGGUUGGCCUAUUGGAAAUAGGCUCGUGAGAGACGAGGUCUAUUUGACUUGUAAGCGAAAGUAUCUUGAUUGGGUAUCUUGAUAACUCUAGAAAGUGGAGUUAAAUUGAAGUGUAUAGCUCCUAACUUCGUGGAGGGUUACGUUGGCAGCCGACAACGUAACAUCGGGAGUUAGUAGCACACUUCAUUACUUUCGUAUGAUUUGGGGUAUUAUCUGCUUGAGCGGGGAUACGAUAGCGUGGGUUACUAACUUGUGCUUUUAUGAUGUUGUAGUUAGAUGCCGAUCACUCGCUCCCAAUCUGCCGGAGCGGAUAAUGCGGCACAUCUUGAGGAGGUCGAGACCUCCGCUACCUCCGAAUCUGGCGAGGUCCAGGAGUUGAGGAGCCAGCUUGCGGCCCUCACCGACCUAGUGACUCAGCAGGUGGAGGCAGCCCGACAACAGACUGAGGCGACGUGCCGGCAGAAGGCGCGGAUGAAGCGCCUGGAAGGCCUUCUUCUGCAGCAGGCGGCAGCUUCCAGGGAAUCCCAGGCCCCUACAUCGCCAGCACCAGUUGUGGACGUCGCGCCGAGAGCGCCGUCCCCGAUUGGAGCUGUUUUUCCCGUGUUGGUCAAGGGAGCGGAGCGGGACCGACUGAUGGAGCGCCUCAACGAGUUUAAGAGGAGCAGUCCUCGGAUAUUCGACGGUGAGAAGGUCGACCACUGGAUCAUGGAGAAGUGGCUGAUACAUAUGGAGAAGCUCUUUCGCGACACCUUCAUGGAGGAGAGAGAUCGAGUUUGGCUCGCCACACACCAUUUGGACGGCGAGGCCUACCGCUGGUGGUUGGAUCUCCAGGAGAACCCCAGCACUGAUUUGGCGGCUAUCUCGUGGAAGAAGUUUAAGGAGCUUCUGUUGGCGCACUACUUUCCGACCAGCGUCAAGAGGAAGAUGGAGCAGGACUUGCGCAAUUUGCGCAGGGAGACAGGACAGUAGCCGAGUAUGAGCAGGAGUUUUCUCGGCUUCUACACUACGUGCCUUUCAUCGUGCGGGAUGACGAGGACAAGGCCCGCAUAUUCGAGCGAGGGUUGCGACCGUCGAUUUUUCGAUUUGUGCAAUCCUCUAACCUCCAAACCUAUCGGGAGGUGGUGGAUCGUGCGCUCAUCGUGGAGAGCGGCGCGGCGGAUGUCCAGGAGCGGCGAGAGGUUAUGGAUAAGGGUAAGGCCAAGAGGCCUACGGCUGAGGGUGCGAGCCAGACGCACUCUAGGAGGCCGCCGAAGCAUCCGAGGAGCCAGCAGCGUGGGCGUGGCUCGGCGACCCACCGUGGAGGUUCUGACCGACACCGACCUCCCCAAUGCGUGAUCUGUGGUGGUCCCCACAUUCCACGGCAGUGCCAGCAGCGGGGAGGGAGGUGUUUCCAGUAUGGCCAGGAUGGCCACUUUCGGACCUAGUGCCCGAGAGGUUCUUCACCGGCACCGUCGACUGCAUCGACACCGGCUCUACCAGCCGCUAGCCACGGGACUCCAUCGACACAGUACCAGCUUGGGUGGCCACCCGUCCAGCGCCAGAGCGAGGGAUCUCGACAGGCUCUGAGUGGGCGUUUGUAUGCGGCUAAGACCGAGGAGGCGGCAACAGCCGAGGAUGUGGUUGCAGGUAUCAUUUUACUUGAUGGCAUUAGAGUUCGUGCUUUAUUUGAUACCGGUGCAUCGCAUUCGUUUAUAGAUCGGCUGUUUGCCGAGUUGCAUGGCAUCCCUUUGGUUUCUUUGUUGCAUCCGGGACAUGUCGUAGUACCCGACCACACUCUGGAUAUUAGAGAGCAUUGCCCCUGUUGCCCUAUUCGGGUAGGAGAUUGGAUUAUGCCCGUGGACUUGCUAGCCUUGCGCAAGUUGGGAGAAUUUGAUGUGGUCCUGGCUAUGGAUUGGCUAACCAAGUAUUAUGCCACGAUUGAUUGUAAGAAUCGCACGGUUACCUUUAGAGAACCGGGACAGACUGAGGUUGUAUUUAGAGUAUGCCGGAGUUCGCUUUUCGCGACGUCGAUCAGCUCGUCUCGAGCUAAGCAGCUGAUCAGCCGAGGAUGUGUAGCCUACUUGGCUAGUAUUGUGUUGAGGAGCGAGGAUGACACCCCUAGGAUUGAGGAUAUCCCGGUGGUACGGGAAUUCCAGGACGUGUUUCCAGCUGAGCUACCGGGUAUGCCACCCGAUAAGGAGAUCGAGUUUGUGGUAGAUCUCAUCCCUGGGACUACUCCAAUCUCGAAGGCACCCUAUAGGAUGGCACUAGCGGAGCUAAAGGAGCUGAGGGCACAGCUAUAGGAUCUGUUGGAUAAGGGCUUCAUUCGACCGAGCGUCUCACCGUGGGGAGCGCCAGUUCUGUUCGUCAAGAAGAAGGACGGAUCACUUCGCCUAUGCAUGGACUAUCGUAAACUUAAUAAAGUCAUGAUCAAGAACAAGUAUCCAUUGCCGAGAAUUGACGACUUGUUUGACCAGCUUCAAGGAUCGUGUGCGUAUUCCAAGAUAGACUUGCAGUCGGGAUACCACCAGUUAAAAAUCAAACCCGAGGAUGUAUCGAAGACGACUUUUAGAACACGGUAUGGACACUAUGAGUUCACAGUUAUGCCGUUCGGGCUUACUAAUGCUCCGGCAGUCUUUAUGGAUCUGAUGAACCGUGUUUUCAAGCCUUAUUUGGACAGGUUCGUCGUGGUGUUUAUCGACGACAUUUUGGUUUAUUCCCGAAGUGAUGCAGAUCAUGAGGAACAUUUGAGAUUUGUGCUCCAAGUACUUCGGGAAAAGGAGCUUUAUGCCAAGCUGAAAAAGUGUGAGUUUUGGCUCCGAGAGGUAGCCUUCCUUGGGCAUUUAAUAUCGGGAUCGGGUGUAGCCGUGGAUCCUAAGAAGAUUGAAGCAAUCAAGAAUUGGCCGAGACCGACGAGUGUCACGGAGAUACAGAGUUUCCUUGGAUUGGCCGGUUACUACCGGAGAUUUGUAGAGGGGUUUGCUAAGCUAUCUACUCCUCUCACGAGGCUUACGCUUAAAGGUGUUAAGUUCAUCUGGAAUGAUGCGUGUGAAAGAAGUUUCCAAGAGCUGAAGCAACGACUGACGACCGCACCUAUCCUAACCCUGCCAGUUGCUGGAAAAGGGUAUGUUGUUUACAAUGAUGCAUCUCUUAACGGAUUGGGCUGUGUUUUGAUGCAGGACGACAAGGUGAUCGUGUAUGCUUCUCGCCAAUUGAAGGAAUAUGAAAAGAAUUACCCUACUCACGAUUUGGAGUUGGCGGCCGUAGUCUUCGCAUUGAAGUUAUGGCGCCACUACUUAUAUCGCGAGCGGUGUCAGGUAUACACGAAUCACAAGAGCCUCAAAUACCUGUUCAUUCAAAAGGAGUUGAACUUGAGACAGCGUAGAUGGCUGGAGCUGCUCAAGGAUUAUGAUCUGACGAUUCUACAACACCCGAACAAGGCUAACGUGGUGGCGGAUGCGCUAAGUAGGAAAUCAACGAAAAACUUAGCAAUGCAUGUUGUUAGUCAACCGCAGUUGAUCGAGCAGAUGAAGCGGUUGGAGUUGGAAGUGGUGAUUCCGGAUACGCCUUUGAGAUUGAUAACCUUGGUGGUGCAACCUACACGUUUGGAUAUAAUUAAAGAAAAGCAAGUAUCCGAUUCGAAAUUGCAAAAGGUUCGAGAUAAAAUGGACAAUGGUUGCACCGGCGAUUUCCUUGUGGAUGACCUAGAAUUGAUGCGUUUUCGUGGAUGAAUUUGUGUACCAGCGGAUUUAGGAAUUAAAGAGGAUAUUCUUCAAGAAGCAUACCGGGCACCGUAUGUUAUAUAUACGGGUGGUACCAAGAUGUACAAGGACUUGAAGUUGCUUUAUUGGUGGCCCGGGAUGAAAAAGGACGUUGGCGAGUUCGUAGCUCAUUGUCUAACUUGCCAAUAAGUGAAAGCUGAGCACCGAUUACCCGCGGGAAAGCUUCAGAGUUUACCUAUUCCCGUGUGGAAGUGGGAGAAGAUCACCAUGGACUUUGUGACUGGAUUGCCUCGCUCUUAAGCCGGGCAUUAUGCUAUAUAGGUGAUCGUGGAUAGGUUAAUGAAGUCGGCGCACUUCAUACCUAUUCAUACUACUUGGACCGGAGAGAAGCUCGCACAAGUGUACCUUGAUGAGAUUGUGCGACUUCAUGGAGUGCCUACAUCGAUAGUAUCGGAUCGAGACACUCGGUUUGUGUCUCACUUUUGGAGGAGUCUGCAGGAUGCCUUGGGCACCCGAUUGGACUUCAGCACUGCCUUCCACCCCCAGAGUGAUGGCAGUCAGAGCGCACCAUUCAGACUUUAGAGGAUAUGCUCCGAGCAUGUGUGAUAGAUUUCCAGGAAGGAUGGUCGCAUCAUCUACCGAUGACAGAGUUUGCUUAUAACAACAGUUACCAAGCAAGCAUCAAGAUGGUGUCCUUCGAAGCACUUUAUGGACGGAAGUGUAGAUCGCCACUUCAUUGGAGUGAAAUAGGCGAGAGAUUGGCUUUAGGCCCUGAUGUGCUCCAGGAAGCUGAGGACAAGGUUCGGAUUGCUCGGGAGCGACUUUUGACGGCGCAGAGUAGACAGAGGAGCUACGCCGAUCGAUGGCGGCGAGACUUGGAGUUCCAAUGUGAGGAAGUGAAUUUUCGAAAUUCGAGGAUUGUACUUCAUUCAGGAUCGACUGACUGUCGAGAGAAUACCCUUCGUGGGAGUUAAGAAUGCCCAUAACACAAAAAGUGCUUUGGAGUUGAGUCCGCGAGAGCAAAUAGGCAAAAUCUGGACUCAGCAGAUUUUUGCUCUCGGGGACCGGUCCCUGGAGGGAAGGACCGGUCCCCGUAGUUGAUGGUCGCGGGGGAGGUCGAUGCGACCGGUCCCUGGCUGAGGGGACCGGUCCCCGUGCACGACACCCGCGAGAAGAAGCAUAAAUUUGGCUAAGUCCUGAAGGUUCCCCUUUCAGGAACCGGUCUCUUAGGAGAGACCGGUCUCCUAGGGACCGGUCCGUCAGGUGAGGACCGGUUCCCGAACGCGAAGGAGGCCCCUGGCAGCGUGGGCUGCUCUCGGGGACCGGUCCCUUGUCGGGGAGACCGGUCCCUCUGGGCGAAAACUGCCCAAUGAGGGCUGUGCAAUGGAUGAAAAGCUGAGGGGUCUAAAUGCAAAAUGGCCCUUAUUAGAGUGGGCUGAGCCCUCUCUCUCUCCCUCACACUCUCAUUUUACCCUUUCUCUUUCUCUCUUGCUCUCUCUCUCUCUUUAGAGAAGAAGAAAGAAGGAGAAAGAAAAAAAGAAAGAAGGAGAAAGAAAAGAAGAAAGAAGGAGAAAGAAAAGAAGAAAGAAUGAGAAAGAGAAGGAGGAGAAGAAAAAGAAGAAGGCUAGGAGCAUCUUCCUCUCCCUCUCCUCUUCCCAUUGGUGUAGCUUAAGAGGUAAGCUACAAACCCUAGCUGUAAUAUACCGAAAAUUCGGAAAAUAAAUGUCGAACUUUAGUCAAAUUGACCAAAGUGCGAGGAUGGUACACUUCGGAAAGUCCGAAGGUGUUAAAAUGAUUAAAAGCGAGUUACGGGAGGUUUUCGAGAGCUAUAGGAUCAAAUUCUGCAAAACUGCAGAUUUUCAGCUCUCGGGGACCGGUCCCUGGUGGGAGAGACCGGUUCCCGAACGCGUAUGAACUGAGACAGCCGAAAAAUCGGCUAAGUCCUGAGAAAUUAGCUCUCGGGAACCGGUCCCUACCUGAGAGACCGGUCCCCGAGAGACCGGUCCCAUAAGGAGAGACCGGUUGCACUGCGCGCAGCAGCUCUGACUGCGCUGGGACAACGUUCGGGAACCGGUCCCUGAAGGAGAGACCGGUCCCCGCCUGCGCGGAAUGCCCAGUUCGGGCAGUGUUUUAAAGUGAAAGUUGAGGGGUUUAGCUGCAAUUUUGCAACCCCAAUAGGCUAUGUAUUGGGGUAAAUGAGGGAUUUCUCUCAUUUUCACCCUCUCAUUCCCUCUCAUCUCUUCUUCUCUCUCUAGAAGACAAAGAAGGAGAAGAAGAAGGCAAGGAAAGGAAGGAAAAGAAGACAAAGAAGGUGAAGAAGAAGCUUUUGGAGCAAAGAGGCUUCAUCUCCUUCUUCUCUAGUGCAAGAAAAGGAAGCUUACAAGGUAAGCUUUAAACCCUAAUGUAGUAAAACCCUAGAAAUGGGUUUGAAUGAACCUAGAGAUGGUUUCUAGUGGAAUAUCUAGUAGUUUGAAGCUUUCUUUUUGCUUCUUUAGAGAUCAAAACCAUGGUUGAGCUCAAAGUGAGCUUCAACCCACCUCUAAUGGUGAAAUCUAAUCUAGGGUUUUGGAAAGCCUAAGAAUGGUUCUAAUGGACUAUUUAGAGUAUAGUGAAGCUACUUUUACUUCUCUUUGAGAUCAAACCCUAGGUUUGAUGAUGCUAAGGAGCUAGGGCACCCAAAUUGGGGCUUUUUCUCACAGGGGUUUCUAAGUGCAAUUGACCCUCUAGAAACCUAAUUGGGGGUAUUUCCGACGCGUUCGUGCGCUCGGAAUAGCAUUACGAAAAGUCUAUAGAAAGAUAUGGGCAAAAUGGCCUAAGUUGGCUUCGUUUUGCCGCAGGUAAAGAACGAAGGAUCUAAAAAUCCCGAGAAAAUCGUCGGAGCACCUAAAGGGACCUACAAGGUGGGUGGUGCUUUCCAAACUCAUUGAAAUUCUCUCUAUGCCUAAUGUGUCAUUCUUUGAGCAUAUGUUCUAUAUAUUGUUGCAUGCAUUUUAGGGUAAAGUAAUGAUGAAAUGUGAUGAUUGCAUGAUUGUGAGCACGACUUGCAUAAUGAGAUGGUUGAGAACCUAAUAAUGUCAAAACCCUAGAUGUAUGCAUGAGAGAAAAUGUGAGCACCCAAAGUGAGCAAAAGAAUAGAGUGGCACAAUGACAUAGAUCGAGUGGCAUUUGAAAAUGUAUAGUAAAGUGACACUAGAGUUAGUGUGAGCCAAAGAACAGGGGCAACUGGGGGCAGAAACUCCCGAAUGUCUAAAGAGAUGAUCGGCGUACAAACAACUCGUCCCGGAUCCAACAAGGGAUACAAGUGGGAAUGCCAUGCAGCUCGGGCAAACAGCCCGGAUCAGAUGAUAUGAAUGCGAUGCACCCGUAUCAAACAACUCUAGCCGAAUACCAGAAGUAAAAUGAUUACCUGCGACCCACAUUCAACGCUGCUGCCGCCCUCAGUCUGGGCCCGCGUACAUGCAGCCCGCUCGGGCUUCGUGACCCUCCGUCAGCGCUGGACAGGGGCGACCGUCCCUGUGAUGCGAGAAGACGUCCCUGGCUGGGCCUGGCGAUGCUGUGCAGAUGCUCCCAAUGCAGCUAGGCAAUGGACUCCGUCCGGCAGUCCGACUGGAAGUGGCCCUGCCUGGCCACACAAGAAACGCACCUUGCCCGGCUGCGUGAACACUGCCGCGGGUAAUGAGGACCGCCACAGAUCACGCAAGCGGGCCUGACGACGCUCGGGUCCUCCUCGCCUGAGUUAGACUGGCUACUGUCCUCGGGACUGCUCCUGCUCCGGGAUGGGCCUCGGCGGCGCUCCGUGAGUGCGUCUGGCUCGCCCCUCAGUCGGGGCUCUUGCGCCCUUCCCUAUUUCUCCAAGCCUCGCGACGCGUCCUGCAGAUCCGCUGCCUCCUGCCUCCACAAAUCAAGGCUUGAUCCACAAAACCUCCCGGAAUCUGAGGUGGGAAGGACUGCCCCACCAACGAAAAAUAGAAGCGCAAGCCGCGCUCAAAGAUCGCGGCCUUGGUCCUCGUGUCCCUCACAACGACACGGUACACAGUGUAGUAUCGGGAGAACUCCCUCGUUUACUCGCAUCUGACCGAUCAUCCUGCGCAAGCUGCGCAAAUCCGGCUCCAUCUUCCUGCUUGACGCGGUAGGAAGUGGUGCGCCAGAAGAAGCUCCUUGAACCUAGUUCCAAGUAAUCGCUGCCAAUCGUGUUGGGGUUGUCCUGGGAAUCCAACCACCGAACGUACCGGCCGCGCCGUCCAGGAAGUGGCUGAGCGAGCCACAACUGCUGUCCCGCUCAGCCCCGCUCACAAAAAGUAUCUCGAAACAGCUUCUCCAUGUGUAGGCAACCACCUUCUUCAACAAGUCUAGUGGCGACGGUUCUCGGCCAUCGAAUGUCCUCGGGCUGACCUCCUACAACUCGCUGAGGCGCUCCAUUAAAGCUCGAUCUCCGCUCUGCUCCCUCGGCCAUCACGGGGAAUGCUGCGCCCUGUCACGGUCUCUGAAAGGUAGGCGCAGCCACCUCCUCCGACCCGGUGGUCGCCGGUGCCGCACGUGAAGAAGUGGCGGGGGGAGCGCCGCUCGGUGCGACAUCCACAACAGGGGCUGGCGUGUAGGACCCUGGUCUCCCUCGAUCCUGCUGUCUGCUGAAGAUAGGAGGUCCUCAAGAUGCUGCAUCCGCCGUCUGCCGCUGUAGCCACUCGGCCUUGUCGCCUGCGCCGCGUUGCGGGUCUGCUGCGCCAAGAGAUCAGUGACGACCGCUACCUGGCCCUCACAGUCACGACCUCACUUAAGCAUCCGAUAGUAGCGCGAGGUCAUCAACCUCCUCGGGUGAGCGCGCAUCAUCCGCCCCGGGCAGACUGGGAAGCGUGUAAUCGGCAUCGUCACUACAAAACAUAAAAGCGCAAGUUAGUAACCCACGCUAUCGCACCCCGCCGCUCAAACAGAUAAAACCCAAACCAUGCCCGAAAGUAAGAAGUGUCCUCACUUACUAACUUCCCGAUGUUACUGUUGUCGCCGCAACUAACCCUCUGCGAAGUUAGAAAAGCCAUACACUCCGAUCAAACUCUAACUUUUUAGAAUUAUCAAAACCCUAAUUCAUCAAUACUUUCGCUUACAAAUCAAUUAAGACCUCGUCUCUCCGCAGCCUAAUUCCUAAAGUUCCAACCGGCCUAUAGGUUCGCUAGGUCCACUAAGACUCAACCCUAGCUCUGAUACCAAAUUAAUCUGUCACGCCCGGGACCGGCGAGGCCCUCCGUAGCGGUGUCCAGACCGCAUAUGUCUACACAUAUAAGGCGUCCUACAAUAAAAAGCGUAAGAAAAGCGAGAAAAGUAGAACAAGUAGAAGAAGUGGAAUAACAGCAACUAAUGAUAUCAGAGCAAAUAAGUUCUAGCCAUCUACACCAAGUAAAGCAGAUAAGGCAUAGACAAUAGAGCGGAAAGCAUAAGGUUAAGUACAAUAUCGUCUCAGUACAAAAAAAUUGGUGGUCUCUAUACAUGUACGGGUAACAACUUCGCAACCUCUCACAACAAAGAUAAAAAAAAAAAAAGAAAAAAAAUAAAAACGAAACACGCAGAGGUAGACCACCUAUCGGAACGAUCCCUCGGUAAGCACGCCGUAGCCCGAGGCGAGUACCCCUUUCCGCGAUCCCUGGGCCUCAUCCACUGAGGUGGAAGCUCUGAAAACAUCAUAAAAAGAAGGGCUGAGAACUAUAAUUUAUCUUCCAGUGGCAAGACUGACCUCAGCUCUUGCUCCACUAGCCCCAAAAACAGGGUAAGCUAACGAUAAUAAUGAAUAGCAAUAAAGGAGCAUAUACAUAAACUCGCCUUGAAAGAAAAGCAUAAAUGACAUGCGAGUCACUGUGUCGUCGAAUAAGUAUGAUGUCAACCCAAAAAUGCGACAGCUAUUCUAUCAGUAUCAAUUAAGUCCAAUCACACUAGUUUAAUUUGUGAACCUUUGUCAAUAUCAUAAAUGUUGUAGUUCUAAAUAUGGCAAGCCACUAUUACUACACGUCUCACACUAUGCCUAUAAAGCAUGUAAUGUAACCCCGACUACUAAGUCUAUUCUGAGUAGUGAUCAGUCGGAUUCCUUCGAAACCCGUCGUCGAUUUCCAUUCCAAUUAUGCGGACUUACCCAGGUAGUCAGCUUGCUUUGCCGCCUAAGUGCCCUGUGGUUAGCCCGACAUUCCUACUGAUGUUCUGUCCCAGCUCGACCCCGUAGCUUCGUCAAUUACCGCCACGAGCCGAUCAAAAAGUGCACGCAGGUAACUCCGGUAGUGCGCGUGUAGGGAAGCGACCCUCACAACGGCGUGGGGCCGAAUGAGCACAAAUGGCCAAGCAAGCAUAGUCCAACGUCUCAAAAUUUUCAAUCCUUCAUGUCUCUUAACAUGGUAUCAUAACUAGCAUCCGAAGAUCUAGUCUAAGUCACAUGCGAAUCGUUCAACAGUUGCUACGCCUAGUGCCCCUUGAUGGCACACUUAGGCAAUAUGUUCGACACGGUUUUCCAAAUCCCUCAAGCGCCUAUCCACCUAGGUCUCACAAGUCCUGGAGCAAGGCGCAUUGAGACAUAUAGCUCAAUCAAUCACAUUGAUAUUCAAGGGGUCGAUGCCUAUAAUUCUAGCAAUUGUCAACUUUCAGUCCCAAAACGUAGUUUAAAACGCAUGAGUCAUAGCUCCAUAUACUCUCUAGAAUUCAUGAAAUCAAACCUUGUUUUAUAUGAAUGCCUAAAUGCAACCAAAAGAUCUCUCUACUACAUAGAGGUCAAAAAUUCAUCAUAUAUAACUAUGCAUUUUAAGAUUCAAAAUCAUAAAUAAGAAAUACAUUUAACAUGAAAAUGCAUGAAAUUAUUAGGUAAACAAAAGCACUAUCACAAAUAUGAGAGUUUUCGCAUAAUUAUAGGCUAGGGUCAAACGCCGACCACACAACGAAGCUUUUCGUUGGCUCCAACGGAGUUUCAUACAAGGCUUUCUAGCCACCUAGAGAACAUCAAAAAGAGUGUCAUCCAAACGAACGAGAGAGCGAAAGCUCAAACAUUAAGCAUCUAGCAAAAAUGGGCAAAACUCACCUCAAGAGAAGAAAUCUCUUCCUAUGCUCCAAAAGAGAGCUAGAACCCUUCAAUGCUAACCUAGAGGAUGUCUAAUCCAACCAAUCUAGCUCAAAAAGCUCCUAGAAGGCAAAUGCCCGAAAUAAACCCUAAUUAUCCAUUUCUAGGUUGACUACUAUACAAAGAUCAAAACCAAAAUCUAGAGGAAAAGAAUAGAGGCCACCAACCCUUCUUAGAAGACCUCACAAGCGUUCAAAACCGUCUCAAGGCCAAAGAGAUCUCUCCUCAACAAGCUCCAAACCCAAGUCCAAUAGGUGGAAUUAGCUCCAAAAACCCGAAAAAGGAGCAAACAGCAGGGGGAUUUAAUCCUCUAAAAACCCAAGCAAAAUCAAAGAAAUGGAGAGGGAGGGGUGUGAAGGCUCCCUUACCUCUUCUCCCUGCCAGGAUUGCCAAGCUCAGGGGAGCCCAGCGGCGGGGGGGAUACAAAUAGAGAUUGCACAACACGCGAAAAACCCCCGCUAAGUUCUAAACGGUGCUCAGAAUCUGCACUGGUACCGGUACACGGGCGCCGCGUAUCGUACACCAUCUGCGAAAAACGCCCAGCCGAGCUCGUGUUUGGCUGAGAAGCGGGCCAAAGUCGAUGGCUGCUACCUGUACAGCCAUCACUCCCGCGGUACCCGCGUACACAGCCCUCUGAGGCAACCCGAGAGUAACAAAAUCCGAUUUUUUCGGUUUUUGUGCUCCGCUUUAAACCUCAACUUCUCGCGGAUGCGAGCCAUAGGUCGCGAACACUGUCAACGACCCACCAGAAAAGUCUGAAUGCUCAGCAGCAACAGCUCGAACACUCGAACCUCGCAAUUUGCAAAGGUCCAGUUGUGUUACACUAGCAAUCCAUUCUUUAGCUUUACACUCUUUAUUCUUUAUACGUUCUUUAUGCUCUCUGCUUUAGCUUUAGUGAGUCUCAUCAUUCUUUAUAUCACUUCANNNNNNNNNNNNNNNNNNNNNNNNNNNNNNNNNNNNNNNNNNNNNNNNNNNNNNNNNNNNNNNNNNNNNNNNNNNNNNNNNNNNNNNNNNNNNNNNNNNNGCCCUUUAUGACACUCUUAUUUUUCUAUGUCAAAGCCAUGGCAACUAUGUUCCAACAGUACAAUAUCCAAGUCAUAAUCCUCACCAGAGAUAUAUUUUUACUUGCAAAGUAAAACACCUUUCCCGUAUGCAUGCAUUCUACUCAUAUAGCUCUACUAUAUAGUGAAAUUUUCAUAAUACACAAGACAGCAUUUUAGUGUGCUCUAAAAAUUCAUAUUAACAAUCCAUUUGCAUAGAAAUGAAUUUAAAGAUAUUUACAACAAGUAGAAGAGCAUAGGGGCCAUUUCGCCCAUUUCCACGAAGCCAAACCCACCGAUGGAAACAACUCCUCGGUGCGCUCCCACGAGGCGUGUCCUCUAGUCUCCUAGUACCCAUAGAGGUAUAGAAAACAUGUGUCAUACGAGCGAACGAACAAUACUAGCUCAAACAUUAAGCCUAAUCAAGCAUAGGUGCAGGAAACUCACCUCUAGUGCAAAAAUCUCUCUAACGCUCCAAAUGAUGCUAGGGCUCAUCCACUCCAACCUAAUGAACCUCUAAUCCACUCAAUCUAGCCUUCAAAAGCCCUAGAUUCAAAAUACCAAAUAAACCCUAAUAUUACACUCUAGGGUUUCAUCUCAUGAAAUCCAAUAAAACUCAAAUCUAAGAGGAAGAUAGUGUAAUGCUUACCUCUUAGAAGCUUCAAAUCAAGCUCUAAAUCUUUAAAUCCAAGAUCUAUCCUCCACUUAGUCUCCAAAUCCAGCUUGAGGCUUCAUCCAUUGGUGGAAAAUGGCCACCAAAGGGCAAAGAGAAGAAGAUCCAUCAAAAACCAAGCAAAAAUGGAGAUCAAAAUCAAGUGGGACAGGUGCGAGCUUCACUCACCUUCCUUGCCUCUGGUUCCAGCACAAAAAAGGCCCUAAGGGGCGUGGUGCUGUUAUAAAAAAGCCCACAAUCGCGAAAAACCCUGCAGACCAAACUGCACAAAAACUGCCCUCCUUGUACCGGUACACGGGCUCUUCUACCUGGUACCAAGGCCGACGAAAAUGCAAACCCGAGGCUCGGGUCCGGGGUCUGCGGCUCUGUACGGUACAAAGCCCGAUGGCUGCACCGGUACAACCAUCAACCUUGUACCCGUACAAGGGCCAGUUUGUUCCGGUACUAGCCCUGCUGCAGGUGCCCGAGAGCUAUCCAAAAAUUCUAAUUUUGGAAUUUUGUGAAGUCCCACUCCAACAUCCUCGGGAUGUGUUGCAGGGGUCGGAACACUAUCAACGACCUCCAAAAACUGUGGGAAUGCUCCAAACACAAUCAAAACACUCGAAUCUUGCGAUUUGCUAAGAUCCAGUGUAUUACAGGUGUAGACCCUAGUUACAGUGUGUCCUGUAUGGAGAGGAUGAUCUAGCUCACAGUCUGGUUUUAGGUGGCAUAGCCAUCCAAUCCCCACAUGGAGGGGGAUUGUCUCGAGUACUCCGGAGUGUUGCGCGACUAGGACCACUUGAGGUCCGGACCACAUGGAGGUCCGCAAACGGUCCGGGCUUGGGUGCACGUUGGAGCUCCCCCACUUUGGGAAUGAAAGUGUGAUCAUGGGCGAGCCCUAGGGCCUGGCCACAGAUUGGGUAAAUGAAAGGUUAUUGAUGUCACUUGAACAUUGCUAUUCGAACAUGGAUCGAAUUGUUAGCAUGUUAAGCAAACCUUUAUUAUAUGAUGCAUACAUCUUAUUCAUGAUUAUGGGCCAUAGUAGCAUAGUAGCAUAGUUUUUCCUGACUACUGCUUUACAGCUUUCAGAGUAUAUAUCUAUCUAUCUAUCUGCUGUUACUUGUGCCCACUUGGACCUAGUGGGCGAGAUCGGCAGAGUCAGCGGCCGAGCCCACUGGAACUAUCGAAGAUAGUUCUCACCCCACUCUAUUUCCAGUGGUAGGUUCAGGCUGCAGAGACGAGGACCGCUGGCCAAGGGCCGGGUCCGCGCCCGACCAGUGAGACCGUGGUAGUAUAGUAGCUUUCCUUUUUGCAUUAGCACACCUAUGUAUUGAGAGAGAUUCAUGUAGGUGAGGUUGGAGAGCUAUGUAUUUUGAGGAUCAAAUGUAUUCACUUUGGAAAAUGAUGUAAAUGUAGAGAACGCAACUAUUGUAAUGGUUAGUAAAGUACUCUCUUUAUUUCACUCGUAUAUCUUGUGCAUUACUUGCUCUUCUUGUUGUCGGCACUAUUUGUGCCCUCGUCGGGUGUGUAUGUUUAGAAUUUAACGUCCUGGGUAAAUUCUUGUACACAUUCCUGUUGUUGAGCCUUGGGCGGACAGGGGAGGUGCUGUCCGUUCGGCGGUCCGCCGCCGCGGCCAAACCGUGCCAAACUGGUAGUGGUUUCGGGGCGGGGCGUGACAGUCUUUUGUGGUAUCAGAGCGAUAAGAGCAAGUAAAGAGAGUUUAGGAUAACCUAGGAGACCCUAGGUUGGCAAGCCUUAAGGUUAUUGGUGCGUGAGCAGAACGUGAACCUAUAGCGAUGGCGGAAGUUAAUUCGAUUGGGUCGAAGUUGGUAUAGGUCUCUAGUUGUGAUUAGAGACGGAUUCGAGUUGUGUGAGUUCUUGUCUUGAGGUGGUUGUGUCGGCGGCCGACGACAUGAUACCAAGAGCCUAGAACAAGUACACUUGUGUGCUUCUGCCCAAUUGUGUUGAUGAGUCAUCAUGUGUCGUAAUUACGACGAGGUAAUUGGUUAAGGUGACUGACCGAGUAAUUGCGUUUCAGGGGCUAAUGUCUCCAAGACGCUACACGCGUAGGACUGCACCAGCACCGACUCCUGAGGUGCCCGAGCAGGAGGAACCGAGCGUGAUCGAUCGGUUGCAAGCGCAAGUGACCGCGCUGACCGACGUGGUGCAGCGCCAGGAGACCCGAUUCGAGCGGCUCCAGGAUCUAUUGGAGCGGCAGAUCGCGACGGCGGCUGCGACGGCAAAUGAAGGCGGUGGUCCGCCCGCACCCUCGACUCAUAUACCUAGAGCGGCAGAGGGUGAGGGCAUAGCGGCGGUUCCGGUGACGGCACACCCACCGCCAGCGAUCGCACCACAGGCGGCAUCGGGAUCGGCUACACCCGAUGUAUCGACCGAAGAUGUGGAGGGGGAGCGCGCAUUGGCGGCUCUUAUCAAGUUCAACAAGUUCCAUCCGCCAACUUUUGAGGGCGAGAAGGUGGAACCGGAGAUAGUCGAGUCUUGGAUCGACUCGAUGGAAACCCUCUUCGACGACUUGCGUACCUUGGAAAAGGACAAGGUGUACCUCGCCACCCAUUGCUUGGAGAAGGCGGCGAAGGUUUGGUGGAAGCAUGUUAAGCGGGAUCGGCUUCCCGACCUUCCGCCGAUGUUAUGGGAGGAAUUUAAGCGGGAGAUGUUCGCCAAUUAUUUCCCCGAUACAUUGAAGCGGAAGCUCAAGGAGAAGUUCCGCAAGCUAGAGCAAGGGGACCGCUCAGUGGCGGAGUAUGAACAAGAAUUCUCCCAUAUUAUCGAUUGCGUCCCGGAUGUUGUCAAGGAUGACCGGGACCGGGCCGAGUGGUUCUUGCGAGGGCUUCGGCCGGGAAUCUAUAAGGCUGUGCAAAUACUUAAGCUCACAACCUUUGCUUAGGUCUUUGAUCGAGCGCUAUGGGCGGAGCACGGAGACGCCCACGUUCGGGAGAAGCGUGAGCUUUUGGCGGAGUCCAAGGACAAGGGCAAGAAACGCCAAGGCGGCGGUAGUUCGGGUGGUCAGACACGUUACAAGAAACCCCCGAAGUAUCCGCGCACUCAACAAAAAGGCGGUGGAGCGCGGCGAUGCAUUGUAUGCGGCGGGGACCACCCGGUCUCGCGCUGUGAACAAGGCCGAGGCAAAUGCUACAAAUGUGGGCAGCCGGGACACUUCAUUCGAGAUUGCCCGGGAGGAGGAGCCUCACCUGCCCCUUCGAUUGCAUCGGCGCCGGCGAUUCCGGCUCACUAUGGAGGAGCUUCACCGACGGCCGCGUCGACUGGACGCGUGAUGAUGCCGCGUCAACCCGAGGUGGCGCGAUCGGCCCCGAGCGGACGGGUAUUCGCCGCUCAGGUCCAAGCUGAGGAACCUGCGGAGGCGGAGGAGCAUCGCCUUGUGGCAGGUAUGGUUUUAAUUAACGGAGUUCGCUCCAGGGCUUUAUUUGAUACAGGAGCCACGCAUUCAUUCAUAAGUAGAUCAUUCGCACGCAUGCAUUGCAUACAUAUAGAAACGAGUGACAAGUGGCGAGUAGAAGGCCCUGGGUCGACAUUCAAUACCUACACGGAGUGCGCCUCGUGUCCGGUACAAAUAGGCGACUGGAUUAUGCCUAUUCGAACGCUAGGACUCCAGAAACUUGAGGCGUACGACGUCAUAUUGGGCAUGGACUGGCUCUCGAAAUACCACGCCACGAUUGACUGCAAGAGCAGGGUGAUCACCUUCCGUGAGCCAGGACAAGAAGAAUUCACCUACCAGGCUUGUCAGAGCUCGUGCUUCGUCGCGAUGGUGUCGGCGACAAGAGCAAGAAAGUUGGUAAGCAAUGGUUGUGCGGCGUUCUUGGCGACCGUUGUAGAGGUGGAUCGAGUAGCUCCAACAUUAGAGGAGUUAUCGGUGGUGCGGGAGUUCCCGGAUGUGUUUCCCGCGGAGUUGCCGGAGAUACCACCGGAUCGGGAGAUCGAGUUCGUUAUAGACUUGGUUCCCGGUACCGCACCGAUCUCGAAGGCCCCGUACCGAAUGGCGCCGGCGGAAUUGAAGGAGUUGAGGAGUCAAUUGCAAGAUCUCCUCGACAAGCAAUUUAUCCGGCCGAGUGUAUCACCGUGGGGAGCCCCGGUGUUGUUUGUGCGGAAGAAGGACGGAUCGUUCCGACUCUGUGUGGAUUAUCUAGAAUUGAACAGGGUCACGAUCAAGAACAAGUACCCACUACCCCGAAUCGAUGACUUGUUCGAUCAGUUGCAAGGGUCGUGUGUGUACUCGAAGAUAGAUUUGCAAUCCGGCUAUCACCAACUGAAGAUCAAGCCGGAAGAUGUGCAGAAAACUGCGUUUCGUACGUGAUAUGGACAUUACGAAUUCACGGUCAUGCCAUUUGUACUCACGAAUGCUCCAGCGGCAUUUAUGGAUUUAAUGAACCGUGUCUUCAAGAAGUAUCUGGAUCAAUUUGUCGUGGUCUUCAUAGACGACAUAUUGAUCUACUCUCGCAGCGACGAGGAACAUGCCGAGCAUUUGAGGAUAGUACUUCAAGUCCUUCGGGAGGAGAAGCUAUAUGCUAAGCUGAAGAAGUGUGACUUCUGGCUCAGCAAGGUCGCCUUCUUGGGGCAUGUGAUUUCAGCGGGUGGAGUUUCUGUAGACCCGAGGAAAGUUGAGGCAAUCAAGGAUUGGCCGCGCCCGACGAACGUCACGGAGGUUCGAAGCUUCGUGGGCUUAGCGGGCUAUUAUAGGCGGUUUGUGGAAGGCUUUUCCAAGAUAGUAAUUCCACUUACCCGCCUGACCCAGAAAAGCACCAAGUUUGUUUGGAGCGAGGAGUGCGACCGAAGCUUUAAAGAGUUGAAGCAACGAUUAACUUCGACUCCGGUGCUCGCUCUACCGGUGCAGGGCGAAGACUUCGUGGUCUAUAGCGAUGCCUCCUAUCUUGGAUUGGGGUGUGUGUUGAUGCAACACGGGAAGGUGAUUGCCUACGCAUCCCGUCAGCUGAAGAGCUAUGAAAAGAACUACCCCAUCCAUGAUUUGGAGCUAGCGAUGGUGAUUUUCGCCUUAAAGCUGUGGAGGCACUAUUUAUAUGGUGCCCACUGUGAGAUCUAUACCGACCACAAGAGCUUAAAGUACUUGUUUACUCAGAAGGAGCUCAAUAUGCGUCAGCGGCGGUGGUUGGAGCUGUUGAAGGAUUAUGAUGUCGAUAUCCUCUACCACCCCAGGAAGGCAAAUGUGGUCGCGGACGCGCUGAGUAGAAAGUCGGCGAAGAACCUCGCAUUUGACGUUACCCAGCAAACACCCUUAUGGCUGGAUAUGGAGCGAUUAGACCUCGAGGUGGUUGCUCCCGAGGUCCCGACCCAGUUGAUGGCACUCGUUGUCCAACCGACCUUGUUGGAGAGGAUUAAAGAUCUGCAACCCGCAGAGCCAGAACUCCAAAAGGUGCGGCGAAACAUCGAGGAGGGGCAAAGCGGCGAUUUCAGUAUACACGCCGAUGGUGCGCUUCGGUUUAGAAACCGAUGGUGUGUGCCGAAAGAUGGAGAGCUUCGCGAAUUGAUUCUACAAGAAGCACAUAGAUCUCCGUAUGCUCAUCACCCGGGCGGCACCAAGAUGUAUCAAGGAUUGAAAAUGCACUAUUGGUGGCCGGGAAUGAAGAGUGAUAUUGGACGCUUUGUGGCCAAGUGCCUAACAUGCCAACAAGUGAAGGCCGAGCGCCGAUUUCCAGCGGAAAAGCUUCAAAGCCUACCAAUCCUUGUUUGGAAAUGGGAGGAUAUCUCGAUGGAUUUUGUGGUCAGCUUGCCUCGCUCAACGGGCGGCCAUGAUGCAAUUUGGGUAAUUGUGGACCGAUUAACUAAGUCGGCUCAUUUCUUGCCGAUCCACACCACGUGGUCGGGUGACAAGUUAGCGCAGGUAUACCUCGACGAGAUAGUGAGACUGCAUGGGGUGCCAAAAUCGAUCGUGUCGGACCUUGACCCCCGGUUCACUUCACACUUUUGGAAGAGCCUGCAGGGAGCCCUUGGCACACGGCUCGACUUUAGCACCGCAUUUCAUCCUCAGACCGAUGGGCAAACGAAGAGAACCAUUCAAACUUUGGAGGAUAUGUUGCGAGCGUGUGUCAUCGACUAUAAGGGAAGUUGGUGUCAUCGACUAUAAGGGAAGUUGGUGUGACCACCUACCCAUGGCCGAGUUCGCCUACAACAACAGUUAUCAUGCUAGUGUGGAGAUGGCGCCGUUCGAGGCUCUUUAUGGGCGGACGUGUCGGUCUCCUAUACACUGGAGCGAUGUUGGCGAGCGUGUGGAGUUCAGCCCGGAUGUAUUGCGAGAAGUGAAGGAGAAAGUCCGCCUUGCUCGCAAGAGAUUGCUCACGGCGCAGUCGAGACAGCAAAGUUAUGCAGAUAGGCGCCGUCGAGAUAUAGAGUUCGCGGUGGGUGACCGCGUAUUCCUGAAGGUUUCACCAAUGCGGGGUGUGAAGCGGUUUGGAGUACGGGGAAAGCUGAGUCCUCGGUACAUUGGGCCAUAUGAGAUAUUGGAGCGAGUCGGCACGGUGGCGUAUCGACUUGCUUUGCCGCCGGAACUUGCGGAUGUGCACAAUGUGUUCCAUGUCUCCAAUCUCCGCAAGUACAUUCACGACCCCGAGCACGCAAUGCUAUAUGAGCCGCCGGAACUUCAUGAAGACUUGAGCUAUGAAGAGUUUCCGGUGAGUGUUAUCGCCCGAGAAGUGCGAAAGCUAAGGAAUCGAGAAAUCCCCUAUGUGAAGGUGAGGUGGAGCAAUCACGAGGAUCACGAAGCCACCUGGGAACUCGAGGAGCUGAUGAGAAAACAUCAUCCUAAUCUGUUUGAGGAGUGAGGUAUGAGUUUAAAUGAAAGUUAGAAAAUUUAUUCGUUUCGAGGACGAAACUCCUUUUAAGGAGGGGAGGAUGUAAGGAAGUGAAUUCUCGAAAUACGAGGAUUGUACUUCAUCCAGGAUCGACUAAUUGUCGAAAGUAUACCCUUUGUGGGAGUUGAGAAUGUCCCAAACACAAAAAGUGCUUUGGAGUGAGUCCGCGAGAGCAAAUGAUGCAAACUGCAUCAUUGGGCUAAGAUUACUCUCGGGGACCGGUCUCUGGAGGUGAGAGACCGGUUCCCCUGGCUGGGUGUAGCGGGGUUGCGUGAUGCAACCAGUCCCUAGCAGGGAAGGACCGGUUCCCGAACGUGGUCCCAGCGAGAAGUGCCAAAAAUUGGCUAAGUCCUGAAAAUCGAGCUCUCGGGGACCGGUCUCUCAGGCGAAGACCGGUCUCCCGAGGACCGGUCUCCCGGGGAGAGACCGGUUCCCGAACGCGUGCGCCCGAGGGAAGCUCUCGAGGACCGAUCCCAGGUCGGGGAGACCGGUCCCUCCGCGCGAAAACUGCCCAGUGAGGGCAGUGCACAGGAGUGAAAGUUGAGAGGCUUUUAUGCAAAAUGGCUUUUAUUUGAGUGGGCUGAGCCCUCUCUCUCCCUCACACUCUCUCAUUUCACUCUCUCUCACUCUCUUUCUCUCUUGCUCUCUCUCUCUGGAGAUAACAAAGAAGGAGAAGAAGAAAGAGAAGAAGAAGAAGGAGGAGAAGAAGAAGAAGAAGGAGGAGAAGAAGAAGGAAGCUGGGAGCAUCUUCCUCUCCCUCUCCUCUUCCCAUUGGUGUAGCUCUAGAGGUAAGCUACUAAACCCUAGCUGGUAAACUUAGGGUUUUUGGGUUUUAUGCUUUGGAAUGGGUCAAAUGAACCCUAAGCUAGCUUCUAAAUAGAUCAAUCCCAAGAAUCUAAGGAUUUAUUGGGUGGUUUGCUAUAGGUGCAAACCUAGGGCUCCAAAAUAGGGUUUUUUGUAAAAGUAUGAGAUUGAU
rnacentral:lncRNA from 1 species